AAUCCUCAUUGAUCAACAAAGACUUGAGAUUCAAGAAACUAGACACAUGAUUGAAGAGCAGAGAAGGUUCUCCGAGAUGCAGUCUAAACAAAUGGAAGAAAUGAUGAAAAAGAUUGAAGAAUUGAGUGGGACACUUGGAGGAUCGUGCGAUGUCCGCGGCUUUUUUAUUUUAAUUUCCUUUUCCAUGUCACUUUUUUUUCUAAUUUGAAACUAUGUUCUUGUGACAUUUAUCUAAUUAUAAUACAAUUUCAAUUUCGAUAUGUUACUGAUUAUUUUGGUUGUUCAUUUUUUAUUUAAAUUAAAUCAAAAUCGAAUAGAAACUACAAUGAAAAAAAAAAAAAAAAACUAAAUAAUUAAUAAUAAUAAAAAAUUAAAUGAUAUUCCCGAUGCAGAUACUGUGUCGGAAAAAAGGAAUUUCCCUGACACAUGCACACGACAUCUGGGACCGUUUCACGAUGCACUGUCUUCCGACGUGUAGAAAACGUCGGUAGAUUUCUAGGGGUAAGCCGACGCAUAAAGAACGUUGAAAGUACCGUUGGGAGAUAUGAAAUGUUGACGCAGUUUUGUGGUGCAUCGGAGAUGGGUCUCCCGACACGUAAUACGUCGGGAGAGCUUGUCCCGACGUUUUUCUCAAUCUUUCUCAAUCGGGAAUACACCAAUCUCUUGUAGUGGAUUCCAACUUCUACAACUUUCUAAAGAAGCUACAAGUGACUCCAAGUUCUACAAAGGUAGUAAAGAAGCUGCAAACGACUCCAACUUCUACAAUCUUUCACAUCAAACGACACCAACUUCAAGAACAUCAUGUGCUCUGCUUUCAACUUCUACAAGCUUUCUAAAGAAGCUAGAAACGACUCCAAAUUUCCUCCUCUAACCAAGUGAGAGCGAGAAAGAAUCUCUGCUUCAUCAAAUCAAGCGAGAAAGAAUCAUACCAAUGGAAGUAAUUGUCUUUACUUAUAUACCUAAAAUCAUUUCCUUAUCGAACCGAUAUAUGGAAAUUUGGUCGGAUUCACACGAACUCUCGAUCUCUAAGAACUGCAAAAAUGAAAUGAGAAAGCAUUAGGAUUCAACCACUCGCAUAAAAAAUAUUAUACAAAAUGACAAACAUGAAAUCCCAUGGCAUAGAAUAGAACGGAAUCAUUGAGAAGGAUAAACGUAAAAAGCAUCCCAAUAUUAUUUUAGAAAAAACCCGCCCAACCUAGUGCAAUCCAAACAAACACAAAGUCUGGGAAUAACCUUUUUAAAAUUAAAAUCUUCUCUCCUUUUUGUUUCCACUUGCGGAUUGAACAAAGUUUUAGAUCGUUAUAGCUAGCUUCUCCUGCUAUGGACAUGUGCCCAAAGCCAACACCAAGCCAAUGGAGAACCAGAAUUCAGAGAAAAUGGAAACCACCCAAAAGGUUGAAAGAAAAAAGGGUGGUCUUCGAACUAUGCCUUUUAUUAUAGGUAAUUUUCAACAAGUUCUAAAAGUUCUGAAGCAUAAAUUAGUAAUAUGAUCACUAACAAAAACUCCAAAUCUGCAGCAAACGAGAUAUUUGAGAAGAUUUCAAAUGUUGGUCUUCAUGCAAAUAUGAUAUUUUACUUGAUGAAUGAGUAUCAUCUGGAUAGUGCUAAAGGAGCUAUCGUCUUGUUUCUGUGGUCUGCAUUGACAAACUUAUUGCCCAUUGGUGGGGCUUUCCUCUCUGAUUCUUACUUGGGUCGAUUUAAGGUCAUCGCCAUGGGGACAGUGGUUACACUUGUUGUAAGCAAGGAUUCAUUUGCUUAGUUCCAACCUGAAUAUCUGUUUGUUUCAUCUGUUUUUCAACUUUGAUCUUUCUUCGGACUUCAGGGAAUGGUGGUUUUAUGGUUAACAGCCAUAUUUCCAAAAGCAAGGCCUCCACACUGUACACCAGCUGGGGAAUUUUGUGUUUCAGCAAACACUGCUCAGCUGAUGCUUCUGUAUUUUGCAUUUCUUCUUAUGGCAGCCGGAGCUGGGGGAAUUCGACCAUGUUCCUUGGCGUUUGGAGCAGAUCAACUUGAAAAUCCAGGCAACCCCAGAAACCAGAGGACUAUGCAGAGCUUCUUCAACUGGUACUAUGCUUCAGUUGGAAUUUCAGUCACCAUUUCGGUGGUCUUUAUGGUUUAUCUCCAGAAUGCUACCGGUUGGGUUGUGGGAUUUGGAGUUCCUGUUGGACUUAUGCUGUUUUCCACAGCCAUGUUCUUUCUUGGCUCUUCAUUGUAUGUUAAACUGAUGGCGAACAAGAGUCUGCUUAGCAGUUUGACUCAGGUAAUCGUUGCAGCUUGGAGAAAUAGACACUUGGAAUUUCCCCCACAAGCUUCUGAUAAAUGGUUUUACCAUAAAGGUUCAAAGCUUGUCACCCCAACGCCUAAACUGAGGUAUGUUAAUAAUCAAAACGUUCCAUAAUUAUUGCUUGUUAUGCUUUUAGAUUUUCUAAAAUGAUCCAGGUUGAUUCUUCUGUCUUGCUUUCAAGGUUUCUAAACAAGGCUUGCAUAAUAAGAAACAUAGAAACAGAUCUAGAUUCUAAUGGAAUGGCCAAAUUCCCAUGGAGAUUAAGCACGAUUCAACGUGUAGAAGAACUAAAAGCAGUAAUCAGAGUACUUCCGAUUUGGUCCACUGGAAUUGUAAUCAGUGCCACCAUUAACCAAUUCACCUUCUAUUCUCUCCAAGCUAGCACAAUGGAUAGACAUAUAACACCUCACUUUCAAUUCCCAGCGGCUUCCUUCGCUGUUUUCACAAUCCUAACCCUUACAAUCUGGGUCGCAAUAUACGAUCAAAUAAUCGUUCCACUACUAGCGAAGUUCACCAAAAAAUCGAAUGGACUCACUUUAAAGCAGAGAAUGGGCAUCGGACUGGUAAUCUCAUGCUUGGCCUCAAUAGUGUCGGCAGAAAUAGAGAGAAAACGAAGAAACAGAGCAAUUCAUGAAGGUCUAGCCAACGUACCAGGAGGAAUUGUGCAGUUGUCAGCGAUGUGGCUGGUUCCACAACACUGCCUGGCGGGGUUGGCUGAAGCGUUGAACGCAAUAGGACAGAUUCAAUUCUUCUAUUCGCAGCUGCCGAGGAGCAUGGCCAGCAUUGCAGUAGCGCUGUUCUCGCUAGGAAUGGGCGGAGGGAGCUUGGUGGCAGCGCUGACUGUAAGCGUGGUGAAAAAGAGGACAAAGAAGAAUGGGAAGGGAUGGCUGUCAAAUAAUCUGAACCAGGGGCAUUAUGAUUACUACUACUGGGUGUUGAGCUUGAUGGGCGUCGCUAAUUUGUUGUACUAUUUGAUCUGCAGUUGGUUCUAUGGAGAUGAGAAAGAGGGAAUGGAACAGAGUAGGAUUUGGGAUGAUAAGGAAGCCAUUGAAGCGGAGGCCACCUUCAAUUCUUGAUUUGGAGUAUGGAUUGAAAUUUCUAUGGUCAAAGUUAACUCAUUGGUAUUCAACAUGCAGUCCAACGGAGAUUUGAUCUCCAAUCUCACUAAUGGUUUUUUGAAAAGGAAGAAAUUUUUAUUACAAAUGGGCAUCUCUUUGAAGACAUUUCUACCGUGGAAGGUUUUGAUUUUUGCCAUUGUUGUAUAAAGAAAUUGAAAGAAAGAGUUAGUAGAUACUAUAAUUGAUUUAUGUUUACUAUAACUUAUUUAUGUUUAAGUUGGCAAUAAAAAUGUUAAAAUAAGCAUACCUCAACCGAGAAUGAGAAUGCUUAAGUUUAGUUAGAUUUCCCCCUCCCACAACAUAUUUUCAACAAACAAUUUAUUGUAACAUGACUCAAUUGACAUGGUUAAGAAAACUAGGUAAAGUUUAUUAACCCACGACUACUUUCAUUAUUGUUUAUGUGGUUAGUGGUGCAAGUGGUUAAAUGCAAAUUAUUCACCAUGAUUCUCUAACAACUUCGUAUAGUUGUAAUCUUUAGGGUAUUUAAAUCCGUAAAUUUAUAUAAAUAUGAUUAGUUUACAAAAUAUUUAAUAAAAUAUUGUAGUUUAAAAAAUAUUUAUUGAAAUAUUGUAGAUUUGCACCGAAGACAUAGGAGAGAGAGUAAGAAGUUUCUAUUCACCCAAAUAUUUCUCUCUUCAACGUUGAGUUUUCAAUCCAACACCACCUUUCCUUUAUAUAUACAUCCAUGUAGUCUGACUACUUCAUUUACAAACAGAUCAGCCACAGAGUUGGCGAUAUAGGGAUGUUUCAAGGGUAGAAAAUGUCCAUACUUGCUGAAUCUAUCUACCAUCACGAAAUCACCUCAUAUCCAUUAGACUCCGAUAGUCCCUCCUCAAAAUCCAUAGAAAUGUCGCUCACACACUAUUCGGUAUUUCUAGAGGUAACAACAACCUUGUAGGUGACAAUGCCAUUGCUUUAUUUUUCUGAUAGAUCAAACACUCUUCACAAUAUUUCUGCACAUCGAGUUUCAUACCCUCCCAAUACAACUCAACAACCAAUCGUUUAUAAGUUCUAAGGAACCCAGAAUGCCCCCCAAGCACGGAGUCAUGGUAGGUGUGGAGAAUUGUUGGAAUCAAUGCUAAAGACUUGGAAAUAACCAACCUAAUUUGUAUACCUCAACAUCCCCUGCUGAAUGGAAUACUUGCUUGCCUUGUUAUCCUCCCCUCAUGUCGUUUCUUUCAUUAUCAAUUUCAGCUGGUCAUCGUUUUCAACUUCUUCCUUGAUGAUCUUCAAGUCAAUCAAGGUGGGGGCUGUAAUAUUACAAAUUUGGACAACCGGAAGCAUUCUAGAUAGAGCAUAUGUCGCCUUGUUCUUCAAUCCUGACUUGUAUACCACUUCGAAGGAAUGUCCCAAAAGCUUAGCAAUCCACUUUUGGUAUUGUGGUUGAAUAACCCUCUGUUCCAAUAUAAACUUUAGGGACAUUGAUUCAUCUUCACUAUAAACUUCCUCCCUAGAAAAUAAGGUCUCCAUCUUUGCACAGCGAGAACAACUACCAUAAGCUCCCUUUCAUACACUAGUUUAACCUGAUCUCUCAUAGCCAAUGUGUGGCUGAAGAAAGAAAUAGGUCAUUUGGAUUGAAUGAUCACUACUCCUAUACCGGAUGCAUUAGUCUCCAUUUCAAAUAGGGCAUCCAAAUCAGGCAAGGCUAAAACAAGAAGAGUCAUCAUAGCAUUCUGCAAUUUCUAGAAUGCUUCAAGGGACUCCUCGUUCCACCUAAAUCUGUCAUUCUUAAGUAGUUGAGUUAGAGGAGCGGCUAUAGACCUGUAGUGUUGGAUAAAUUUCCUAUAGUACCCUGUCAAUCCCAAGAAGCCUCAAACCUCUCAAACAUCCUUAGGUAUAGGCCAUUCUUUGAUUGUUCUAAUCUUUUCCGAAUCAACCUCAACUCCUUGAUAUGAGAUUAUGUGUCUCAAGUAAUCUACACGUGUCUGUGCAAAACUGCAUUUCUUCUUGUUCACAUAAAGCUCAUUCUUUCGUAGAACUUCUAAAGCCUUCCCCAAAUGUGCUAGAUGUUCUUCAAAAUCCUUUCGAUAAAUUACGAUGUAUCAAAGAACACAAGAACAAAUUUCAGUGAUUGAAAUGUAGAGGGUGCAUUAGUUAGGCCCAAUGGCAUAACCAUGAAUUCAUAAUGGCCUUCAUGUGUUUUAAAUGUUGUCUUCUCAAUGUCUUUACCACACAUACGAAUUUGGUGGUAUCCGACUUUCAAAUCAAUCUUAGAAAACUAUGUAGCACCAUUCAGUUCAUCAAAGAGCUCCUCAAUUACUGGUAUUAGAAAUUUGUCUGGUAUAAUAACAUUAUUCAACGCUUAGUAGUCCACACAAAAGCGCCAACUCUCAUCAUUCUUCCUAACCAAUAGAACAGGGCUGAAAUAUGGGUUGUAACUUGGACGAAUAAUUUCGGAUGCUAACAUCUCAUCCAUUAAUCUCUUCAUUUAUGCCUUUUGCUGAAAAACAUAUGUUGGCUUUUUGGCCCUUAAUCUCAAAUUAAUUUAUUUUAAUUAUUCAAUUAAUUUAUGUUUUGAUGAUAACAAAUUUGAUUUUUUUUAUUGACAAUUUUAUUAAUUUGAAUAGACCAUAUCGUAGAGCUUGGAAAAAUGAUUCUAACGCCUCUUGAAUCACCCAAAUCGAAGUUCAAAUGAAGAAAAUAUUGCUAAAAGAAGCUUAACGAAAAAAAUACCCGAGAUGGUGACGUGGCGACCAAGCAUUCAAUUUGAACCAAUUAGAGAAAGCCACUUGGAGCAAUGAAGAAGUAACAAAUGUGGCUUUUUGUUAUGUUUUAUUGGCUUUUAUAAAGAAAAUGAAUUUAAAAGAAAAAUGAUUUUAAUAUUAUUAUUUUUUCUUGUGUCUAACGGCUAGUUUUUUUAAAAGAGGGUGAAGUUGCUUUAUUGAUUUCUUUUUAAAUAAAAUAUUUUGAAAAGACAUAUUAUUAUAUUAUUAUUUGUAUUGUGUCUAACGGCUAAUUAAGUUUAAAUCUCAACCAUUCAUUUUUCUUUUACUUAUAUCUAAUGACCAAAAUGAUUUUGAAUUUAUCUUUCCUCUCUUUUUAAAUACUUCACAUUUACACAAGAUCACAACAUCUUUACAAUAAUCCUCAAGCAAAAAGCCAACAUUGUUAUUCUCUCUAAAGCUUCCAAUUUUUAUUCUUUUCAUCUUAUUCUUGAGAGCUUCUUAUUGUAUUGUGAGGAUUAAAUUUGUGAGCUUCAAAUUGUAUACUCACUCUUUUAGAGAGUUUUCUUUUGUGUGAUUUAAAAAUUUCAACAUAUUGUAACGGUUGGAUCCUAACCCGUGGAAAGGAUCGGGUUUGCUCUUGAACCCGAAAAAGGAGCAAGAAUCGGUUCGGCUCAAAUCCGUGGAAAGAGUCCAAAGAAGAUUUUCAAUCAAAAUCCCAAGGGGUGCUUGGGAAAGUGGAUGUAGGUUGAGUUUAACCGAACCACUAUAAAAUUACGGUGUCUUCUUCUCUAACUCUUUUCUAAUUAUUUUUUAAUUUAAUUUUAGUUACAUAUUCUUAUUGGUUGAGUUUGAUUGCAUACUUCCAUUCAUAUCUUUUUAUCAAUCUUGUUAUUUAACAAAGUUUACAAAGUUCUUUAUUUAAAUUUUAGAAAAUAUCUAAUUAGUUGAUUUUACUUUUUAUUUGUCAAAAAGUUUAUUUAAACCCUAUUCACCCCCCUCUAGGGUUGCCAUACCGAUCCAACAAUUGGUAUCAGAGCAAGGUUGCUCAUCUUGAAAUUUUAAUUUCUUGAUAAACUUUAUUGUUAGAGCAUUAUGGCAAACCUAUUGGCAAAUGGUAUUGUUGAAGGUCAAUCUACUUCUAGACCUCCUUAUUUUGAUGGUUCAAAUUAUGCAUAUUGGAAAGCUAGAAUGAAAAUUUAUUUGCAAUCUAUUGACUAUAAUUUGUGGUUAAUUGUUGCUAAAGGUCCUUAUGUACCCAUGAAAAAUGUUGAUAAUGUUGAUACGCCUAAAUUAGAAGAAGAGUAUGAUGAAAAUGAAAUGAAAAAGUGUUCAUUUAAUGCUAAGGCUAUUAACUGUUUGUAUUGUGCCUUGAGUAAAGAUGAAUUUAAUAGAAUAUCCAUGUGUUCUUCCGCUCAAGAAAUUUGGAAUACUCUUGAAAUUACUCAUGAAGGAACAAAUCAAGUUAAAGAGUCUAAAAUUAGCAUGUUUGUUCAUAAUUAUGAAUUGUUUAAGAUGGAUGCUAAUGAGACUAUCACCGAUAUGUUUACUAGAUUUACUAACAUCAUAAAUGCUUUGAAGGGUCUUGGUAAAGUUUAUACAACUUCCGAAAAUGUUAGAAAAAUUCUAAGGUCUUUACCUAAGACUUGGGAAGCUAAGGUAACGGCGAUUCAAGAAGCAAAGGAUCUCACCAAACUUCCACUAGAGGAGCUUAUUGGCUCACUCAUGACUCAUGAGAUCAUCAUGAAGGAGCACUUGGAGGAUGAGUCCAAAAAGAAGAAGAGCAUUGCAUUAAAGACUAUCUCCUUGGAAGUUGAUCCCGAAGAUGAGGAUGGCCUUGAUGAAGAUGACAUUGCUUAUUUCUCACGUAAGUACAAAAAUUUCAUAAAAAGAAAGAAAUAUUUCAAGAAACACCUAUCAACCCAAAAAGAGUCAAAAGGUGAGAAAAGCAAAAAGGAUGAGGUUGAUUUGUUAUGAAUGCAAAAGAUCGGGUCAUAUAAGAACGGAUUGUCCUCUCCUCAAAUCAUCUAAGAAAUCCAAGAAGAAGGCAAUGAAGGCUACAUGGGAUGAUAGUAGUGAAAGUGAAAGUGAAGUUGAAGAAAUGGCAAAUCUUGGUCUCAUGGCUCAUAGUGACAAAGAUGAUGAACAUGAUGAUAAGGUAACUCUAGAACCUCUUUCUAUUGAUGAAUUAUUUGAAAAUUUUGAAAGCAUGCAAAAUGACCUAGAAAAACUUAGUUCUAAGUAUGUUGUGCUUAAGAAGAAAUACAAUGUUUUAAUUAGUGAAAAUAAGUCUUUACUUGAUACAAUUGCUUGCUUUAAAGAGAAUGAAAAUUUUGAGCAAAUUGAAGAAUUGAAUGUCUCUAGUGAUAAGCAUGUUUGUAUUGAGAAAGAUGCUUUGCUUGAUAAAGUUAGAUUUCUUGAGCAUGAUAGUUGUGAAAAAGAUAACUUGAUUAAAGUGCUUAAAGAAAAUGAACUAAGUGUUUUACAAGAACUUGAUAAAGCUAAAGAAACUAUUAAAAAGUUGACAAUAGGUGCUCAAAGAUUGGACAAAAUUAUUGAAGUAGGAAAAUCUUAUGGUGAUAAGAGAGGUUUAGGCUAUAUUGAUGAAUCAUCUACUCCUUCAAGUUCUAAAACUACAUUCGUUAAAGCAUCACCUAUUGUGCCUAAGUUUAACAUGUCUAAUCAUGUGUCUAAUCAUGUUAAAUCUAGUUUUGUACCCAUAUGUCAUAAUUGUGGUGUUGAAGGUCACAUUAGACCUAAAUGCUUUAAAUUGAAGUAUGCUCAAAAUACUUAUUCAAGAAGAAAUUUUUCGCAAAGAGCAAAGUUUUACAUUGCUCCAAGGAAGAAUUUCUCCAAUAAAAGUAGAGUACAUAAAUUUGUUAUGAAAAAUAAAUCUUUGCAUAAUGUUGUUUGUUUUUCUUGUGGCAAGUAUGGACAUAAAGCUUAUUCUUGUUACCUAUCUAGAUCUAGUGCUUGUAAUGUCUAUGAAAAAAUGAAAUGGAUCCCUAAAUAUGUAAAUGCUAACAUUCUAGGACCCAAACAAGUAUGGGUACCAAAGGAUCAAACUUGAAAUUAGUUAUUUUUAGGUUUGUUUGAAAGCCUCCAAGAAAAACAAAUGGUACUUGGAUAGUGGUUGCUCAAGACACAUGACGGGAGACCGAUCCAAGCUUAUCUCUUUCUCCAAAAAGAAUGGAGGCAUGGUAACCUUUGGUGACAACAAGAAAGGUAAAAUAAUUGGUAAGGGUAAUAUAGGAAAUGAUUCAUCUACUUUGAUUGAAAAUGUUCAUUUGGUUGAUGGUUUAAAGCAUGAUUUGCUUAGUUUUAGUCAAUUGUGUGAUAAAGGAUUUAGAGUAAUAUUUGAUAAAAGAAAUUGCAUAAUUGAAAAUGUUAGUGAUAGAAAAGUUUUUGUUUGUUGGAAAUAGGGAUGAAAAUGUGUACAGUCUUGAUUUGAAUGAUUAUCGCUAUUAUUGAUAAAUGUCUUUCGGUUUUGGCAUAAUGAUUCUUGGUUAUGGCAUAGAAGACUAGGACAUGCUAGCAUGCACUUAAUUUCAAAUAUUUCUAAAAAUUGUUUGCUUAGAGGUCUUCCUAGUUUUAAAUUUGAAAAAGACAAAGUUUGUGAUGCUUGUCAAAUGGGUAAGCAAACUAAGUCCUCUUUCAAAUCUAAAAAUGUGAUCUCUACUACUAGACCCUUACAACUAUUACACAUGGACUUAUUUGGCCCUUCUAGAAUUGCUAGCUAUGGAGGAAAUUAUUAUGCGUUUUGUAAUAGUUGAUGAUUUUUCUAGAUUUACUUGGGUUUUGAUGAUAAAACAUAAGGAUGAUGCUUUGAAAAGUUUUAUUAGUUUUGCAAAAAGAGUACAAAAUGAAAAGGGAUUUUUUAUUUCCAAAAUUAGGAGUGAUCACGGAGGAGAAUUUGAUAAUGAUGCUUUUAAAGCUUUUUGUGAAGAAAAUGGUUUUUCCCAUAAUUUUUCCUCUCCAAGAACUCCUCAACAAAAUGGUGUAGUUGAAAGGAAAAAUCGUACUUUGCAAGAAUUUGCUAGAUCAAUGUUGAAUGAGUAUGGUUUACCUAAAUAUUUUUGGGCGGAAGCCGUUAACACCGCUUGCUAUGUUUCAAAUAGAGUUUUAGUUAGACCAUCUUUAGAUAAAACUCCUUAUGAACUUUGGCAUGGAAAAAUUUCAAAUAUUGGGUAUUUCAAAGUUUUCGGUUGUAAAUGUUUUAUUUUGAAUAACAAAGAAAAACUUGGAAAAUUUGAUUCUAAGACGGAUGUUGGUAUUUUUUCUAGGAUAUUCCUCUACUAGUAAAGCUUAUAGAGUUUUCAAUAAGAAAACUUUAGUUAUUGAGGAAUCUAUUCAUGUUGUAUUUGAAUGAAUCUUGGAAAUAAUGUUUCUAAUGAGUCUAUUUGUAGUGAUGAUUUAGAAAAAGAUUUUGGAGAUUUACUUGUUAAUGAGAAAGGCAAAGAAAUUGUUCCAAGUAUGCAAGAUGUGAACAUCAUAGAGAAGAAAGAAGAGGGUUCUUCAUCCUUGCCUAAAGAGUGGAGAUAUGCUCUAUCCCAUCCCAAGGAUCUAAUUCUUGGCAAUCCCGAACAAGGUGUCAAAACUCGUUCUUCUCUUAAUUUAUUUAGUAAUCUUGCUUUUGUGUCUCAAAUUGAACCUAGAAGUUUUAAAGAUGCCGAAUGUGAUGAGUUUUGGAUUUUAGCUAUGCAAGAAGAAUUAAAUCAAUUUGAAAGAAACAAAGUUUAGAAAUUAGUCCCUAGGCCUUCUAAUGCAUCUAUAAUCGGAACUAAAUGGGUUUUUAGAAAUAAGAAUGGAUGAAAAUGGAAAUAUCAUUAGAAAUAAAGCUAGACUUGUAGCUCAAGGUUAUUGUCAAGAAGAAGGUAUAGAUUAUGAAGAAACUUUUGCACCGGUUGCUAGAUUAGAAGCUAUUAGAAUGUUGCUUGCUUUUGCUUCUUAUAAAAAUUUCAUUUUGUAUCAAAUGGAUGUAAAAAGUGCUUUUUUAAACGGUUAUAUUGUAGAGGAAGUUUACGUAGAACAACCUCCGGGUUUUGAAAGUUUUGAUUUACCUAAUCAUGUUUAUAAGUUGAAAAAGGCUCUUUAUGGCUUAAAACAAGCUCCAAGAGCUUGGUAUGAUAGACUUAGCAAGUUUUUACUUGAGAAUGACUUUAAGAUGGGAAAAAUUGAUAAUACUCUAUUUAUUAAAGUUAAAAAUAAUGACAUGCUUAUAGUACAAAUUUAUGUGGAUGAUAUUAUAUUUGGUUCUACUAAUUCAUCUUUGUGUGAAGAAUUUUCCAAGUGUAUGCAUAAUGAGUUUGAGAUGAGUAUGAUGGGAGAACUUAGUUUCUUCCUUGGUCUUCAAAUCAAACAACUCAAGGAUGGCAUCUUCAUAAGUCAAGAAAAAUACACAAGGGAUUUGCUCAAGAAAUUCAAAUUAAAUGAAGGUAAAGUUGCAAAAACUCCUAUGAGCACUACCACUAAGCUUGACAAAGAUGAAAAAGGUAAGUGUGUGGAUAUAAAGACUUAUCGAGGUAUGAUUGGAUCUUUACUUUAUUUGACCGCUAGUAGACCGCGAUAUCAUGUUUAGUGUAUGUCUUUGUGCUAGAUUUCAAUCUUGUCCUAAAGAAUCACAUUUCCAUGCUGUUAAAAGGAUACUUAAAUAUUUGCUUGGAACUAUUGAUGUUGGAUUAUGGUAUCCUAGAAAUGUUGAGUUUAAUUUGGUAGGAUAUUCCGAUGCGGACUUUGCCGGUAGUUUACUCGACCGUAAAAGUACUAGUGGGACUUGUCAAUUUCUUGGUAGUUCCUUAGUAUCUUGGUUUAGUAAAAAGCAAAAUUCGGUUGCCUUAUCCACUACCGAAGCGGAAUAUAUUGCGGUUGCUAGUUGUUGUGCACAAAUUCUUUGGAUGAAACAAACUCUUUUUGAUUUUGGAUUAAAAUUUGAUAAUGUGCCUAUAUUUUGUGAUAAUACUAAGUGCCAUAAAUUUGACUAAGAAUCCUAUUCAUCAUUCUAGAACUAAGCAUAUAGAUAUUAGGCAUCACUUUAUUAGAGAGCAUGUACAAAAUGGUCAUAUUACUCUUGAGUUUGUAAGUUCCAAUAAUCAAUUAGCGGAUAUAUUUACCAAAACCUUUGAGUGAAGAAAGCUUUUGUAAAAAUAGGCUUGAGCUUGGAAUUAUUCGUUGUGAUGCAUCUUGAUUUUAUAUCUUACUUGAUAUUGUUACCCUAAUGCAUAUUGAUAGGGGGAGAAUUAGACAUUUUGUAUGUGUUCAUAUUUUUUUGGGAGAGCUAACUUCCUUGGUAUUGUUUUUGAUGAUUCCAAAGGGGGAGAAGUAUAAGAAAAAUAUGUUUUUAUCAAUUUGUUGCAUAAUUGUUUCUAUUGAAUAAUGCAUAUUUUUUUAGAGAAAAAUUAAUUAAGGACAAAGAAGGUUCUCUUAUCAAUUGUUUUCAAAGUAUGAUCUUUGUGGUUAUAUACAUGAGCUUUAUGGUUAUACAUCUUGAUAAUAGAAUUACUUGUUGACCAUGUGUGUUUCAAGUUAUUUUUCUUCAAUGAUUUGUCAUCAUCAAAAAGGGGAGAUUGUUGGCUUUUUGGCCCUUAAUCUCAAAUUAAUUUAUUUUAAUUAUUCAAUUAAUUUAUGUUUUGAUGAUAACAAAUUUGAUUUUUUUUAUUGACAAUUUUAUUAAUUUGAAUAGACCAUACCGUAGAGCUUGGAAAAAUGAUUCUAACGCCUCUUGAAUCACCCAAAUCGAAAGUUCAAAUGAAGAAAAUAUUGCUAAAAGAAGCUUAACGAAAAAAAUACCCGAGAUGGUGACGUGGCGACCAAGCAUUCAAUUUGAACCAAUUAGAGAAAGCCACUUGGAGCAAUGAAGAAGUAACAAAUGUGGCUUUUUGUUAUGUUUUAUUGGCUUUUAUAAAGAAAAUGAAUUUAAAAGAAAAAUGAUUUUAAUAUUAUUAUUUUUUUCUUGUGUCUAACGGCUAGUUUUUUUAAAAAGAGGGUGAAGUUGCUUUAUUGAUUUCUUUUUAAAUAAAAUAUUUUGAAAAGACAUAUUAUUAUAUUAUUAUUUGUAUUGUGUCUAACGGCUAAUUAAGUUUAAAUCUCAACCAUUCAUUUUUCUUUUACUUAUAUCUAAUGACCAAAAUGAUUUUGAAUUUAUCUUUCCUCUCUUUUUAAAUACUUCACAUUUACACAAGAUCACAACAUCUUUACAAUAAAUCCUCAAGCCAAAAAGCCAACAUUGUUAUUCUCUCUAAAGCUUCCAAUUUUUAUUCUUUUCAUCUUAUUCUUGAGAGCUUCUUAUUGUAUUGUGAGGAUUAAAUUUGUGAGCUUCAAAUUGUAUACUCACUCUUUUAGAGAGUUUUCUUUUGUGUGAUUUAAAAAUUUCAACAUAUUGUAACGGUUGGAUCCUAACCCGUGGAAAGGAUCGGGUUUGCCUCUUGAACCCGAAAAAGGAGCAAGAAUCGGUUCGGCUCAAAUCCGUGGAAAGAGUCCAAAGAAGAUUUUUCAAUCAAAAUCCCAAGGGGUGCUUGGGAAAGUGGAUGUAGGUUGAGUUUUAAACCGAACCACUAUAAAAUUACGGUGUCUUCUUCUCUAACUCUUUUCUAAUUAUUUUUUAAUUUAAUUUUAGUUACAUAUUCUUAUUGGUUGAGUUUGAUUGCAUACUUCCAUUCAUAUCUUUUUAUCAAUCUUGUUAUUUAACAAAGUUUACAAAAGUUCUUUAUUUAAAUUUUAGAAAAAUAUCUAAUUAGUUGAUUUUACUUUUUAUUUGUCAAAAAGUUUAUUUAAACCCUAUUCACCCCCCCUCUAGGGUUGCCAUACCGAUCCAACAACAUAUAUAUACAGUCUUACAUUCACUUGUUUGAUCCCAUGUUUCAAAUGUAUAUGAUGCUUGCUCUCUGGUGGUAAUUAGUCAGGCCAAGUAAAGACAUCUUCAAAUUUCUUCAAAACCACAUGCAUUGAUUCUUCCAUGGUCAACACCUCUUCUAAUGCUCCUCCUUCGACCAAAGAUACAUCCCACUCCAUGGUUCGGCAUUCCACCAGAAAUCCUUGGUUAGAGUCUUCCCAAGUUUUCAUCAUAGUCUUCAAACUUACUCUAAUUUUAGUUAAACUAGGAUCUCCCUUAAUGAUUACCUUUCUAUCAUGGUGCAUAAAAGUCAUAGUGAAAUUUCGCCAAUCUGCUUUAGUGAUGCCAAGAGAGUAAAGCCACUGUAUCCUCAAGGCCAAGCCAAUCUGUUAAAUAAACUUUUUGACAAACAAAAAGUAAAAUCAACUAAUUAGAUAUUUUUUUAAUUUAAAUAAAGAACUUUGUAAACUUUGUUAAAUAACAAGAUUGAUAAAAAAAUAUGAAUGGAAGUAUGCAAUCAAACUCAACCAAUAAGAAUAUGUAACUAAAAUUAAAUUAAAAAAUAAUUAGAAAAGAGUUAGAGAAGAAGACACCAUAAUUUUAUAGUGGUUCGGUUAGACUCAACCUACAUCCACUUUUCCAAGCACCUCUUGGGAUUUUGAUUGAAAAUCUUCUUUGGACUCUUUCGACGGAUUUGAGCCGAACCGAUUCUUGCUCCUUUUUCGAGUCAAGAGCAACGACCGAUCCUUUCCACGGGUUAGGAUCCAACCGUUACAAUAUGUUGAAGUUUUUAAAUCACACAAAAGAAAACUCUCCAAAAGAGUGAGUAUACAAUUUGAAGCUCACAAAUUUAAUCUUCACAAUGCAAUAAGAAUCUCUUAAGAAUAAGAUGAAAAGAAUAAAAAUUAGAAGCUUCAGAGAGAAUAACAAUGUUGGCUUUUUGCUUGAGGAUUGUAAAGAUUUAAUGAUUUUGUGUAAUUUAAAGUUUGGGAAAAGUGAAGUAUUUAAAAAGAGAAGAAAGAUAAAUUCAAAAUCAUUUUGGGUCAUUAGAUAUAAGUAAAAGAAAAAUGAAUAGUUGAGAUUUAAAUUUAAUUAGCCGUUAGACACAAUACAAAUAAUAAUAUAAUAAUAUGUAUUUUCAAAAUACUUUGUUUAAAAAGAAACCAAUAAAGCAACUUCACAAUUUUUUUUUAAAAACUAGCCGUUAGACACAAGGAAAAAUAAUAAUAUUAAAGUCAUUUUCUUUUUAAAUUCAUUUUCUUUAUAAAAGCCAAUAAAACAUAACAAAAAGCCACAUUUGUUACUCCUCCAUUGCUCCAAGUGGCUUUCUCUAAUUGGUUCAAAUUGAAUGCUUGGUUGCCACGUCACCAUUUCAGAUAUUUUUUCGUUAAGAUUUUUUUAGCAAUAUUUUCUUCAUUUGAACUUCGAUUUGGGUGAUUCAAGAGGCGUUAGAAUAAUUUUUCCAAGCUCUACGAUAUUAUAUAUGCAAAUUAAUAAAAAUUGUCAAUAAAAAGAAAUCAGAUUUGUUAUCAUCAAAACAUAAAUUAACUAAAUAAUUAAAAUAAAUUAAUUUGAGAUUAAAGGCCAAAAAGCCAACAAUCUCCCCCUUUUUUAUGAUGACAAAUCAUUGAAGAAAAAUAACUUGAAAUACACAUGAUCAACAAGUAAUUCUAUUAUCAAGAUGUAUAACCAUAAAGCUCAUGUAUAUAUUUCACCACAAAGAUCAUACUUGAAAACAAUUGAAAAGAGAAACUUCUUCGUUCUUAAUUAAUUCUCCCUCUAAAAAAAAUAUUCAUUAUUCAAUAGAAACAAUUAUGCAACAAAUUCAUAAAAACAUAUUUUUCUUAUACUUCUCACCCUUUGAAUACCAAGGAAGUUAGCUCUCCCAAAAAAAAUAUAAACACAUACAAAAUGUCUAAUUCUCCCCCUAUCAAUAUGCAUUAGGGUAACAAUAUCAAGUAAGAUAUAAAAUCAAGAUGCAUCACAACGAAUAAUUCAAAGCUCAAGCCUAUUUUUACAAAAGCUUUCUUCAUUCAAAGGCUUGGUAAAUAUAUCCGCUAAUUGAUUAUUAGAGCCCACAAACUCAAGAGUAAUAUGACCAUUUUGUACAUGCUCUCUGAUAAAGUGAUGCCUAAUAUCUAUAUGCUUAGUUCUAGAAUGAUGAAUAGGAUUCUUAGUCAAAUUUAUGGCACUAGUAUUAUCACAAAAUAUAGACACAUUAUCAAAUUUUAAUCCAAAAUCAUAAAGAGUUUGUUUCAUCCAAAGAAUUUGUGCACAACAACUAGCAACCGCAAUAUAUUCCGCUUUGGUAGUGGAUAAAGCAACUGAAUUUUGCUUUUUACUAAACCAAGAUACUAAGGAACUACCAAGAAAUUGACAAGUCCCACUAGUACUUUUACGGUCAAGUAAACUACCGACAAAGUCUGCAUCAGAAUAUCCUACCAAAUUAAACUCAACAUUUCUAGGAUACCAUAAUCCAACAUCAAUAGUUCCAAGCAAAUAUUUAAGUAUCCUUUUAACGACAUGGAAAUGUGAUUCUUUAGGACAAGAUUGAAAUCUAGCACAAAGACAUACACUAAACAUGAUAUCGGGUCUACUAGCGGUCAAAUAAAGUAAAGAUUCGAUUAUACCUCGAUAAGUCUUUAUAUCCACACACUUACCUUUUUCAUCUUUGUCAAGCUUAGUGGUAGUGCUCAUAGGAGUUUUUGCAACUUUACCUUCAUUUAAUUUGAAUUUCUUGAGCAAAUCCCUUGUGUAUUUUUCUUGACUUAUGAAGAUGCCAUCCUUGAGUUGUUUGAUUUGAAGACCAAGGAAGAAACUAAGUUCUCCCAUCAUACUCAUCUCAAACUCAUUAUGCAUACACUUGGAAAAUUCUUCACACAAAGAUGAAUUAGUAGAACCAAAUAUAAUAUCAUCCAUAUAAAUUUGUACUAUAAGCAUGUCAUUAUUUUUAACUUUAAUAAAUAGAGUAUUAUCAAUUUUUCCCAUCUUAAAGUCAUUCUCAAGUAAAAACUUGCUAAGUCUAUCAUACCAAGCUCUUGGAGCUUGUUUUAAGCCAUAAAGAGUCUUUUUCACAACUUAUAAACAUGAUUUAGGUAAACAAAACUUUCAAAGCCCGGAGGUUGUUUCUAUGUAAACUUCCUCCACAAUAUAACCGUUAAAACAUUUUUACAUCCAUUUGAUCAAAAUGAAAUUUAUAUAAAAAGCAAAAAGGCAAGCCACAUUCUAAUAGCUUCUAGAUCUAGCAACCGGUGCAAAAGUCUCUCAUAAUCUAUACCUUCUUCUGACAAUAACCUUGAGCUACAAGUCUAGCUUUAUUUCUUAAUUGAUAUUUCCAGUUUUCAUCCAUCUUAUUUCUAAAAAACCCUUUUAGUUCCGAUUUAGAUGCCAUUAGAAGGCUAGGAUAAUUUCAAACUUGUUUCUUUCAAAUAUGAUUUAAUUCUUCUUGCUAGCUAAAAUCAAAACUUCAUCACAUUCGGAUCUUUAAAACUUCUAGCGUUACAAUUUGAGACACAAAAGCAAGUUACUAAAUAAAUUUAGAGAAGAACGAUUUUGACACCUUGUUCGGGAUCUGCCAAGAAUUAGAUCCUUGCGGAUGGGAUAGAGCAUUAUCUCCACUUCUUUAGGCAAGGAUGAAAGCACUCUCUUCUUUUCUAUGAUGUUCACAUCUUGCAUACUUGGAACAAUUUUCUUUUGCCUGUUGUCAUUAACAAGUAAAUCUCCUUAAAUUACUUUUGUCUAAGAUCAUUCACUACAAAUAGACUCAUUGAGAAACUAAUUCAAGAUUCAUCAAAUACAACAUGAAUUUAGAUCCUCAAUAACUAAAGUUUUCUUAUAUGAACUCCUAUUAGCUUAAGUAGAGGAAUAUCCAUUAGAAAAUACCGACAUCUGUCUUAGAAUCAGAAUUUUCAGUUUAUUUCUUUAUUAUCAAAAUAAAACAUUUACAACCGAAACUCUUGAAUAUAUCCAUAUUUGGAAUUUUCCAUGCAAAGGUUCAUAAGGAGUUUAUUAAGAGGGUCUAACUAUAACGUUAUUUGAAACAAGCAAGCGGUGCUUUAACGGCUUCCGCCCAAAAUAUUUAAGGUAAACCAUACUCCAUUCACAUUGAUCUAGCAAAUUCUUGCAAAGUACGAUUUCCUUUCAACUACCACAUUUUGUUGAGGAGUUCUUGGAGAGGAAAAUUUAUGCGGAAAAACCAUUUUCUUCACAAAAAGCUUUAAAAGCAUCAUUAUUCAAAAUUCUCCUCCGUGAUCACCUAAUUUUGGAAUAAAAAAUCCUUUUUCAUUUUAUACUCUUUUUGCAAAAUAAUAAAACUUUUCAAAGCUCAUCCUUAUUAUUUUAUCAUCAAAACCCAAGUAAACAUCUAGAAAAUCAUCCAACUAUCACAAUAGCAUAAUAAUUUUCUUCCAUAACUUAGGCAAUUCUAGAAGGGCAAAUAGAGCCCACUGUGUAUAGUUUGUAAAGGGUCUAGUAGUAGAGAUCACUUUUUAGAUUUUGAUAGAUGCGACUUAGUUUUGCUUACCAAUUUGACAAGAUCACAAACUUUGUCUUUUUCAAAUUAAAACUAGGAGACUCUAACCAAACAAUUUUUUUAGAAAUAUUUUGAAAUUAAGUGCAUUGCUUGCAUGUCCUAGUCUUUAUGCAUGAACCAAUAUCAUUUAUGCCAGACACGAGAGACAUUAUCAAUAAUAGGAUAAAUCAUUAAAAUUCAAAGAGGUGUACACAUUUUAUCCCUAUUUCAACAAAACAACUUUUUCUCAUCACUAACAUUUUCAAUUAUGCCAACUUUUUUUUAUCAAAUAUUACUCUAAAUCCUUUAUCAACACAAUUGAGUAAUUUACUAAGCCAAAUCAUGCUUUAAACCACUCAACCCAAUUGAAAAUUUUCAUCAAAGCUAGCAUGAAUCUUUCCUAUAUUACCCUUACCAAUUAUUUUAAACCUUUUUUCCCUUUGUUGGGGGUUCCAAACCCAAAAAAAAAAAAAAAGGGUUACCAUGCCUCCAUCUUUUUUUGAGAAGAGAUAAGCUUUGGAUCGGUUCUCCGUCAUGUGUCUUGAGCAACCAGUAUCCAGUACCAUUGUUUUUCUUGGAGGCUUUCAACAACCUAAACAACAAAUAAUUUCAAUGUUGAUCUUUGGUCGCAUACUUGUUUGGGUACUAGAAUGUUAGCAUUACAUAUUUAGGGAUUUCCAUUUCAUUUUUCAUUAGACAUUACAAGCACUAAGAUUCUGAUAGGUAACAAGAAUAGCUUAUGUCCAUACUUGCCCACAGAAAGAACAAACAACAUUAUUGCAAAGAUUUAUUUUUCAGUAACAGAAUUUAUUAGUACUCUACUUUAAUUGGAGAAAUUUCUUUCCUUUGGGCAAUGUAAAACUUUGCUCUUUCGCCGAAAAAUUUCUUCUUGAAUAAGUAUUUUGAGGAUACUUCAUUUAAAGCAUUUAGGUCUAAUCGUGACCUUCAACACCACAAUUAAUGACAUAUGGGUUACAAAAACUAGCUUUAACAUAUGUAGACCCAUGAAUUAGACAUGUUAAACUUUAGGCACAAUAGGUGAUGCUUUAACGAAUGUAGUUUUUAGAACUGACAUGAGUAGAUGCAUUCAUCCAAUAUUAUGCCUAAACCUCUCUUAUCACCAUAAGAUUUUCCUACUUUCAAUAGUUUUGUCCAUCUUGAGAAAGACCCACCUAUUUGUCACCUUUUUAAGUAGUAUUCUUUGCUUUACUUCAAGCUUCUUGUUAAAAACACUUAGUUUCAUUUUUCUUUAAUCACUUUAAUCAAGUUAUCUUUUUUCACAACUAUCAUGCCUCCAAGAAAUCUAACUUAUAUCAAGCAAAUGCAUCUUUUCAUACAACAUGCUUAUCACUAGAGACAUUCAAUUCUUUCAAUUGCCUCAAAAUUUUCAUUCUCUUUAAAGCAAGCAAUUGUAUCAAGUUAAAAGACUAUUUUCACUUAAUUAAACAUUUGUAUUUCUUCUUAGCACAUACAUACUUACGACUAAGUUUUUCUAGCGUCAUUUUGAUUCUUCAAAAUUUUCAGAAUAGAUUCAUCAAUAGAAAAGAGGUUCUAGAGUUAACCUAUAUCAUUCGAUGCUUCAUCAUCUUUUGUCACUAUGAGCAUGAGACCAAGAUUAUGCCAUUUCUUCCAACUUCACUUUCCACUUUCACUACUAUCAUUCCCAUGUAGCCUUCAUUGCCUUUCUCUGGAUUUCUUAGAUGAUUUGAGGAGAGGACCAAUUGUUUUCUUUCAUAUGACCGAUCUUUUGCAUUCAUAACAAUCACCUCAUCCUUUUUGCUUUUGCUCACCUUUUGACUCUUUUUGGGUUGCAUAGGUGUUUCUUUGAAAUGAUUUCUUUUCUUUUUAUGAAUGUUUGUUACUUACGCUGAAAGAUAAGCAAUGUAUCUUCAUCAAUCCAUCCUCAAGAACAAAAUACUUCGGGAUAACUUCCAGGAGAUUAGUCUUUUAAUGCAAUGCCUCUUCUUCUUUUUGGACUCAUUCCUCCAAGCUGCUCCUUCAUGAUGGAUCUCAUGAGUCAUGAGUGAGCCAUAAGCUCCUCUAGUGGAAGUUUUGGUGUGAUCUUUGCUUUCUUUGAUCGCCGUUAACCUUGCUUCCCAAGUCUUCAGGUUAGAGACCUUAGAAUUUUUACUAGACAUUUUCGGAUCUGGUAUAAACUUUUACAGACCCUUCAAGCAUUUAUGAUGUUAGUAAAUCUAGUAACUAUCGGUGAAAUCUCACACCACAACAAUAUAUUAUGAACAAAAAAUUUUAGACUCUUUUAACUUGAUUUGUUCCGUUCAUGAGUAAUUCAAGAGAUUCCAAUUUUUCUUGAGCGGAAGAACACAUGACAAACACACUCAAGGCACAAUACAACAUAAUUAGCCUUAGGCAUUAACAUGAACAUUUUACAACAACCCUUAAUUUAGGCGUAGUCAACAUUAUCAACAUUUUUCAUGGGUACAUAAGCGACCUUUAGCUAACAAUUAACCACAGAAUAUAGUCAAUAUGAUUGCAAAUAAAUUUCGUUUCUAGCUUUCCAAUAUGCAUAGUUUUGAUACCAUCAAAUAAGGACGUUCUAGAAGUAGAUUGACUCAACAACAGCCAAUUACCUAAGUCUAACAAUAAAGUUUUAUUCAAGAAAUUUAAAAUUUCAAGUUAUGGCAACCUGCUCUUACCAAGUACGUAUGGCAACCCUUGAGGUGGGCUGAAUAGGGUUUAAAAUAAAUCUGACAAAAAAGUAAAUCCGACUAAUUAGAUAUUUUUAAUAUUUAAAUAAAGAACUUUGCUAACUUUGUUAAAUAACAAGAUUGAUAAAAUAUGAUUGGAAUAGUUGCAACUCAAACUCAACCAGAUUUAAGAAAUUUGUACUAAAAUUAAAUUAAAAAAUAAUAGAAAAGAGUUAAGAGAAGGACACCGCUAAUUUUAUAGUAGGUUCGUUAAACUCACCUACAUCACUUCCAAGCACUCUUGGCGAUUUGUUGAAAAUCUUCUUUAACUCUUUCCACGGAUUUGAGGCCGAACGAAUUCUUGCCUCCUUUUUUGGGUUCAAGGAGCAAACCGAUUCUCUCACGGGUUGCAUCCAACGUUACAAUAUGUUGAAGUUUUUAAAUCACACAAAGAAAACUUCUCUAAAGACGUGGUACUACAAUUUGAAGCUCACAAUUUAAUCCUCACAAUACAUAAGGAAACUCUCAAGAAUAGACUGAAAGUAAUACAAAAUUGGAAGGCUUUAGAGGAAUAACAAUGUGGCUUUUUGCUUGAGGAUUGUAAAGAUUUUAAUGAUCAUUGUGUAAAUGCUGAAGUAUUUUAAAAAGAGAGGAAAGAUAAUUUCAAAUCAUCUGGGUCAUUAGAUAUUAAGCUAACAAAUUGAAAAAUGAAGCUGAGAUUUAAACUUAAUUACCGUUAGACACAAUACAAAUAAUAAUAUGAAUAAUAUGUCUUUUCAAAAUACUUUGUUUUAAAAAGAAAUCAAUUAAAGCCAAUUCACCCUCUUUUUAAAAAAACUAGUCGUUAGACACAAGAAAAAAUAAUAAAGUAAAAUCAUUUUCCUUUUAAAUUCAUUUUCUUUAUAAAAGCCCAAUAAAACAUACAAAAGCCACAUUAUGCUUACUCCUUCAUUAGCUCCAGUGGCUUUCUCUAAUUCGUUUCAAAUCUAAUGCUUGGUCGCCACGCUCACCAUCUCGGGUAUUUUUUCGUUAAGCGUUCUUUUAGCAAUAUUUUCUUUCAUUUGACUGUUCGAUUUGGGUGAUCUUUCAAUAUAGGCGUUAGCAAUCAUUUUUCAAGCUCUCAUGAUAUGGUUAUUCAAAUUAAUAAAAUUGUUCAUAUAAAGAAAAAUGCAGGAUUGCUUAUCACUGCAAAACAUAAAUUAACUUGAAUAAUUAAAAUAAAUAAUUUUGAUAUUAAUUCGGCCAAAAAGCCAACAAUCAAUUGGUUUCUCGAAGUACGCCACCUUCAUCCCCACUACAAAACUAUGUUUAGUCGAGGCUGGAUAGCACACUUGUUCUUUAAGAAACGUCUUGAGUUAUGGGGAGUUCCAUCAAGCAUUGUAGUGACAGGUAUGGUAGAUUCGUUGGUACUCUCUGGACGAACUAUUUCCGCGCUUCCUUGGGACAGCUACAAUAUAUCUUUAAGCUGCCAUCUCAGGACGAAUGGCCAAAACUGAGGAUUCAUUGUAUGCUUUAAUGGAAUAUCUACACAUUUUGUGAUUAUGGACAAAAGAAUUGGGCUAGAUUGGAUAGGAUGUGGCUCAAUUAUUGUUUAUAUGCAUCAAACCUAGUCUUAUCCACAAUGAACGAUGCGAACCUUUCGAAAUCUUCGAGUGGAAGACACCUAUACUGCCUCAUUAUUGUUGAUCAUCAGCUUCUACAGAAAAAAUCUCAAGUACAUAACUUUACGGAAAAAUCCAUAGUAUCCACCUCGCGGUACUACGCACCCCCCCCGUUCCACAGUGCGGCGCGGCGCGAGGUUAAGCCCGCGGCUGUUGGGAGAAGACUACGAAACAUCCGGCUCGAGCUUAUUACUAAGAGAAAGUCUCGGAAGCGUAUGAUUAAGAAGCAUCAUCCGCUCUCAUAGUUUUUUGAGCGGAAGACCAACUCCAUAGAGUUUAAAAGCAAAGCAAAUUUGAUUUAGAGCGACAUCAACAUCAGAUCUUCACAGAAAAUACGAAUGGGCCCUGUUGAAGUUUUUGAAGGGAAAUUGGAAAUGCCUCCUAUAGGGUAUCGCUUGCCUGCCAUGGAAUAAAAAAUAUCUAGUCUAGCUCAAUGUGAGCAACUUGAAACCUUACCACUCAAGAAUCCAGACUGCGACAGUAGUGAACAAUGGUGUAUGGUCAUCUAUUGACCUAAGUAGCAAAGCACGAGUAAAGAAACUUGGAAGAAAUCCUUAUACAAAGAGAGUGAGGAAAGGGCGUAUAACCAUGAAGAGGCAUCAUGAAGUUCCUACUGCAAGGAAUGAAUAAGACCUCCGAGUGUGGAAGAAACACGUUAUGGAAUGUGGCUGAAGACCUUUGGAGCGUGAAAGAGAAGAAUCGAGGAAUUCUUUAGCUUCGCAGUCGACAGGGAUGUCAAUUCUUUAAGCUGGGGGAGAAUGUUUAAGCAAGCAUGCUUGUCCAGGGCGCUGUUUGCUUAUUGUCGCAUGCCCAAACACCCCCAAUGUUACAUUGUUUUAUGUUUGUAUUUUAGUUUCUACUUUUUUGCUUUCCUUUAUGAUAAUGUCUUAUAAUUUUAGCGGCUGCUGACUUGCUUUUUCUUAUUGGCGCAACACCCUCACCAGAUCACUAAAAAGCUCUAAAAUAGUAAUUAUAGAUGGCGACAUAUGGUAGUGAAUCGCUGUCCAAGCCUUGUUGCACUCUUCGCAAUCCAAAGUUUUUUCUUUUUUGCCCAAAUUGACAUGUCUUCUUAAUGCUUGCUUUAACGAUAUUUUCAUUGAAUUUCUUUCUUCUCACGUUUUAUAAAACAUUUUCUCAAGAACCUGAAGAGACGGCUACAUCGUAUCAUGUGUUUGUCUGUGGUUUUUGGAUUUGAUCAGCUAACUUGUUGUCUACGUAAAACAAGUGCAACAUAAUCAAGCCUCUCGUGUUUGAAAGCUCGCGAUUGUGACACAAGAACUGCACUAGCCAAGAAUGCACAUGAGAGGGCUAUACGAAAUGCCAAGCACGCAACCAAGUGAGUUCACAAUGUGCUUGUGUGUGAGGUUAGCACGCGGGCAUGCCCAACACGCAUGAAAAGCCUAUUGUGAGAUCACACACAGUAGCAAGCGCCCAACCAAGGCCCUGCCACCCACCCAUUUCGUGUCAGGCAGUGUCAUAUUGCGUGUUGAGCUAUUGGUAAUUUUUUGAGUUUUUUAAGUAUACUUUUAAUAUUUUCUUGGCAAAAGAUAAUUAAUUGUACUAUUUUACCAUUAUUUCAAGACAUGAGAAGAUCAUACAAAUUUAUAAACCAAGGAUUUGAGCUUGUAUCCGUGAGUGGAAAAUGUUUUAUUUAAAGUGAUUUCAAGCAUGUUCUUAAGUCAUGAUUUAUGACGGAUUUAUGAUAAAAUAUUUAAGUUUGUUAUGAAAAGUCUUUCAAGCGUGUUAUUGUUUUAAAGGUAUUUAUUCUAGCAUAUUGUUUACUCUUCAAAAUGCAUAAUAUUCAAAUGUUUUCCCACUUUCUAGGUAGAGAUCGUGUCCUCUAAGCCUAACUUGCUGCUACCGUCUACUGAAGGAUUUCAUUUUGUUAUCGUAUGUGUCCUGUUAUUUUGUACUAAUGAUAAAUUAGUCUUUUGUGCUAUCAGACUUAGGCUUUUGGGAAGGUUUUAUAAGGUUUUGUUCUAGAUAAAUAAGAUUACGUUUUUUCUAUGUAAAACUUGUCUAAGGUUGUUAAAUGAAAAAGGUUUAGCCAUUUAAGAGUUGUUGACAAGAGUUGACACUCUAGAAUUAAAAGUUGUAAGAAACAAAAAGAAACUACCCACUGUCUCUGCUAAAAGUUGGGAUAAAAUAAGAGGGGAGUGAUCAGAAAUACCCGAAGGCCAUGCAGUAAUCCAACACCAUUAACUAGAAUACGAUUAAACCGUUUUAUCAAACCAAACCCAUGAACCUUUCUAGUCCAGGUGAACCAUAAAUAAGGCACUAUAGACUAUACGAUUAAACCGUUUUAUCAAACCAAACCCAUGAACCUUUUGAGUAUAUAGCCUAAAUAGUCUAUAGUGCCUUAUUUAGAGAAACUACUAGCACCUACUUGCGUGGCUCGAGAUAUGGCGUGAAGCCAAUCGAUAGCACCCACGUCAAGAACGACACCAUUUGACCCUUAGCUUGAACGUUUAAACUCUAAACAAUAGCGGAAACAUAACACCAAAACCUUAUGUCAACCUUUGAUUCUCUAAAUAAGGCACUAUAGACUAUUUAGGCUAUAUACUCAAACUUGAUCCGCAUUUAUGUCUCGACAUAAAGUUCAAAUGUAUUAAAAAAUAGCAUUAAGACUUAGUUUAUUGGAUUUAAGAUUAUAAUUUUUAAUUUUUCAAUAACGAUGAUUUUAUUGAACUGAAUAUGAUAACAAACUACGAGUUUUAGGACAUAAAAUCCCAACAUAUGUAUUUUUGCCUCUAAUAAUAAUGUUGAAAGAUGUUUGUUGUGGUUUCAUAUUGGUGAUAUCUCUUCUGGUUGGACAUAGUCAGGUUUUGUAAUGGGUGACUUUAACGCUCUCAAAAUGCAUUUUGAGGCUUUUGAUAGGUCUUCUGUUCCUAUGGAUAUAGGGUAACUGGUUCACCUGGACUAGAAAGGUUCAUGGGUUUGGUUUGAUAAAACGGUUUAAUCGUAUUCUGGUUAAUGGUGUUGGAUUACUGCAUGGCCUUUGAGUAUUUCUAAUCACUCCCCUCUUAUUUUAUCCCAACUUUUAGCAGAGACAGUGGGUAGUUUCUUUUUGUUUCUUCAACCAUUGGGUUGAGGAUUCUUUGUUUAUUGAUAUUGUCUCUUCGAUUUAGAGUCGCCAUGUAGGAGUUUCUCUGAUUGUGAGUUUCGUGAGAAAUUUACAUAACCACAAGCCUACCCUCCAUAGACAGUUUGGUAAGCACAUUUAGAGCCUAAGUGAGGAGGUUCGUAUUGCUAAAGAGUCCAUGGAUAAAGCUCAGAGAAAGGUUGGGCAAAAUCCUAUGUCUGAUGUUUUGAGUCGCCAAGCAGGUCUUGCCAUUUUGGCCUUUUGGACGGCUGUUAGAUUGGAGGAAGCCUUCAUGUGUUAGAAGUCCAAGAGGUUUGUGAGUUGCCUUAGAACUUGUGUUACCUCCUCGAUGUUCUCCAUUAUGAUUAAUGGCUCUUUCAAGGGUUUUUUAAUGGGAGGAAAGGUUUGCGGUAGGGUGAUCCUUUAUCUCCUUUCCUUUUUAUCGUGGUGAUGGAGGUCCUCUCUCGUAUGUUGAAUCGGCCUCCUCCGAGCUAUCAGUUUCACAGGCAUUGUGAGAAGGUUAGCUUAACUCAUCUGACCUUUGCUAAUGAUCUUAUGAUUUUUUGUGCUGCUGAUGAUUCCUCUUUGAGUUUUAUUAACGAGACUAUUCGAAAGUUUGGUGAUCUCUCGGGGCUAUUUACUAAUCUUAGUAAAAUUUCUAUGUUUGUUGUAGGGGUUAAUAGUGAUGAUGUUUAUCGUUUGACUACCAGUUUGGGUUUUGUCCUCAGGCAUCUCCCUGUUCGUUAUCUUGGGCUUCCUUUACUUUCUGGGAGGUUACGACCUACUGAUUGUGCUCUCUUAUUCAACGUAUUACUAGUCAGAUUCAUUCUUGGUUUGCUAGAGUUUUAUCAUUUGCAGGUAGAUUGCAACUGGUUCGAUAUGUGCUUGAUAAUCUUCAGGUUUACUAGGCUAACGUGUUUGUGCUGCCUGUGAGUGUGCAUCAUGAGGUUGAUAAAAUCUUGAGGUCUUAUCUUUGGAGGGGUAAGGAGGAAGGUAGAGGAGGUGUUAAGGUGGCGUGGGCUGAGGUGUGUUCCUUUUGAGGAGGGUGGUCUUACUAUUCUUGAUGGGUCUUCUUAGAAUGUUGUGAGUACUAUGAAGAAUCUUUGGUUGUUGCUGACUAGUUCGAGUUUUCUAUGGGUUGCUUGGGUGGAGGCUUAUAUUCAUAAAGGAAGGUCGUUGUGGGAGGUCGAUUCUUGUGUUGGUCGGUCUGGUGUCUUUGCGCUAUCAUGUGUAAACAAGAUAGUCUAAAAGAGCAUGUUCAGAUGGAGGUUGGGGAUGGUAGGCAUUGUAAACUGUGCCUGGAUCCGUGGUUGAAGGGUGGUCCUAUCCUUCAACAAGUUGGUGAGAGAGCGCUUUAUAAUGUAACGAGUAGAUAGGAGGCUAGGCUCUCUAAGUUUAUUGGUUCGAAAGGGGAGUGGAGGUGGUCGAGGGUGUCUUUGGAUUUGAUUAAUUUAUGGGAUAGGGUUCAAGUUGUAAGUUCGUGUCCUAAUGUUGGUGAUAGGUAGGUUUGGGUUCUUGGUCGUCAUAGUGGUUUUUUGAUUGCUAGUGCAUGGGAUACUAUUCAUUCUCGUAGUGUUAAGGUUCGUUGGACAGGUUUCUUGUGGGGUGGGGAUUGAGAGUCUCGUUAUCAUUUGUUUUUUCAUGUCCUUUUGGGUGUGAUAUUUAGUCUCGGGUCCUUUAGGUUAUGGCUUCCUCUCACAGGAUUGGGUAUUGGGGGGUUGAGUUGUUUGGGGUUUGUCAUUAGAGUAUUGGUAAGGGUGUGAGAAGGAAGUUGUGGUAUGUUCUCUGGUGUGCUACGAUUUAUUUUAUGUGAAAGGAGCAUAAUCAUUGUCUCCAUGGUGGUCAAGCUCGUUUGCUCAUUGUUCUGUUUCAGCUUAUUCCAUAUUGUAUCAGUGCUCGUGUUGUUUAUUUGCGUGAGGAUGCUUAUGGUAUUAUUUAGCUUGUUUUCUUUUGAUUUUUGUUUUAUCUGCUUGUUCUCGGGCUGUGGGGUUGUUUGGACUUUUUAUGUUUUUGUUGCUCUUAAUUUUGUUGGGUUUAUUAUUGUUCUUUCUUUUGAUACUCUGGAUUCUUCCUGUUUUUGUGAGCAUUGUUCGCUCUUGUGAGGUCAUCCUUGUUGUAUUAUGAUAUUAACUUUUCAAAAAAAAAAAAAAGAUAAUGCAAUUCAACUUUAGAUAGAAACAUGAUUCGAAUUUUCAUUUCAAGAAAAUACAAGGGGACAAACUCAAGGAUUAUGUGGAUCACAAAACUUGAAUUACUAGAAUCUAAAUUUCCAUAUGUUAGAUAUCAUCAGAAGCAGUUAGACCAAAAGUUAAUUAUCAAUAUGUUAGUUCACAGGAACUGCAUAAUCAAGCACAUAAACAUCCACAUUGUCAUUCAUUGUAGGCAGCUUUGAUACACAAAAAAUAUGGAUAUUUUCAGAAGUUCAAGCAUACACAAAAAACAUAUCCUUGUCAGAAAAUAGCCAACUAAGAAAGAGAAGUUCAAGAUUUAUAUACAAAGUGCAGCUGCAAAAGGACAAGCAAGAUGCCAUAAUCUAUAUAUUAUGCAGUCGGAUAUUAAUUGGCAAGUACUAACAGCAAAGGUACCAAAAUAAAACUGUAUCAAUUUAUCUUGUCUAAAACUAAACAGUAUAUGUAAAUCUUGCAAACAAACAAGUUUUUUUGAAUCAAAACUGUCAAAAGAUUUUGAUUCAAGUGAUAAGUGGAUUGUGAUCUUUUGUGUCACCCAUCCAUUCCUCCUGUUUUAACCAUUUAAAUCAAUAAAUAAUUUUAUGUUCAAACAUAAGUUGGACAACCUUUGUUAAAGAACUGCUUCCCAAAACAAAUAGCAUUAACCACCCUUUUUUAAUUCAACACAUGGAAUAGAGAUCAAAUCUCUAAUUUUUUGGUCUAAGGUACCUUUCCUAAACUUGUCGAAUUCCAUUUUCUACACCAACUUUAAUUCGACCUCCCACGAAUUCUCUUCUUCUAAGGAUUAACUUUUCUCUAAGGCUCUGCACUCUACUAAAAAGCCUUGAUCUUCUUCCCCCCAAUGUUUUCAUAAACUUCUUAAGACAGACCUUGGCCUUGGUUAGGCUCGGAUCUCCUUGGAUUAUCACCUUCUUCCCCUGAUAUGUAAAUGUUAACAUCAGAUUCUUCCAAUUCACUCCAGUCGUUCCCAAGGAAUACAAUCACUGCAUUCCAAGUAUGGCAACUACCCCUCCCAACUUCAAGGAUAAAAACUCAUUCACUACCUUCUAGUCUCCCAGCAUUAACUCAACAUCUUCACAAAUUACCUUCCCUUUGACUACAGUGCCCGAGCCCAAAAUGACUCCAUAAUUUGACGUUUCUCUUGUACUCAGUUACAACUCUUUCACUAUUUUUUUCUGAAAUGAAAUUGCGUGUGACUCCACAAUCAAUUAGUAUUAUAGCCACCUUCCCUUGUAUCAUCUCUUUUACCUUCAUUUUCCCUAGGUUGGAUAAUCCCACCACAUAAUUAAUGGAUAAUUCCACCAUCAUUUGACUCUACGAUCUCAGGGGCAUUCAAUUCUUUCUGAUCAAUUCCUCCUUCUUCAAUAAUUUCAUACUCCUCGCCUUCUUCCUUCACAACAAUCAUUCAAUUCCCUUUGCUCUUUCAUCUUGCAUUUGUGGUCAUGAGAAUAUUUCUCAUUACAGCGAAAGCACAAUCCCUUCUUUCUAGAUUGAAAUUCAGCAUCAAAUAAGCGCUUCGUCUGUCCCUCUUUCCGUACUUCCUCUUUUGUUGUUCCUCGUAGAGUAAUAGUUCUCAUCGGCCAAUUCAUUCCUCCUUUACUUUCUUCUGUAUUCGCAAUGGUAUUAGCCUUGGUGCUAUUAUGGGAGUUUAUCACCUUUUCUCCAGAAUAUCCAAAAGAUUUGCUUCCUGACGUAUAUCUUCCUUGUUCUCUACCUUUUGCGCAAUUCGUAUCAUUUGUGCUAAUCCCUUCGACUCACAUAAAUCCAUCUCCGCCUAGAUCCACAGUUUCAAUCCGACAUAAAUGUCUCUUUUACCACCUUCUCUAAUAGGUCCGACAAAGGAGCUACGCACUUAUCGAAUAAAUUUUGAUAUUCCUCUAUCGUUGUCUUUUGUUGAAUUUGCAAGAACCUUACAUACAACGAUUCCUCCCUAACGGAUCGAAAUCGCAUAAUCUUUCCUUCAUAUUCACCCAAUCUACAAAGUUCUCUCGUUCUUCUUGAGAACGGUAAAAGUUCAAUGCUAGUCCCUCAAAACUAAUAGUGGAUACAGUCAUUUUCUCAAAUUCAGUAAGUUUAUGAAUGUUCAAAUACCUCUCUACGCAAAACAGCCAAGAAUCGGGAUCAUCUCCAUUGAAUAUCGACAUCUCCACCUUCUUAAACUUAUUGCAGUCACUAUUACUUUCAUCAUCUAUUUUCUUUCCUUCCUUCCCUGUUUCGUUCUCCCAUCUUGGUCACCCUUCGCCUUCGUCCACAUUCUUCGUCGAUGAAUUGUGCAUUGUUGUCGAUUCCAUAAUUCGUAACAUCAUCUGAUUCUACCUCUCCAUAUUUUUGGAUAUUUUGGCCAACGUCUUUUCGAUCACCAGUAUCUUACUAAUCUCUUUCUUAAUGUCUUGUAUUUCCUGGUCAAACGUCUCCAUCUCUUCGAUCCGAGUCUGAACCAUUUGCAUUCUUCUUGCCCGAGAUCAAUGCUCUGAUACCAAUUUGAUGGAAACCACUCUUGGAAUGAAAUUGCUACUAUAUUAUUAAUGAUAGAAUAGGAAUGAAAUCCUAAUUACAUUAUGAAAUCCCACUCCUGUUAUCCUCUCUCUCAAGGAAGAAUAGAAAUUCACUUUCUCAAACAAAACCUAACUUUCCCGCCCACGAUUACUUUUUAUUUAUACUAACAAUAAGGUAACUAACCCUCACAUGCUAUUCAUGUGCACGUGAUUUUUUUUUUAAUUUCUUUGUCCCUCUUCCGCUGUACAGAUGUAAUAUAGGGGGUCUAUCAGAUUCCUCCUCUUUUCAAAGCCUCCAAUCAAACUCAAUGCUAAGUUUGACUGCUCCCUUCAGAGUGACGACCCUCAUUUUCCCCCUUCCGUGGUUUGGGGAGGAUUCCUCCUCUUUUUAAAGCCCUCAAUCAAACUUGAUGCUAUGUUUAGAACGCUAAGAAUAGGUGGUCUAGUUUUGGUUAGGCCAAAAGUGAAAUUUUCCCCCAAAAGCACUAAUAGUUAGGGAACUCAACACAUUCUACUUGACUUAAUCGACUUGACUCUCUAAUUUUUAUGAGCUUUUUUCAAUGCAUAUUGCAUAUGUUUUUUUUAUAGUUGUUGAUUGUCUCACAUUUUUAUGGUUUGCAUUUACAAGCCUCUUUUUUCUUUCUUUGGUAUGAAAUAUGGUAAUAGGCCUUGCUAGAACGGUGGGGUAAUCUCUCUAUGGUUCUACACUUAGUUUCAAAGUUUGAUUACUCCCUUCGAAGUGACAACAAGCCUCGUUUUCCCCUAUUGUGGAUCAGAGAGGAUUCCUCCUCUUUUCAAAGCCCUCAAUCAAACUCAAUGCUAAGUUUAACUGCUCCAUUCGAAGUGACAACAAGCCUUGUUUUCCCCUAUUGUGGAUCAGAGAGAAUUCCUCCUCUUUUCAAAGCCCUCAAUCAAACUCAAUUAGAGUAAAAAAGGAAAAAUUUUCAUCUCGGGCGCGUGUACCUCACACGCGUCUCUCUAGGAUUUCCAAGUUCUCUCACUCGGGUGGUGAAGGAGGCGAACGGCUGGUGAGUGCUGCGGUCAGCAAGGGAUCAAAUUCGAAGGUAAUUCGUUCGGUUUUGGCAGAUUGAAUGUGAAAACUAAUGUCAUUUGGUAUCCAUUUCGAAAUUGAUUACAAUUGAUCAAUUGAACCAUUACGAAUGAUAUUCGUUUUGAUUCGGGAGAAUUAACGUCUGUCUAGAAAUUGUUUAAAUCGAUUUCCAAGCUGAAUUGAUUUGAACUAUCUUGAAAGUAUUGCGUGUGGUACGAAUCGAUUUAUUGGCUAUCAGUUCUGGGUUUGAAGACCGUGAUUUAAUUCACUCGCUGAAGGGAUCUCGCAUGAAUCUCCUCGGUUGAAUUUCAAUUUUUUUGAGUUCAUUCGUGUUCCCAGAUUGGGCCGAAAAGAUCAUCACGGGUGUUGGGUUGAUGUCCUAAGCAUGAAACGAUGAAGAAAUUAUCCAGUGACAUUGAGGAGGUGAAGAAAAACGUGUGAUGUCAAGCCUUCAACGCGUACAUGAUAUGGCGGCGAACGACCGAAGGGCGGCGACUGCAAAGGCUGACCUAAUUUCUGUGAGGAAGAAAUGGUCGGACAUGAGUGGACCCGAACCGGUUUACGUGAACCGUGAAACAUAUAAAAACUGAAAUACAGGAAAUGGACCGAGCGGAGAUGGUCCCAUGAAGAUUGUUGGCCCAAAGGCGUGUGGGCCGAUUGUUUUGAAUGAAAACGUGAUGAAGCCAGUGAGCCGGUAAAGGGGCUGAAGCCGAAUGGUGUGGACACAUUUACGAAUGGAAUUGGUCAUGGAUUUCUGGUUGAUGGGCAUCGUUGAAUGAUGGGCCGCCAUCUCACACGAAACUGGGAUCUCACAGAAGGAGUGCUUACCUGCUGGUGCUUCAAGUGUUCAGCAUGUUGGGCAAAUUGCAACAGCCGAAGGAUAUGGACCUGGGCUGGAUGCUAUUGCAAGUGCCCCAAAGAUUGGGCCGGUUGAUGGGCAUUUGAAUGAUGGGCCAGCCAUUAGAGAAUCGUUUGGUAUUAAUUCAAAUGGUGGGCCGCCUGUUCGAUUCGUGGGCAUGAGGUGCAGAAAUCUAAUAAUUCUGGAGGUGCAGGCAAAAAUUCAUGGGCUUCCUUAUUUGGCUCAACAAGAGGUUUCUCUAUGACCUAUACACCUCUGACUACCGUGGGAGAGAAAAUUGUGGUGACCCCGUUUGAAGAAGUUAUUAGUCAAGGAGUUAGAGUGUGGGAGAACUCCCUCGUCAGCCAAUUAAUUGAUGCAAAAUUGCUGUAUCUAGUCAUCUAUCGUCUUAUAGAGAAGAUUUGGGGUAGAAUUGAAAUGCCAACAAUUACUCUGAUGGAGAAUGGGCUCAUCUGCUUUCAAUUCAAACAUCUGAAGUCGAUAGAGUGGAUCUUAUCCCGUGGCCCAUGGCACCUUGGAGGCAAACCUAUGCUCCUCCGCAAAUGGACUCCAGGUAUAGUUCCUGAAUCCUUUGUCUUUGAUUCAGUUCAUGUUUUGAUAAAGUUAGGGAGGAUUCCGUUGGAGCUAUGGACGGAUGCUGGUUUGGCUGUGGUAGCGAGUGCAAUAGGAAAACCUCUUUCAGUUGAUCUUGCUACUAAAGAGAGGCGUCGUCUUUCUUAUGCCCGUAUAUGUGUGGAAUUGAAUGUGGACAGUAUUAUGCCUGCCGAAGUAACAGUCAACCUUAGAGGAGAGGAAUUUAUUGUAACUGUCACUUAUGAGUGGAAACCGAAAAAAUGUAACUUGUGUCGAUCUUUUGGACACUCGCAGAACACCUGCCCUAAGAAAAGAGGCAAUGAAGAUAGUAAAAAGGAAGCUGCAAGUAAAGAGGUUCCUGUUAAAGAGGUUGUUCCUACUAAAGAGGUGGUUCCAAUUGUGGGGAGUAUGAGAUGUUGUGUUGGAAUCCUUCCAACACAUGGAAGAAGGAGAAAUUAUUACCCAUAAACUGCCUGAAAAGGUGGAGGUAAAUUGGGAGGAAUUUACCCCAGUUGACAGGAAAAAUAGGGGAAUGAUCUCUAUUUGGGACAGAGGGAAAAGGGCGGAAGUGAGUAUCACUAACUCCUUUAACAACCUCAUGGAGGUGGAUAAAGGAGAUAAAUGGCCUUUAUCUAUAGUGGAUGCUCCCCUCCUCCCUUACGAGUAGAUGACUCUUCUAUGGUCCUUUUGAGUACUAAGGUGAUGUAAUUCCUAUGGGAGAGGCGGCUCCCAUACGACCUCAUGGUUAGUUGGUGUACGUGGAACGUGCGGGGCCUUAAUAGCCCUAUAAAGUGUAGAGCGGUGAAGGACUUCUUAGCUGUGUCUACGGUGGGUUUCUGUUGCAUCCUGGAGACUAGAGUUCGAGAGGAGAACUUUGUCUCGAUAUCUAGAAGAUUUGUGAUUCGUGGGGUUCAUUAGUAACUACAGCGAUAGUGGAGCAGGUCGAAUGUGGAUUAUGUGGAAACGUAACAGUUUUGUGUUCACGACUAACGAGGUUGUCGACCAGUUUAUUUUGGUGUAAUAACAGAUUUGAUCUCUGGGGAGAAGGUAGAGGUUCUGUGUGUGUAUGCCUAUAAUAGUAACAUCGAGAGACGUGUUUUAUGGAGGCAAAUGGCUGAGAUCUCUGCUGGUUGGAGAGGACCGGGUAUGGUCUUGGGUGAUUUUAACACCAUCAGACUCCAGUCUGAAGCAUUCGGGGGUGCUCCGAACGUGGGGGAUAUGGAGGAGUUUGACAUGGCUAUUCGAGAGGCGGACCUUGUUGAACACGCGGUCCAGGGGAACUGGUUUACUUGGACUAGUAAGAUACAUGGGUCGGGUUUGAUGAAGAGACUUGAUCGUAUCCUAGUGAAUGAUGAGGGGCUUAGUACAUGGCCUAACAUGAGGGUUAACGUCCUCCCGUGGGGUAUUUCUGAUCAUUCUCCCAUACUUGUCUAUCCCAGUAAUCAGCGAAGCCAACAAGUGGUCUCUUUUCGUUUCUUUAACCAUUGGGUUCAAGAAGCGUCCUUUAUGGAUGUUGUGUCCUCUGCUUGGACCAAAGAUACUAGAGUUUCUCCAAUUGUGAAUAUUGUGAGGAACUUAAGAAAUCUCAAGUCGAUUCUUCGCAGACAUUUUGGUAGGCAUAUCCGGACCAUCAGUGAGGAUGUUCGUCUUGCCAAUGAUACCAUGGACCGAGCUGAAAGAGAGAUGGAGACGAACUCUCUGUCGGAGGAGGCGAGUAAUCACGCGAGCUUAGCCACGGUAAACUUUUGGAAAGCGGUUAGAGUGGAGGAAGCCGCUAUGCGUCAGAAGUCGCGAACCAGAUGGUUGAAGCUAGAUGACCAGAAUACUGCCUUUUUUCAUCGAUCUGUUCGAUCAAGGCAGAGCAGCAAUGCUUUGAGAUCAGUUAUUGACCCAGAUGGAAAUCGGUUGACUAACCAUGAUCAGGUGACUCAGGUGGUAGUGAAUUAUUUCAAAGAUAGUCUGGGUUCUCAGAAUAUUAGCUAUGAGAGCUCUCUACUAGUAUUGAGGAGAUUGUUCAGUUUAGAUGGACUGAGGAGUGUUGCAGGCCCUCCAGUCGCCUAUUGGCAGGGAGGAAGUGAGACGUGUUCUGUUCUCCAUGGAUGGUGNNNNNNNNNNNNNNNNNNNNNNNNNNNNNNNNNNNNNNNNNNNNNNNNNNNNNNNNNNNNNNNNNNNNNNNNNNNNNNNNNNNNNNNNNNNNNNNNNNNNNNNNNNNNNNNNNNNNNNNNNNNNNNNNNNNNNNNNNNNNNNNNNNNNNNNNNNNNNNNNNNNNNNNNNNNNNNNNNNNNNNNNNNNNNNNNNNNNNNNNNNNNNNNNNNNNNNNNNNNNNNNNNNNNNNNNNNNNNNNNNNNNNNNNNNNNNNNNNNNNNNNNNNNNNNNNNNNNNNNNNNNNNNNNNNNNNNNNNNNNNNNNNNNNNNNNNNNNNNNNNNNNNNNNNNNNNNNNNNNNNNNNNNNNNNNNNNNNNNNNNNNNNNNNNNNNNNNNNNNNNNNNNNNNNNNNNNNNNNNNNNNNNNNNNNNNNNNNNNNNNNNNNNNNNNNNNNNNNNNNNNNNNNNNNNNNNNNNNNNNNNNNNNNNNNNNNNNNNNNNNNNNNNNNNNNNNNNNNNNNAUGGAGAAUUUUACUAUCUUCCUCAUUAUUGGGAGUGGUUAGAGCUCGUUGUUGCUAGAAAUACGGCAGUACUCAAGCGAGCCUCCCUAUUUAAUGCGUGUGAUGGCUUCCCUAUAUACAUAUGAUCGCAACAGUGACAUUGAUCGGGCUUUCUGCGAGGCAUGGUGUCCUUCAACAAACACUCUUCACACCUCAGCUGGUGAGAUGUCCAUCUCCUUAUGGGACUUAUGGAUACUAGGAGGACUCUCGAUUAAAGGUAGAUUUUAUGAAGAAAGCAUUCCUUGCCACCAAGACUUAAUAGGAUCACCUGAUGUAUGUCCAAGAAGUUGUGAGCAUUUAUUUGCAGCCUAUUACCGCAUUGUUUCUCAACGCAUGAUCACUCUCAAAUCACUGUAAGUGAAUGGAUCUCUUUUUGGGUUACACGAUCUGAGGUAAAGUAUUCGAAACCGCCUCCUCGAAAGCCUAAAAAGACUUCUCGCCCUCGCUCAACUCAUAAUCCAGAUGGAAUUCCCAUCAGACGUCCUGACUGGUCUAAAGCUGAACUCAAAGUGUUCCUUGACUUAAGCGUCACUGAUGAUCAUAGGGACAAAACCUAUCUAGCGGCAUUUCUCUCUUGUUGGCUAUGUGUGUUUGUGUUCCCUGAUAAGCAACUUUCCCUUCGUCCGGAGGUUUUUAAGGUUGCUAGCCUCAUGGCGGAAGGCUACACAUUUAACCUUGUCGUCCCUGUUUUAGCUAAUAUUUAUAGUGGCCUACGCCAAGUUCAUGAUUCUACUUCAUCACUUGGUUAUUCAAAUGCCUGUUUUCCUCUUCACUAUGUCCAUGGGUGGCUUGCUCUUUACUUCAACACUCAUUAUAAAGCCCCUAGGAGUCUUAGGGGUCCUCGCAUGGUUGAAUUUUCUGGUGAAGGUGGGGCCAAAUAUUAUACUAAUCUUGAGGCUCGAACACAUAUCCACAAGGGAAAGUAUGUGUCAUGGCAUGCGUGUCUUCCAACAAAGAAUAAGGACGAACUCUUAACGGAUGAUGGAGAGUUAAUUAGUUGGAAUGCUUCAUUUUUCAUAAGCAUUCGCUCUUGUUUUCUAUCCUCGCAAUGUGGAUCCUCCACAGUUAUUGAGCCUUAUAGUCCUUGUCGCUUUAGCCGACAAUUUGGAUUUUAUCAAGACGUGCCAUAUGACUUAGGUGAAGAAAUUCCCGAAGCCAAUUUUUUAACGUACGAUAUUGUUGGAUGAUUUGUAUUCGCGAGAAUACACUUUCCCAAGUAUAUCUUCCUGUGUCUGCCCCUAAUCCAGACACACAUGUUACCUCUCAUUAUAAGGUCUGGUGGCUUGCAAAACACGGUGAUUACCUCCAAGAAGGAGUACAACAUUUGAUAGAUCGUCCUACUCCCCCUCACAUCAAAUCCAAAACCACAAAAAAGAUUGAACAUAAUUUUGGUAGUGGAAAUCAGAAGAUAUGCUCCGAUGAAACUGAUGAACGACUUGUGGAGAAAAUUGAGGGAGGGACAAAACGCUUGGUGGAUAAUUUGUCUCUUUCUACACGAUUUAAACAUCUUAUUAAAGGUGGUAUUGACAAUAUGGGUAAGGACAACCGCUUAUCGAUAGCUACCAAGCAUCCUUCUGAACGUAUUGAGGACAGUCAAAGCAGCAAUGAUGAUCGCCAUUGGAAGAGACCCAAGAAGCCCAACAAACAGUCGAUCGAUGAUGAAGAGUCUCCUAUUCGGGUCCCUGAUGCUGCACAAUUCUUCGAUGUCCCUUCCCCCAUGGUUUCUUUUCGUCUCCCUUUUUAUUUAUUUAUUUAUUGUAUUUUCUCUCCUUUACUCCUCUUAUUUCUUGUUGUUAAUAUUAUUUUGCAGUCUUCUUUAGGUGAUCACGACCUACACAUCGAAGAUACCCUAGAGUCGAUGCCGAAUCUAGAAGACUGUAACGUUGUACUUUCUUAUAAUGGAAACUCUAAGGAACCUAUAGGCGCAAAUAUUGUGUCUGCUUGUCCUCCUGUGAUCAAGGGACCUCCUCAAAAAGUGGAAGGCACGGAGCCUAUUACAGUUUCUGAGAUUUCUCAUUUUUGUGCUGACAGCUUAAUUUCUGACCUCCGACGACAGGCUGCCAUAACCUUAUGGGAAAACCUACGACAGAAGAUCAUUCGUACCCCUUUUGAACGACUGAGUAGUCUUGAACCAGAAAUGCAUAAGAUCUUUGAUGCGAUUGCGACUAGCGGCAGCGACAACCUUAUUGUUUUGAGGGAGCUUGUGAAUGGUUACUUCCAAGGUGUCGAGAACCAUAAUCAAAUACAUUCCUCAUUUCUACUCCAAUCAACUAAGGAUGUUCAGCUAACGGAGGCAAAAGGUUUUGUGAAGACUCUGCGAGUUGAUGAGAAUCGUAUAUUGGCAGAGACCAACACUGCUAAACGUCGUCUUACACGACUGUCCGCCAAGGAGGCUAAACUAGAGGCAAAACUAAAGAUGGUGCGGGCUGAGUCUGCUAAACUUUCUGGAAUAAUUUUUAAGAACGACCUGGAGCUGAAGCAGAAGCAACAUGAGAUUUCGAAGACUUGUGAGGAAAUUGACAAACUCGAAUGUGCCCCGAUCGUUGGAGAUAUUGAUGCUAAAAUGCUAUCAACACUUCGUGAAUCUUUAGAAAGCACACUAGAGGAGCUGAAGAACUUUAAAUGGACUCCAUGAUUCUCUGCUUUCUCUUAUUUAUCUACUUAUGCCUUUUUAAUUUUUUUUUUGCUAGAAGUUUAUAAUAAAAAAAAAUUAUUCUUUCAUUGUUCCACUCCUCAUCAUAUUUUCUAUUAAAUGUAAUUUGUCUUUCUUCCUUUUUUUUUAUUGGACUGAACUUAAAGUUUCCUUUAAGCUGCCUACGUACCCUUUAUAAUAUAGGGAUCAAGUCAUAACAUAGUUCAACUUUUUUUUUUUGCUGGACUGGGCUUAAGGUUUUCCUUAAGCUGCCUACGUACCCUUUAUAAUAUAGGGAUCAAGUCAUAACGUAGUUCAACUUUUUUUUUGCUGGACUGGGCUUAAGUUUUCCUUAAGCUGCCUACGUACCCUUUAUAAUAUAGGGAUCAAGUCAUAACGUAGUUCAACUUUUUUUUUGCUGGACUGGGCUUAAGGUUUUCCUUAAGCUGCCUACGUACCCUUUAUAAUAUAGGGAUCAAGUCAUAACGUAGUUCAACUUUUUUUUUUUGCUGGACUGGGCUUAAGGUUUUCCUUAAGCUGCCUACGUACCCUUUAUAAUAUAGGGAUCAAGUCAUAACGUAGUUCAACUUUUUUUUUUUUUUUUUACCUAACAAAAUUAAGCAUAAAAUUUUUUAAGAAAUUUACCAUUGAUUGGGCCAAUUCGUAGUCCGUCUUGAUCAACGAUCUUGUAUGCGCCAUUUGUAUAAACUUCUUUAACAAUGUAAGGUCCAUCCCAUUUAGGUGUGAACUUAUUUCCUGUAUGCCUUGUUGUGAUGAUCGGUCUCCUUACGGCAAGUACUAGAUCACCGACUUGAAAGGAGCGAGGUUUAACGUGUUUAUCAAAAGCUUUGGACAUUCUCGCUUGAUAACAUUCCAAUGCUUGCUGAGCCUCUAAUCGCUUUUCGUCAAGUGCUUCUAAUUCUUGAAGACGUAACUUCACAUUAUCUUCGGUAGUCAAUCCCUCUUGUACUGCCAUUCUUAGUGACGGAAUUUCCCUUUCGAGAGGAAGGACAGCCUCCACACCGUAAACAAGCGAAUAUGGUGUAACCCCUGUAGGGGUGCGAUGAGUCGUCCGAUAAGCCCAUAAUGCCUCGCCGAUCUUUUCUUGCCAAUCCCUCUUUGACUUGGAGACAAUUUUCUUUAAAAGAUUACACAAUGUUUUGUUGAAUGCUUCUGCUAGUCCAUUCGCAGCUGCGUUGUACAUGGAUGACUUAUAUUGCUUGAAUUUGAAUUUUUCACAUAACUUGUCCAUCAUACUAUUGGAGAAUUGCUUUCCAUUAUCCGUCACGAUUCGAUGUGGAAUACCGUAUCGAUAGAUGAUGUGUGUUCGAAUAAAGUCUGCCACGUUCUCCUUCUUGGCUUCUCUCAAUGAAAUGGCCUCAGCCCACCUUGAAAAAUAGUCUGUUGCUGCUAGGAUAUAAGAAUGUCCUGCUGAUGAUUUUGGUGUAAUGGGGCCAACCAGAUCGAGUCCCCAAGCCUCAAAAGGCCAAGAAGCCACAGUUGGAUGAAGAGGUUCUGGAGGUUGGUGUAUGAAGUUUGCAUGGUAUUGACAAGGCUCACACUUCUUCACAUAGUCUAUUGAAUCUUGGAUCAUCUUAGGCCAGUAGUAGCCCAUUCUUCUUAGCUGGAAUUGAAGCUUUGGUCCCGAUUGAUGUGCUCCACAAACACCUGCAUGUACUUCCUUUAGAGCUUUUACCGAAUCUUCCUUUCCGAGACAUCGAAGGAAGAGCCCUUCAAGAGAACGGCGAUAUAAAGUUCCCUUGUAAUAAAUGAAGUGUGCUGCCCUUCUUCGUAUCUCAAUUUUAUGACGAGAAUCCUUUGGAAGCUUUCCAUGUUCAAGAUACUCUAUGAUGGGUUGACGCCAAUCUUCUUCAUCAAUCAAAUAGGAUGUUGCCAUGUUCACUUCCUGACAUUCAGGCCUAACUGGGGGUAUAAUCCAUCGUUGACAAAGUGGUAUGUUCAGAGUUACAUCAUCUGGCAUGGUCAAGGCCGUGGCUAAAUUUGCCAAUGCAUCCGCUCUCUUAUUUUCUACUCUAGGGACAUGUUCUAACAUCACAUUAUCAAACUUUUCCAUCAAUUGUCGAGCAUAAGCAAAAUAUGGCUUCAAGUCUUCAUGUUUCACGUCAUAUUGAAGCGAGAGUUGAUUGAUUAUCAAUUUUGAAUCACCAUAGACCUCUAUGAAUGACACUCCGAUUUCUAAUGCUAUUUGAAGGCCAAUUAUCAAAGCCUGAUAUUCAGCCACAUUGUUUGAACACAAUUCGGAAAGUGCAAAGCUAUAAGGCAACAUAUGCUUCUCAGGAGAAAUGAGGACAAUGCCUGCCCCCGCACCACUUCUUCGAGCUGCACCAUCGAAGUACAUAGUCCAAGGUUCCAUAACUUCUGUGAAGAAAACCUCAUCGUCUGGUAGGUCAUCACAUAACUUCCAAUCCGAAGGAAUUGGGUGGUCUGCUAAAAAGUCUGCUAGCGCUUGUCCUUUUAUCGCCUUUUGGGGAAUAUAGACAAUGUCAUAUUGUUGGAGUAGAACCGCCCAUUUGGCUAAGCGUCCAGCGAUGAUUGGCCUGGAUAGAACAUACUUUAUAGGGUCUGCUUUUGCCACUAGAUGAACCGUGAAGGCCUGCAUAUAAUGCCUCAACUUAUCAAUGGCAAAGAAAAGUGCAAGACACAUCUUUUCGAUAGGAGAAUAGUUAACUUCAGCCCCAAUUAAUGUUCUGCUUAGAUAGUAGAGAGAACGCUCCUUUCCCUUUACCUCUUCUUGUGCCAGUAAUGCUCCUAAGGACCUUUCUUGUGCAGCAAUGUACAAUAUUAGUGGUUUGUCAGGUACUGGAGCUCCCAGCACUGGGGGAGUAAGCAAGUAUUUCUUUAUGCUAUCAAAAGCGUUCUGACAAGCUUCAUCCCACACAAAAUUUUCUCCUUUUCUCAUCAACUUUUGAAAAGGUUGACACCGACCGGCCAAGUUAGAGAUGAACCUUCGGAUGUAAGCCAGUCGUCCUUGGAGACUUCUUAGGUCAUGCAAACUUUUAGGUCUUGACAUCUUCUGAAUGGCAUCAAUCUUGGACUGGUCUAUUUCGAUCCCUCGAUGCCUUACAAUGAAGCCAAGAAAUUUUCCUGAAGUUACACCAAACGCACACUUGAGAGGGUUCAUCCUUAGCUGAUAUUUUCGCAAGCGAUCAAACACGACUUUUAGAUCCUUCAAAUGGUCUUGUCGUCUCUUUGUUUUGACUACAAGAUCAUCAACAUAACAUUCAACAUACCUGUGCAACAUAUCAUCAAACACUUUCUGCAUGGCACGUUGAUAAGUAGCGCCGGCAUUUUUCAAUCCAAAGGGCAUCACCUUGUAACAGUAUAUUCCCUUUGGAGUUCUGAAAGCUGUCAUUUCUUCAUCUGAGAGGGCCAUCCGUAUUUGAUUAUAUCCAGACGACCCAUCCAUAAACGACAACGCCUCGUGUCCAGUAGUUGCAUCAACCAUGAUUUCGGUGAUGGGCAAGGGAAAAUCAUCUUUAGGGCAUGCAUUAUUCAGAUCGCGAAAGUCUACACAAACGCGAAGUUGUCCAUUUUUUUUUCUAACAGGGACAAUGUUUGCUAUCCACGUUGGAUAUUUGACCUCGCGAAUGAAUCCUGCUUCGAUCAACUUGUUGACUUCCACCUCGAUUUGAGGGAUAAGCUCCGGUCGAAAACGUCGUUGUGCUUGUUUAAUCGGUCGAUAUCCGGGUUUAAUUGCAAGAUGAUGGACUGCUACUUUUGGGUCAAGUCCUGGCAUCUCCUUGUACGACCACGCAAAGAUGUCCCUGUAUUCGGUGAGCAAACUCAUAUAUUUAUCCACCUCUUCGUUAGAGAGGGACGCACUAAUGAAAGUCGGACGUGGUUCCUCUAUUGUACCAAGGUUCACCUCUUUUAGCUCGUCUACAGUAGAUUGACCACCAUCCUCUAAACUUUGUGGGGCAUUUUCUGCGUCUUCUUCAUGAGUUCCAGUCUCUGAUUCCUCAAUAAUGGUGAUGUGAUGACAUGAAGUUUCACAUUCCCCUUGUUCCGACCCUUCUUUUUCAGGAUUCGUUAGUAUAACAUCAUGUCUUUUUACCUUUAACGAACCUUGACUUGUAUUGAGAGUAACAAAAGUUUUUCUUUUCAUGCGAGAAGGAACGUUGCUAUGAAUUUCUCCAUUUUCCUUUGUCUCGCAAGGAAACUUCUUACUACGAUAAUUAUCGACAUCUGUAUGCUUAAUUCGACGCCAAACUUUCACACGAGACAUUGGUUCCUUCUUCUUUGUAUCUAUGUUGGAAUCAAUGUUGUCGUGUGAUCCUUUAUCCCCGAGAUGAUUAAAAAUCGGAGCACGGGGUGCUUGUACAUUUUUCUUUUUAGACACACCUAGCCUUUCAAAGGCUGAUGGUCUUGUAGUUGUCAAGGCAUGGCAUGUGCUUUCUUCCUUUAUGGGAGUCGUAGUUAGCCUUCGAAAGACCGAAUGUCUCUCAAGGUUUGGUACUGACUGGAGCCUUUCUCUUUCUGCCUCUGUCAUGCUUAGCCUUUCAAAUACUACGGGACGUGCAACAGAUGGUCUAAUUCGAUCAAAUACUGAGAUUCUCUGAUUAUCACCUUCUUUUACGUCAGUAUUGUCAUCCUCCUCUAUAGUUAUAUGAUUGAUGUCAACCACUUUUUCCUUCCCCUUUUUAGUUAUACGGAUCGGUUCUGGCGACUUGUAUCCGAGUCCUUUUCUCGACACGGGUAUAGAAUGUCCUUCCCGUAGAAGCUUCUUUUGAGUUGAGGAGAGCUCAGGUCGGUCAUGAAUUUCCAAGCUUUUAAACUCGGUGUGAGCUGUGAAGUCAUAACCUGCUUUCGCCAUCAAUUUGUAAGCCUUGGGGUCGAAUCCGUCUUUCGUUCGCCUUUGGGGCAAGUUUGCUUCCACCAGAUCUACCUUUACCUCCUGCUUCGCUAUCUUAGUUAGUGGUGUAGUGAAGCUUUCUUUUAUGAUUUCGAUGUCCCAACUUUCAAACCUUUUGGAGACUCCAUGAAUGGUGAUUCGCCUUUCUUGCGCCUUGACAGAGGGACAUAACGCAAAACUGGUGUGUUUGCAGCAUUUUCAUCCUUCAAGAUCAUACCCUUUGUGCUGCUAGUGUAUGCUUCACCCUUUCCAGAGUUAAAGGUUCUCGCACUUUCAUGUGGUUCUGUGGUUGCGAGUGAUUUCAGUUGUGAAUUAUCUUCUCCUUUUGUAAGAGGGGUUUCUGCAGGCAAAACUUCUAAAAUAUUAUUAUUCUUUGAAUAAAACUUUGCAUCUGCGAAGUGAGACUCAGCUUCUGAGAAUGGAUUAGAGUCGGCUUCAACCUUCUUUACACCGUCCUGAUAAAAUUUGAAGCACUGAUGCAGUGUUGAAGUUACUACUCCGUUUCCAUGAAUCCAAGGACGCCCUAGUAACAACUUGUAAGUAGUCCUUGAGUCUAUGACAUGAAACAAUGCACUGGCCUUUAGGUCGCCAAUUAUGAGUUCUAACCGUAUCAUGCCUAUUGCUCUUUGGCUACCUUGGUUAAAACCUUGAAUUACUAGCUUGCUAUUUGAGAGCUCGUCCAUCAAGAUGCCUAAUUGCCACAUAGUCGACUUUGGCAUUAUGUUGACAGCUGAGCCAUUAUCAAUGAGGAUUCGAUCGACUCUCUGUUCUCGAACGUAUCCAGAAACAUACAAAGGUCUAUUAUGAAGUUUAGAUCCCAACAACAAAUCCUCAUCUGAGAAGUCUAUAGACAUACAAUAAGAACCACUCUCAUAUGUCAUAGUCGGAGUACUCGAACUUGAUGCUCUUGAAUUUAGCAAUGCAUCAAUAAGGAUGGUUUUGGUCUCUUGAGGAAGUGAUAAUAGAUCCUCUACAUUAAACCUUGAAAGGUCUUUUGAUACUCCCUCUCCUUCUAGUGAUCUUGGAGGGAUUAUUUCUUCCUCCGUUGUGUUGAUAGCAUGACACGCAACGACUUCUGGGUCUUCAUCCUGAUGAUCACAAAGGAAGCUUUUUGGAAGGAAGUCUGCCAAGGUCACUAAGCGUUGAGGUCGAGAGAAAUUCAUGUCUUCAUUAUGUACGAGCUUAAGCUUAUGAGUCUUCUUCUUUUUCUUAUUCUUUUGAGUCUUAUUUCCUCUUCUAUAGUUUUGGUAAGAGCGAGACUCUCUUUGGGUCGGGAUCGACUGUCUUUUCUUUCGGUGGGUCACCACUAUCCACCCUUCAUCGUCUUCUUCAAUUGGUCUUUUCUCUCCUUGAGGAUCCUCGUAUGAGAUUUCCUGAAAGAAUUGGACAACUAUAGGCUCAAAGGUCCCGAACUGGACCAAGCUUUUCCUUUGCUCAAAAAUCAAUCUCGACGAAGAAGCCUCAGACAUUAUCGUCACUUCAGCGUGGUUUGUUUGAGCUACUUCCUCCAAAUCUAGCUCAAUCCUUUUCUCACGAGCCAACCUUAGAAUUAGCUCCUUCAGCACGAAGCAUUUCUCUACUGGAUGACUGAUGACCCGAUGAUACUUGCAGUAAUUGGGAUCAUCUACCUUUCCUGCUUGCUCAGGUCGUUUACAUUCUGGCAGCUGGAUCAGCUGCUUCUCUAGUAGUUGCUCUAGCAUGUCAGCGAUAUCUGAAUCAGGAAAUGGGUAAACUUUUUCCUGCCUUUCUUUUAAAGUCAGACGUCGCCUUUCGCUUCCAUCAUCCUUCUUUUCAACCCUCGCUUCCUUUCCUUUGGAGAAUUUCAGCGGGGUUGUGUUUACGACCAUAGAUUCUUUCGAGGUGCUUUUCACUAUCUUUUCAGCACCUUUCAUCUCUUUCUUAUCUUUCUUUACUUCAGGAACAAGAAAAUCUUUAGUUCCUCUACUGGCGAUGCUCAACUCCAUAUCAUGAGCUCGAGUUGCCAGUUCUUCAAAUGUGCGGGGCUUUAUUCCCUGCAAAAUGUAGAGGAGUCCCCAGUGCAUGCCUUGGGUGCACAUUUCUACAGCCGACAGUUCGGUGAGCCGAUCUUUACAGUCAAGACUUAGAGCUCUCCAUCUAUUGAUGUAGUCGAUGACUGGUUCUCCCUUUCUUUGUUUCGUAUUUGUAAGCUCCAUCAUGCUUACAGUACGCCUGGUGCUGUAGAAGCGAUUGAGAAACUCCUUUUCUAGUUGUUCCCAACUCUCAAUGCUUUCUGGCUCCAGAUCAGUAUACCAUUCAAAAGCAUUUCCUUUCAAGCUUCGAACAAAUUGUCUGACUAGUUGAUCUCCUCUUGAUCCUGCAUUCUCACAUGUUUCGACGAAGUGAGCAACGUGCUGUUUUGGAUUGCCCUUUCCGUCAAACUGCUGGAAUUUUGGAGGCUGAUAUCCAAGCGGCAUUCUCAAGUUGUCGAUUCUUUUGGUGUAUGGUUUAGAGUACAUGAAAGAAGUCUGAGAUGGGCCUCCAUAUUGUGCUCUGAUGGAGUUUGUGAUCAUAUCUUGUAAUUGUUGAACCGAGAGAGAAGCCACAGAAGUUGAUUGUUGUUGUGGCUGAUUUUCUUGUACCACGUUCUUCCCUUUGUCAUCAACUUUAACGACAGGAGUUUGACUCGAUUCAGCAGUUUCACGAGUCUGCAUCUGCUCCUUUAAAGCUGCAAUUUCGUGGUCUCGUUCAUCAACAACCUUCAUCAGGAGAUUAAUUUUUCUCUCCAUCUCCGCCAUGGCAGUCUCGACUGCUACAUCAGCCAUCAUGACGGACAUCACAUCUGGGUGUGCUUCUUUCAGUGACCUGCUAGAGGCAGAAUCAUAAUCAUUAUAUAGAGGAUUUUCCUUGAUGACAAUUCCAGCUUUAGGAGAUUCCAUCAAUUGCUUCAGGAUGCUCUGCGCGAUGGCGGAACCUUGGUCUUGCCCUUGGAUGAUCCCCUUGGAACGACUACGGGUAAUAGGUCCCGUGUAGGUGUCGCUUGCAGCUGAAGAUUUGGAUGCAGCUUUCUUUGAUGCCAUUGAUUUGCUUGUAGAUGUAGAUGAUGAGAGAGAGAUGAGAGGUAGAGAUGAUCCCACUGGGCGUGCCAAUUUGUUCGCACGAGAUUUCCGGAGAAAUUUAAUUCGUGGACUUGAACUUGGGUUGAUGUUGUAUUUUUGUUGAUUUGAUGCGAUGCGGUUCAAUCUCUAGAAUUUGAUCCUCUGAUUCUCUCUCAACUGUAUGUCUACGCUUGAUUUAGAGGAAGCGGAGCACGUGAUGUUCUUGAAGUUUGUUGAACGUCUACGCUUGAUUUGGAGAAAGCGGAGCACGUGAUGUUCUUGAAGUUUGUUGAACGUCUACGCUUGAUUUGGAGAAGCGGAGCACGUGAUGUUCUUGAAGUUGGAGUCUUGGAAGAAAGUUUGUAUCUUCAAAGCAGCUUCAAUCUUCGAGGGUGGUCAACUUCAGAAGUUAGGGAGUCUUCUAACUCUUGGAAGAAUUCUCUCUGGAUCUUCUAGAGUCAAAAUUUUCCAACCCCUACAAAUGAGGAGAAUUCCCCUAUUAUAUAGAGUUCACUGGUGGGCUUUAUGGGUUUGAACUUGGUUGGUCCAUGGACCAGACCCAUGGGCUCAACCAUAUGGACUUAGGUUAUAUUUAGUCUUUGGGCUCAAUUAAGCUUAUUUUUUGGCUUAAUUGAACUUAGUCCAAGUAAAUAAUAUUUAAUUGAACUAAAAUGAUUGACUUAAUCCAACGAUUAAUAUGAAAACAUGUGGCAUUCUUAGAAUGACCAAUUUAUUUAUUUUAACUCUUUAAUUUGGAGCAUGUGUCAAUUUUAAUUAGUUCCAAAUUUAAUUAUUUGUACUUUUCAUCAUUAACUUAAUAAAUGAUGUGGCAACUUGUGAUUGGUCUCAAAAUUUCUUAUUCAACAACUACCUCCCCCAUUAAUUUAUUAUGGUAAUAUGGAAACGCCCAAUUCUACUCUAGAUCAACAACUGAAGGACCGAGUUAUUGUUUUGGGCAUCUUGAAGGAACAUCUCAGCAUUGCACAAAAAUAGAUGAAAAAGGUAUGCUGAUUUGAAAAGAAGAGACGUAGAGUUUGGAGUGGGAGAUCUGGUUUUUCUCAAACUCAGACCGUACAAACAGACUUCUUUAAGGAAGAAAAGGAAUGAAAGUUAUCUCCUAAAUAUUUUGGGCCAUAUAAAAUUAUUGAGAAAAUUAGGGCAGUGGCUUAUAAACUGGAACUUCCAUCCACGGCUACAAUUCAUCCUGUUUUUCAUGUGUCACAAUUGAAGAAGGGUUUAGGAGAUUAUAUACAGGUGCAUCAAAUAGUGCCUUAUUUAAAUGACAAGCACGAAUAGAUGACAUUACCAGAAGAAGUCUAUGGUUAUCAAAAGAAUCCUAAUACUAAGGACUGGGAAGUCUUGAUUAGCUGGAAGGGGUUACCGCCACAUGAAGCUACAUGGGAAGUGUGCAGCGAUUUUCAACAACAAUUUCCUGAUUUCCAUCUUGAGGACAAUGUGGAUUUGGAGGAGGAGAGUAGAGUUAGACCACCAUUGUUAUUUACUUAUAAUAGAAGAAAGAAAAAUAAAGGACAUGAGGAACUACCUACAGUUAAUUUAAAAAAAGAACCACCUAUAGUUAAAUUUAAAAAAUGACAGUUAUUUCAAAAAGGAAGUUAAAUCAAUGAGGGAGAUGGGAAAGGACGGGCAGUUUUUGGAGUGAAAGAAAAGGUCUGCAAUACUCCUUGAAAAACAGUGGAAGCAGAGGUUCACGAUUUGGUUAUUAGUAUUUUGUUUGCUUUUUAGUAUUUUGUUUUGUAUUUUGUUUUGUUUGUUGUUUGGUAUUUUGGGUUAGGAGGUUUACUUGUUUGAUGUUUGUGAAUUAUCUGUAACAUGACUCAUUUUGUGAGGUUCACGGUUUGAUUAUGUUGUAAGUUGUGUUUGAAUUAUCAAUAUAAUAGAAACACUACAUCAGUGUUCUAUCAGUGAUGUAAUGCUCAAACUUAAGACAAUAAAGAAAUUGCCUAGGUACAAGGGAGAAUAAAUAGAGUAUACAAUGGAAUAAAAAAGGAAAAGAUUUAGGAAAAUAAGGAAAACAUUCUCAUAAUCUUUCCAUAAUUAUUCUAGGAUUCUAACAAGGAAAAUGCCUAAAAAAAAAAGGAAAGAAUUCCAACAAUAAUCAAGUCAACUUAUCCUCUCUAAUUACAACUUACAACUUCGGUUGAUCAUUGAAGUACAGCUCCCCUUUCUUCCCAUGCUAUGUUGAAUACUAUACAAGCACAAAGUUGAAUACCAUACAAGCCUGGUGGUUCGCAGAGCAGCUUGUGCGCUUAUUGGCAUCUAUAAGAAUGAACUAUGGCCUCCACCAAAUGGUACCAUUGGCUUGAACUCUGCAGAAGCAACCAGCCAUGGACAAUGGCUGAACCUAAUGCUCUGAAAAAAUCACCAAACAGUAAGAAAACAAAAGAAAGAUCGUUAGUCAUGCGCUUCUUAAACUACCAACCAUAAAGUUUACCAACUUUUUCAACCUCAAACCACAAAGUUUACCAACUUAGUCAAUUAAUACUGAUACGCUCAUGUUGUCACUAGUUCAAAUAGUGUACGUAAUAUGUUAGGAACUUGGAAUAUGAGAAUGGGAUUUUCUCCUAUAACAUUGAUCAGCCAAAUUUUUGCAAUGCCUCUAACAUUUCUUUCUAGUUCUUUUUUUUGUAGAGCAGUUGAGUAAAUAUAAAUUACUUAGUCUAAAUUGCUCUAAGGUACAAGUCAAGCCAUGGAUCUUUUCCCAUUCUGUUGAAUUGGAAAGAUCCAAUCCCUUUAAAUACGCAGCAUCCAGUUUCUAUUGUAAUUGUAAAAUAUAUACGUACUGGAAUACUUAGAAGCAACCCUUGAUGAUUGACUAGAACUGGAAGACUUCUUCUUGCAGCAACUGGAAUCAAUUUCAACAGCACCAAUGCUUCUCUAGCUGAUGAUCUGGCAGAAUUUAAACAUCUAUUUGUACUCUCCAUGGUCUGCCCCUCCAAACUGGCUAAAGUAUCUCUUGGGUUUUGACAAUUCUUCACAGUGCAACUGCACUUGGACAACUUAGAAAGAUAAAGCCAAUCAGAUUCGGUCAUGUGCCGCACCUCUAACUCCAUAUCACAACCUAACAAACAGGACUUGCAAAAUGCAUUACAACCAGCUGCCUUAAAAGUAGAGUUAACUUCAUUUUCAUCUUUUAUAUUCCAAGUGAUAAAGAACCUGUUCAUAUAGUUACAGAUUUGCCCUGGCUUAAGCAGGCCACUGGAUGAAGUUCGCACAGAUUGUGAACCAUGUUUUGAUUCAUGUCCAGGAGUGACUUUUGGUUCUGCUUUGAAGAGUUUGGUCUCUUGCAUCUGCAGUGAAACGAUGAUUCUAUAGGUUGAUUCACUGAGAAUAUUUAGCCUUUUUGCUUCAUCUAGAACAGUUUCAGAGGUUGCAUCCAAGAAGUGCACAUCUGAAGCUUCAGGAAUGAAGUGUUCUAAAUAUGACUUCCCAUCAUUGAUGAUUUGUUCUAACCCAUCAGAAACAUCGCGUCUCUCUUUCUUAUAAGAGGGUGCAUGGAAAACUUCUAUUUUGGAAGGCAAAGGGCAAUCCACAGAACAACAGACUAUGCACCUGGUGCCCUUAGAUCCAGGAGCUGGACAAAUGUAGCAACCAGCUGCUGUCAGUGAAGUCUGCAUGGUUUGUUUUUUAUAUAAUUAAUAAGAAAACAAAGAAUAGAGGAAAUCAAGCCAUGACAAAAAGAAUCAAAUGAAGUACUUCAUGAAGCAACAAAAAGAACAGCUUCCUAUACACUUUCACCACUUGACUUUUAAUGAAAACUGGAGGAAAAACGUUGCUGGUAUAUAACAGGUCAACUCCAUUACUCUUAAGUCUGCAAGAGAUUUACACUAGUUGCUUCUGAACUUUAUGUGCAUGCCAUAAAUAAGAAUAAUUACUGAAACCAUAAAAUACAGAAGGGACAUGGAGAGAAGAAACGGAUUAUUGGCGCAGCAGUUGACUCCCAUGUUAUUUCUGUGAACUUCAAGGAUCAACGAAGCUACAGCAAUGUUCCUCAAUAAACAAUACUGAAAGUUCAAAUCGAUGCACUUUUACCUAAAUAGUUCAUUUGAACACAUUGCACAUAGCCAACACAAUUUGAUUUCUUAACUCUAAGAAAAUAGACAAACCAGAAGUUAAAUGAAGCUGAACCCAGACUGUGCCAAGAAAAAAUCAUUUGUUUAGAAAUCAUGUAAAAAAUUAGUGAUAUAGAAGCAAUGAUGAGAUAUAUUUCUUAAGAAAAGGGAGUUGACUAGUAAGACGAGCAUAUUGGAAUAACACUCUUAAAAUCAAAUACGUUGGGAAAAAGUUAUUCCAUGCAUCAGGUAAGGGUAAAGCAAGCCAACCACCUUUAUAAAUAUGUAAUUUAUGCUUAAUGCACUAAUAAUUAAAAUUUUCAAAUAUAUUCAUCCAAAUACAAAUAUGGAAAGAUGAAGUGUCUUAAUAAAGAGAUUGACUUGUAUAUUACCUUGCAAGGACCUGUUUGAAUGUAGUCUAACACCAAUUUUGCAGUGUUGCCUCUAACCGGUCUGUGCCUUUGAGAGAUGAACUGAAAAUUUUUUAUGGACUCACAACAAUGUUAAUUGGCCAAUUGCUUCAAAAUAUAACGGUUGUCAUUAUACUAAUAAUGUUUUACCUGCAAAACUAAGGUCACAAACUUUGCCAGGCAAACGUCUUGAAUUUUAAAUUGAUUGAGAAUCUCCAAAUUAAUAAUGGCAUAUCCCACCUACAAGAAGGAUCCAAAUUCUCAUCCAUCAAAACUUAAUAAUGUUUAAUUAGAAAAUGGAGGGCCGAGAGGGAGAACUGCUGAAGAGAUUCUUAAAAAAUGAAUAUGAAAACUGUAAGAUCAAUUAAUACACACAGAUGUAAAGAGUACCCACAUCCGUUAUGGUCAAAGUCCAAUUUGCGAGGCUUAAACAAACUUGAUCAAUAAAUAAGCGUGUUUUCCUACAGGCAGAAAUAAUGGCAUGUAGCUCAGAGUUGAAAGUACCUGAAACUCAAAAAAUGGCGAGAUGAAAUCAUGAAUCUCGUAUAUUGAGUAACCAUCUAUAGGAAAGAAAGCCAGUCCCCUGACUGUUAUAUUGGAACUUUAGCAAACCAGGCAAGGCACCAACAAGAUCAAUGGCGUUCUCUAAGCUGCUUAUCUUAGUCACUAAACAUCCUAAGAUUCAAGACUUUUAGCUUCAGAUUUUUGUGGGCCAUGGUUUCUGGGAAAACAUUUUUUUAUAGACUAUUUAUGCAAAAACUGUUAUUCAGGCGUUGUGUCAGAAAAAAAGAUGACAGUUUUUAACAUGAGUUCAAAAGUGGAAGCAGUUGUUUUAAUAAAAAUAAAAAAUAAAAAUAAAAGGUGGAAAAUCAUUGUGAUGUUUUUUCUACCUCUAAUUGGAGUUGAGUAACCUAAAUCUUCUUCUUUAUGCAUAUAUAUAAAGAUUUCUGUACCAUUGGAGAGCUUUUUCUAAGCCCUUUUAAUUCACACUUAGAAGAAUAUUGAUACAUCAGUAUAGUAGAAGGAAGAAGAAGAAGGAAGGGAACCACAGCAGUUGCACGUGUGAAGAAUAAGGAAGUUAGAAUUCAUUAGCUGUCAUUUAGAAUUCAUUAGCUGUCAUUUUGUAAAUCAGUUAGUAUAAAUAAAGAAUUUUGAGGGAGAGAGAAAGUUAGUUAGAAAGUUAUUUUGAGAUAUUCUUGCAAUUCCUUAAGAGAUAGGAAGGCAGAAUAGGGUUUGAACAGUUCCGAAUUGAGGUAUUCUCAAUUCGGAUUCCUUGUAUUCUUUACCAGAACUUGAGUAAUAAGAAUUUCUUUAUUUGAUUCAAUUGGAGUCCCCAUCAAAUUGGUAUCAGAGUAGUACGAUUCUGGAAAAGAAGGAACAUGGUGCAGACGCGUAUGGAAGAGAAGGUGGAAGCGCACAAUCAAGAAAUGAUAGCAAUGAGGAAAGAAGUAAGCAAAAUUCCUGCUAUUGAGGAAAAACUAACGACGAUCAGUGUACAGACUGAAAAGACUCAUCAGAUGUUGAUAAUGCUUAUGGAAUCCAUCACGAAAGAACGCACCAUUACAAGUGAGAAAAUGGCAGAAUCUAGUGUGCUGGAGACUAAUUCGAUGAAAGCGAAAGAGAAAGAAGGCUCGACAAGUAAGGAUUACAAAGGCGAAACAAAAGGAGGAAAGAAUGAAGGAGAAGACGAAACUAGCGAAAGGAAUAAGUUCAAGAAGGUUGAGAUGCCGGUAUUCAAUGGUGAAGAUCCCGAUUCCUGGCUUUUCCGUGCAGAAAGAUAUUUCCAGAUUCAUAAAUUGACUGAUGCUGAGGUGUUACUGGCGAUGGUAAGUUUUGAAGGCCCAGCGUUGAAUUGGUAUAGGGCACAGGAAGAACACGAUAAGUUCACCAGUUGGAUAAAUCUCAAAGAUAGACUACUCGUACGAUUCUGAUCAGCAAGGGAAGGGUCCAUUUGCGGACAGUACUUGAGAAUCAGACAACAGACUACAGUCGAAGAAUAUUGAAACCAGUUCAAUAAACUGAUGGCACCACUUUCUGAUCUACAAGACAGGGUCGUGGAGGAGACGUUUAUGAACGGCUUAUUUCCUUGGAUCAAAGCAGAAGUUGAUUUGUGCAGACCGGUUGGUUUAGCCCAAAUGAUGCAAGCGGCUCAACUCGUGGAAAACCGGGAGAUCAUCUAUAAUGAGGCUAGCCUUAAGGGUUAUGCUGGAGGAAAGUAUCCUCCUCAAAGUUCUACUAAUGCUAAAAAUAAUACGAUGAUGAAUAGUAGUGAUAACAGAGGAAAUACAAUAUUUCCGAUGAGAACAGUCACAUUAAGAACCACGACCGGAGAAGUUAAGAAGAGGGGCUUAUGAAACGAUUGUCUGAUGCAGAGUUCCAGGCAAGAAAAGAGAAAGGGCUCUGUUUUCGUUGCAAUGAGAAAUACUCUCAUGAUCAUCGAUGUAAAAACAGAGAGCAAAUGGAAUUAAGACCAUGCCAUCAUUGAGUUAAGAAUGAAUGUAUAGUAAAAACAGAGAGAAGUUAAGAAUGUAUUAUUAAACCACCAAUUCAUCCAAAAGCUUAAGCUUGUGGUUGAAGGCAAAUUUAAUUAUAUAUCACCAACACUCCCCCUCACUUGUGGGCUUGAAAUAUCUGAAAGGCCCAACAAGUGGAAAUUGAUUUUAAUUAGGGAGGAAACGACAAUGCAGGGGCUUGAACACAGGACCUCCCUGGACCACCUGCUCUGAUACCAUAUUAAACCACCAAUUCAUCCAAAAGCUUAAGCUUGUGGUUGAAGGCAAAUUUAAUUAUUAUUGAAAAGAGAGACACAACGAGUUCACACCAAUUUACGUGGAAACCCGAGUACCGGGAGAAAAACCACGAUUGUUUGUGUUGUUAUUAUUUUCUAAUGAAUUAAGCAAUAGGUACAAGGGAGAAUAAAUAGAGUACACAAUGGAAUAAAAAAGGAAAAGAUUUAGGAAAAUAAGGAAUACAUUCCCAUAAUCUUUCCAUAAUUAUUCUAGGAUUCUAACAAGGAAAAAGCCUAGAAAAAAAAGGAAAGAAUUCCAACACUCCCCCUCAAGUUGGGACGUAAAUAUCAAUGAGGCCCAACUUGCUAACACAGAAGUCGAAGUUUGGUCUGAGAAGCCCUUUGGUAAGAACAUCAGCAACCUGUUGACUCGAAGGGAUGUACGGAAUGCAUAUGCUCCCACUGUCAAGUUUUUCUUUGAUAAAAUGUCGAUCAAUCUCAACAUGUUUAGUUCUAUCAUGUUGAACAGGGUUGUUAGCAAUACUAAUAGCGGCUUUAUUAUCACAGAAAAGCUUCAAUGGUGUCUCACAUUCCUGAUGAAGAUCUGUCAAAACUUUCUGAAGCCAAAUUUCCUCACAUAUUCCUAAACUCAUAGCUCUAUAUUCAGCCUCAGCGCUGCUCCUGGCCACAACACUUUGCUUCUUACUCCUCCAAGUUACAAGAUUGCCCCAAACAAAGGUACAAUAACCAGAGGUAGAUUUUCUGUCAACAACAGAUCCUGCCCAAUCCGAGUCAGUGUAUGCCUCAAUGGUCUUUCUGUCUGUUUUUCUAAACAUCAGCCCUUUACCAGGUGUUGAUUUUAAGUAUCUCAAGAUUCUGUUGACAGCUUUCAUGUGUUCCUCAUUAGGGGUCUGCAUAAACUGGCUGACAACACUCACAGCAAAGGAAAUAUCAGGACGAGUAUGAGAUAAGUAAAUUAAUUUACCCACGAGGCAUUGAUAUUGUUCUUUAUCAACUGGAACUUGAUCAUCAGAGUUUCCUAGUUUGCAGUUGAAUUCAAUAGGAGUGUCAGUGGGACGACAUCCUAACAUACCUGUCUCGGUUAACAAAUCAAGGAUGUAUUUUCUUUGAGAUACGGAGAUACCUUCUUUAGAUCGGGCCACCUCCAUUCCAAGGAAAUAUUUCAAAUUUCCCAAAUCCUUGAUUUCAAACUCAUCGCCCAUUCUCUGCUUUAGUUGACUGAUUUCUGCCUGAUCAUCUCCAGUCAAAACAAUGUCAUCCACAUAAACUAUUAGAACAGCAAUCUUUCCUGUUUUGGAAACCUUUGUAAAUAAAGUAUGAUCAGAGUGUCCCUGCCUGUACCCUUGGGACUUGACAAAGGUAGUGAAUCUGUCAAAACCAUGCUCUGGGAGACUGUUUCAGACCAUAUAUAGAUUUCUGGAGUUUACACACAUGCUGACCAAACUGAGCUUCAAAUCCCGGCAGAGGGCUCAUGUAGACUUCCUCUACGAGGUCUCCAUUCAAAAAGGCAUUCUUAACAUCCAGCUGAUAUAAAGGCCAAUCUUUGUUCACAGCAACAGAUAACAGAACUCUAAUAGUAUUCAACUUAGCAACUGGAGAAAAAGUUUCUGAAUAGUCAAUACCAUAGGUUUGAGUAAAUCCCUUCGCAACUAACCUUGCCUUGUGUCUGUCAAGAGUACCAUCAGCUUUGUAUUUGAGAGAGAACACCCAUAUGCAUCCCACAGUUUUGUGUCCCUUAGGUAGAGUACAAAUGUCCCAAGUACUAUUCUUUUCAAGAGCUUUCAUUUCUUCCAUGACAGCAUUCUUCCAUUCAGGAUACUUUAAAGCAGUGUAGAUAUCUUUUGGUAUUAUGGUAGAGUCAAGGCUUGCUGUAAAAGCUCUGAACUGAGGAGAGAGACUAUCGUAGGAAACAUAAUUGCAAAUGGGGUGUUUAGUACAAGACCUGGUGCCUUUUCUCAGAGCAAUGGGAAUGUCAAGAGAGGAAUCAUACUCAUCUGAUUUUCCUGUAUGACCCUGUUCCGCUUCAUUAUUACGGGUUUCUAUUCUGACCUCAAUCUCAUCACCACUGUCCUUUUCUUCCACGUUUUCAAGAACAGCAACAUUAGACCUGUCAUUCUCACUUAUCAUAUUCUUAGUACAGGGUUCAGUAGGGUUUUCCAUACCUUGAUCUCGAGGAGGUUCAGAGUCUUGGACUGGAGCCAGCGGCUGACUAGUAGGGGAACCGACUUCCUUUUUGUGAUUCCUCCUGUAGUACGUUUUCCAGGGGACUUGGUUUGUGGGUAGGACUAUGGAAUGAGGAAUGAUGUUAGACACGACACGAGGAGUGGGUUCGAUGAAUUCAAAGGUGUUGUUAGACUCUUCACUCACACUCUCCCCCUGAAGAUGGCUAACGGGAAAGUAGGGUCGAUCCUCACAGAAAGUAACAUCCAUAGUGACAAAGUAUUUUCUGGAUGGUGGGUGAAAACAUUUAUAACCACGCUGGUGAGGGGGAUACCCAACAAACACACAUGCCUGAGCCCGAGGGGUAAAUUUGGUUUGAUUAGGGCCAAAAUUAUGGACAUAAGCGGUACACCCAAACACACGAAGAGGAACCUCAAAAACAUGACGAGUCGAUGGGUAGGACUCCUUAAGACAAUCUAAGGGAGUUUGAAGAUGAAGAAUACGAGAAGGCAUUCUAUUGAUUAAAUGAGCUGUUGUAAGAAUAGCAUCUCCCCACAAGUAUGAAGGAAGGGAAGUAGAAAGCAUAAGGGAACGGGCUACUUCCAGAAGGUGACGGUUUUUUCGCUCGGCCACUCCAUUUUGUUGAGGAGUGUAGGCGCACGAGUUUUGAUGAACAAUCCCCUUUGAAGCAAGAAAUUCACUAAGGUUAUGGUUUUGGAAUUCCCGACCAUUAUCACUCCGAAGAAUAGCAAUUUUUUGAUGGAAUUGUGUUUCAAUGGUGUGAUAGAAAUUUUGAAACAUAGAGGAAACCUCAGAUUUAUCAGUGAUAAGGUAGACCCAGGUAAGACGGGUAUGAUCAUCAAUGAAGGUUACGAACCACCAUUUUCCAGAUGAGGUUGUUAUCUUGGAUGGUCCCCAGACAUCACUAUGAACAAGAGUGAAGGGUUGGGUUAGUUUGUAUGGUUGUGAGGGAAAAGAGACUCGAUGUUGUUUGGCCUGAAUACACACAUCACAAGAUAAGGUAGUCAUCUCAACUUUAGAGAAGAGAUGUGGAAAUAAAUGUUUCAUAUAUUGAAAAUUAUGGUGGCCUAAACAAAAAUGCCACAACAUGCAAUCUUGUUCAGAAGUGGUGAAAUAGGAAGAUAAGAGACUAGUCCUAGGAAUGCUACUAGAAGAGGUAUCGUCAUCAAGGAGGUAGAGUCCCCUACUAUGUCGGGCAGUGCCAAUCAUCCUCCCCGAGCUCAAGUCCUGAAAAGAGACAGAAUCAGGUAAGAAUAUUGCUUUGCAGUUUAACUCACGAGUGAUCUUGCUUAUCGAAAGCAAAUUAUAAGAUAGUUUGGGCACAUGCAAAACAUUAUGUAAGAAGAGCCCUGCACAAGGAGAAAUCUUCCCCUUUCCAGCAAUGGGGCCAAGGAGCCAUCUGCAAUUCUAAUUGUCUCGUUCCCAGCACAAGGAAUGUAAGAUACAAAAUGUUCAGAGGACCCAGUCAAAUGAUCUGUGGCACCAGAAUCCAGAAUCCAGGGGUUCUUCCCAUCAAUACUAACAAGACCGAAGGAAUGAGGUAUACCUGAUUGGACAAUGGCACCUAAAGUGGCAAGACUGAGAUAAGUUUGGUUUUUGUGUGGAUCGGAUUGUUGAGGAGGUUCAGCAGACUCACUCACAUACGCCCGCCCUGUGUUCUGUUUGUCGUUGGAAGGGCGUUUCUUACUUCCUGGGGGACGACCAUGUAACUUCCAACAUUGUUCUUUGGUAUGCCAUUGUUUUUUGCAAUGCUCGCAGACAGGAAUUGGUUUUCCAUUAUGCUUGUCACUGCUACUAUUAGAAGAUCUUGCACUAAAAGCAGCAGAGUCAAUAGUAGGGGUUGCGGAAAUAUUCAUAGCACUUGUGCGAUCUUCCUCGAGGCGGAUUUCAGAGCAAACUUCCAUCAGGGAGGGAAUCGGUCUUUGACCUAGUAUACGCCCUCGAACUACAUCAAACUUAGGAUUAAGACCAGCAAGAAAGUCAUAAAUCCUGUCAUUCUCUUCAAUUCUCGAGUACUGUACACCAUCAGUGGGAUCACGCCAGACUAGUUCUCUGCAUAGGUCCAUUUCUUGCCAUAUAAGAGAAAGCUUAUUGAAAAAUGAUGUGACAUCCAUGGUUCCUUGCUUGCAUUCAUGAACUUGCUUUCUCAGCGUGUAUAGACGAGAGGCAUUCUGACGUUUUGAGUAAAGUGUCUGAGCUGUGUCCCAAAUAUCCUUGGCUGUUGCAGCAAACAAUAACGGCUUGCCAAUUUGAGGUUCCAUACUAUUGAUCAAUAUGGAUCGAAGAAUAGAGUCUUCUGCCUUCCAAUAUCGUUCAUGUGGGUCGCCCGGUAGGGGGCGAGGUAUUUCCCCUGUCAGAAAGCUAAAUUUUUGUCGUCCUUCGCGGACCAUCUUUACUGACUGAGACCAUGAGAAAUAGUUUGUUGCCAUUCAACUUUUCUCCUGAAAGAUGAUACAUGGAAGACUGAGUCACCGUAUUAGUCACAUAAGGAGAGGAUACAUUAGGGAACGAGUUUACCGGAUUCUCAGAAUACAUCGGUAGAGUGGAUGUCGUCCCUAAGGUAGCCUCAAGUGCUGCCAUCUGUUGUCGAAGCCCUUCCAAUUGUUGAUGAACUAUUCUCGAGGAAGCUUGCACGUUACGGUUGGAAUAUGCCGAAGAUUCACCAACCUCAAAUGUUGAGUGAAUUUGAGAGUUUUUAACAUCGGGAUGGUAGCUAGGAUCAUUGGGUGGCUGGCCAUACAGAUUUGACGGCAGAAGCGGUGGUAGCCGAUUGGAAUUAGAUGGCAGAACAUAAAUCGGGGCGUGGGGAGCAAUAUAGGCCGCGGACGAAGAAAAGGGUUGGACAGAUGGGAUGGUCGGCGCCGUCUGAGGAAGAAAACCAGGCGCGUGGUGGUUCGGUGACGGCGUGUGGUGGUUCGGUGACGGCGCGUGGUGGUCCGGUGACGGCACGUGGUGGUCCGGUGACGACGCGGACGACUGCGGUAAUGACGAAAAAUUAUUUUCGGACGUUUUCUGUAGCCGGCUUAAUAAUUCGUCCAUGGCAGCACGCAUCCGAGCAUCAAUGGCAGCAGCUACGGCAGCACUAAAAUUGAUGGCUGUCCCUUCUGUUUGAUUUUCAUAAGUGGUUUGGUUUUUUUGGGUUUCUAGGGUGUUUUCAUUGUCCCUCUCUGAUACCAUAUUGAAAAGAGAGACAACGAGUUCACACCAAUUUACGUGGAAACCCAAGUACCGGGAGAAAAACCACGAUUGUUUGUGUUGUUAUUAUUUUCUAAUGAAUUAAGCAAUAGGUACAAGGGAGAAUAAAUAGAGUACACAAUGGAAUAAAAAAGAAAAAGAUUUAGGAAAAUAAGGAAUACAUUCCCAUAAUCUUUCCAUAAUUAUUCUAGGAUUCUAACAAGGAAAAAGCCUAGAAAAAAAAGGAAAGAAUUCCAACAAUUAUAUAUCACCAACAUGUAUGUUGUCAAUGCUGAUGAAGAAGAAUUUGAGAUUGUAGAAGAAGUGGAGUAUGAUAACAAAGAAUUGAACAAUGUGGAGUUAAUAAAAGAAGACCAUGCCAUCAUUGAGUUAUCCAUUAAUUCGGUAGUCGGAUUAACAAACCAGGGACAAUGAAGGUGAGAGGGAAGAUUGGUGAAAAGGAAGUUGUUAUUCUGAUUGACUGUGGGGCCACCCAUAAUUUCAUAUCAGAAAAGAUCGCGAAGGAACUACUGCUGACUACGAAAUCUACGUCCCAUUACGAGGUAAUCCUAGGUUCAAGAGUUGCUAUCAAAGGGAAAGGCAUAUGUCAAAAUGUGGAGAUCCAGCUGAACGGGUGGAAGAUAAUAGCGAAUUUUUUACCAUUGGAGUUGGGAGGAGUAGAUAUAGUGUUGGGAAUGCAAUGGUUAUACUCCCUUGGUAUGACUGAAGUGGAUUGGAAGAAUUUAUCAAUGACAUUCUUGCAUCACGGGAAGAAGGUAGUGAUCAAAGGGGAUCCGAGUCUAACGAAAUCUACAGUGAGUCUGAAGAACAUGAUAAAGACGUGGAAGGAUUCUGAUCAGGGAUUUUUAAUUGAGCGUAGAGCAAUGGAGAGAGUUUAUGAACCAACUGAAGAUGAUGGGAUUGAAGAAGUGUUAACGGUAGAGGAGUCAAUUUAAGUGGUUUUGAAGAAGUUUGAAGGCGUGUUUACUUGGCCCAAGACUCUUCCUCCGAGGAGAGAUAUUGAACACCAUAUUCAUUUGAAGCAAGGAACAAAUCCAAUAAAUGUACGACCUUACCGUUAUGCCUAUCAACAGAAAGCAGAAAUGGAGAAAUUGGUUGAUGAGAUGUUGACAUCAGGAGUGAUUCGUCCGAGUAAUAGCCCUUGUUCUAGCCCGAUUCUAUUAGUAAGAAAGAAGGACGACAGUUGGAGAUUUUGUGUUGACUACAGGGCAUUAAACAGUGUAACCAUACCCGACAAAUUUCCUAUCCCUGUCACUGAAGAGUUGUUUGAUGAACUAAAUGGGGCGAAAGAGUUUUCUAAGAUUGAUUUAAAGGCUGGCUAUCAUCAAAUCAGGAUGCGUAGUGAGGAUAUAGAGCAAACUGCAUUUCGUACUCAUGAAGGGCACUAUGAAUUCAUGGUUAUGCCAUUCGGUCUAACUAACACCCCAUCUACCUUCCAGUCGUUGAUGAAUACAAUCUUCAGACCAUACUUAAGGAAGUUCAUAUUAGUAUUUUUUGAUGAUAUAUUGAUAUACAGCGAAAACUUGGCGGCACACUUGAAGCAUCUUCAAUUGGCACUGGAAGUAUUGAGGAAGAAUGAGCUGUAUGCUAACCAAAAGAAAUGUAGUUUUGCAAAAGAAUGCGUGAAUUACUUGUGCCAUAUUAUUUCAAGCCAAGGGGUAGAGGUUGAUCCUGAGAAGAUUCGAGCAAUCAAGGAAUGGCCCAUUCUGACAAAUGUAAGGGAAGUUCAUGGAUUCCUUGGUUUAACGGGUUAUUAUAGAAAAUUCGUACAACAUUAUGGAUAGAUUGUGACUCCAUUGACUCAACUAAUAAAGAAAGGGGGAUUUAAUUGGACUAAAGAAUCUAAGGAAGCUUUUCAACAUUUGCAAAAUGCUAUGAUGACAAUGUCGGUCUUGGCAUUGCCAGAUUUCAAUGACACUUUUGAGUUGGUGACUGAUGCUUCAGGGUAUGGGAUAGGAACAGUAUUAAUACAAGCCAAGAGGCCAAUUGCAUACUUUAGUCACACAUUAGCAGUGAGGGAUAGAGCAAAGCCUGUGUAUGAGAGGGAGCUAAUGGCAGUGGUGUUGGUAGUGCAACUGAGUGGAGGCCAUACCUGUUAGGGAAGAAGUUCAUAGUCAGAACAGAUCAGAAGUCUUUAAAAAGUGGGUAGCCAAGUUGUUAGGUUACUCGUUUGAGGUAGUAUAUAAACCGGGACUUGAGAAUAAAGCAGUUGAAGAAUGCCUCCUACAGUUCAUCUAAAUAGUUUGACAGCACCAAUUUUAGUAGAUUUAAUGAUAAUCAAGAAAGUGGUGGAGGAGGAUGAAAAAUUGAAGAAUUAUGGUGGAGUUGCAAACGAAAGAAGAAGACAAAUAGAGUAAGUUUUCUAUUAAGGAAUGCUAAGGUACAAAGGAAGACUGCUAUUAUCCAAGAUGUCAUCAUUGAUUCCAACCAUUUUACAUACCUAUCACGAUUCGGUGUUAGGAGGACACUCUGGAUUUUUACGUACAUAUAAGAGGUUGACGGGGGAGUUGUACUGGGAAGGAAUGAAGGCUGAUGUGAAGAAGUAUUGCGAUGAAUGUGUAGUUUGCCAAAAGAACAAGACCAUGGUGUUCAUGCACUCGCUCCAGCAGGAUUACUAUUGCCAUUGGAACUUCCCCACAGUGUUUGGAGAGACAUAUCAAUGGACUUUGUUGAAGGUCUCCCAAGGUCGAACGGGUUUAAAGCCAUAUUUGUGGUGGUUGAUAGAUUAGCAAAUAUGGUGAUCGACAUAUUUGCUCCAGCUUGAGGGGGAGUGUUAUGAUAUAUAUAUAUACAUAUGUCCUUUAUUGUAAUUUUACAUAGUCUCUAGGGUUUAGUUUAUUCUCUAUAUAAAUAUGUAACAUUGCUUUGACUCAAAUAUAAUAAAACAGAUACUUUUCUGAAUUCUAGAUUACAGUCAUUUCCUAACCCUUAAACAUCCUUUCACGGUUAAGACAGUGGCAGAGUUAUUUGUAAAAGGUCGUACAUUUCCUAACCCUAACCCUUAGCUUCUUCCGGGGAGGGCCCUCUUAUCCCUCGCCCUUAGGCUGUUCUGUUUUGUUAUAUGAAUAUACUUGUCUCUUAUCAAAAAAAAGAGUUAUUUGUAAAAGAAACCGUCCGGCUAUAUGGGUAUCCUAAGUCAAUAGUAUCGGACGAAGAUAAAGUGUUUUUAAGUAAUUUCUGGAAAGAAAUAUUCAAGUUGUCGGUACCAGAUUGAACCGAAGACAUCUUACCAUCCAUAGUCAGAUGGCCAAACCUAACAAGGGUGUUGAGAUGUAUUUGAGAUGCUUUUGUGGUGAAAGACCGAAGGAAACGACAAGAUAGUUACACUGAGCGGAGUAUUGGUACAAUACUACGUUUCAGAGAUCCUUGGGAAUUACUCCUUUCCAGGCAGUAUAUGGUCAAAUGCCGCCCCCUUUGAUAUACUAUGGAUAUCAUAAUACCUCUAAUGCAACCUUAGAUGAACAGCUUAGAGCAAGAGAUGAAGCUUUGGAGGCAUUGAAAGAACACCUUCGAAUAGCUCAAGAUAAAAUGAAAAAGAAUGUUGAUCCGAAGCGACGGGAUGUAGAGUAUGCUGUGGGCGACAUGGUGUUUUUGAAGAUCGGGCCAUAUAGACAAUCGUCAUUGCGAAAGAAAAGAAACGAGAAGUUAUCUCCCAAAUUCCUUGGUUCCUUUAAAAUUGUGGAAAGAAUCGGUCCAGUGGUGUACAUAUUGGAAUUACCUAAAUCGUCAUCCGUCCCAUCCAGUCUUUCAUGCGUCUCAACUUAAGAAGAUGAUAGGUGAUCAUAAGCUGAUACAACCAGAUAUGGUAUCUUAUUUGACUGAGAACUAUGAGUGGAUAGCUAUACCAGAAUAGAUAUAUGGAUACACGAAGAAUAAAGAAGGAGGUUGGGAGGUAUUGAUCAAACGGCAAGGUCUGCCCCCUCAUGAAGCUUCUUGGGAGAAGUGUGAGGAUUUUCAACAGAAAUUUCCUGAUUUUCACCUUGAGGACAAGGUGAGUUUGGAAAGGGAAUGUAAUGAUAGACCACCAAUUAUACAUCAGUAUAGUAGAAGGAAGAAGAAGAAGGAAGGGGACCACAACAGUCGAACCUGUGAAGAAUAAGGAAUUUAGAAUUCAUUAGUUGUCAUUUAGAAUUCAUAAGCUGUCAUUUUGUAAAUCAGUUAGUAUAAAUAAAGAAUUGUGAGGGAGAGGGAAAGUUAGUUAGAAAGUUGUUUUGAGAUAUUCUAGCAAUUCCUUGAGAGAUAGGAAGGCAGAAUAGGGUUUGAACAGUUCUGAAUUGAGGUAUUCUCAAUUCGGGUUCCUUGUAUUCUUUACUAGAACUUGAGUAAUAAGAAUUUCUUCGUUUGAUUCAAUUGGAGUCCCAUCAAAUUGAAGAAUAUCUUGACUUCCCUCAAGUACUAGGACUAAUCAGAUCCUUUCUUAUUUGAAUUGUAAUAUCAAUAGUAACAAUACGAUGCAUUCUUCAAAACACCUCAUAAAUAUUAACAUUUUAGCAACUCACUAGAUGACAGAUCUCCCAAUGACAUUCGAAUUCUAUUUCGAGCAAACAAGGAACUUCUAUUUGUUGGGUCUUCAACCCAAUCUUGAUUAGCAGCUUGGCAUAUCUGCAAAGUGCAGAUAGAACAAGGUUAACAUAGUACUGGCCAAAUGAAUGAAAGCACCGUCUCUAAAUAUAUAUUUUCAUGCGAUUUUAAACUUUUACCUUGUACAUGUCAUCUUUAGAAAAAUCCAUUAGUGGUCUCACAAGAAGGACACCAUAAUUCUUGGAAACUUCGCUGUAAGAAUAUGUAUGCGAGGAGAAAAUUUGAGAAGUGAAAGGUAUUCCCGCAAGUCCAAGCACACCACUACUGCGAGACAACCUAAGAAUGAAUAACUCAGCCUGCAUUGUGUUCCAGCAAUCACUACAUUUCUAGCAUCUCUAACAAGCUUCCAGCAUUACACUAAUUGAGUUUACAAUAGCCCUAAAGAGUGAAGUUACAAUACAAGCUAUCGCAAACAUGGAAUACUAAGAUUUGGGAAAAUCAAUUUUAAUCAACUUAUAAGGCAAGAACUUAAACUAAAAAUGCAAGCUUGAUAUCAGAGAAUUCAACCUGGUCAUCAGCGUGAUGCGCAACAAGUAUCACUCCAAUAUUGUGUUGGACACAAACUUUCUGCAACAUUUGGUACCUGGAGUGAAAGAAAAUGAAUUAAAAUCGCAAAUUAGGGGACCCCCGUGGCAGGAAGCAAACAAAGUUAGCUAGUAUUAGAACCAAGGUCAACAACAAUAAUAUUCACACCAGAGAUUAAGCAUAUUUUGAAGAACGCAAACCACCUCAUAUCACGAGCUGCUUCUUGCAAGUGACCCUGCUUUGGUCUACCGUUUAUCCAAUCACAAGACGCAAGCUCGCAACGGAUACCUACAGAGUAACAUACAAGUUGAACAUUUAUAUCAGAUAAUUGUACUGAAUUGAUUUUAUCAUAACUAAGCAAAUCACGCUGAUAGGGAGUUGUACCCAAUUGAGUAACUCGAUUGCAGACAACUUUUGCUUCAUCUCUGCUCUCAGCACGAAGCCCAUGAUCCACGACUAUUGCCAGGAGACCAUCGACAAGAGUGCUACUUUUACAUGAGGUACCCAGGCCAUCCAUUUUCCAGCCCGCCGUAAGAACACAAAGAGCCAUACUAUCGGGCCCUCCACUAACUCCCAGAGCUGAAAAGAAGCAAAGAAUAAAGGGUAAAUGAUGUCAGUUUGAAAUUGAAAGAUAGCAUUAUCAUUUGCCACUUCAGUUCUUGGUUACUUUGGGAGAGAACCUAGUGGUAUUUGGGACUCAAGUCGCCAGAUUGUGUGUUGUGAAACAAAAGGGUAAUAGAAACAAGUUACAAAUAAUACUUCCGCAGAAAGGAAGCUGACCUAUACGGUGGUGGGGUUUGAGUCCCGCCAUAUCCAUGCGCUUGGAGAAAGUUUCCCUGUAGUUGCACAGGUCGAUUGGUUGUUGCAAAGAAGAAUAGCUGCAAAAACAGCGAGGAAGAGGAAGAACACGAAGAUGAAAAGAUGGAAGAAUGAAGGAUAUUGCAAUUUUGGAUUUGGAAGAUAAGAAGAAGAAUGAGUGGUUUGUUCCCGUCUGGAUGAGGCCCUGCGCCAUGGCUUGCAACUCUGAACUCCCCCACUCUAUCACUUUGAAAUCAUUUCAAUGAGGAAAAAAGAAAACAAAGUGAAUUGAAAUUUUGUUGGUUUUAAUCCAAAUAUUUCCGGUUGGAUUUGACAAGAUUUGAAAUUUAGAAGAUGCUCUAUUCUCGAACAGAGCAGAGGAAAGAUGGGAAAAUUGUCACAAAUAACUUUUAAUAGCUUUUGUCACCUAAAUUGUUUUUUGAGUUUUUUUUUUUUUUUUUGGUUGUGCAGGUUGCUAAUAAUGUAAAGAUUAAAAAAAUUUCAAAUCUUCUUAAAAUUUAACUAAUUUUUAUUUGUAAAAUUUAAAAAAUGUUUUAAUCUAUCGCUUAAGUUUUAUAUAAAAUUCCAAAAGUAGAGGACUCUCACGAAACAUAGGUUUUUUGUUUUUAUUAGAAAAUUUCGAAUGAAAUUGUCUCAAGAUUUCAUGUAAUUUCGUGUGUUAUAGAUUUGUCUCGAGUUUUUUGUAAAUAUAGAAAUAUGCAUCCCGCGAUUAAUUUUUCGAAUGUGACAAAAAUACCCUUAUAACCAAAAAUUUUAUUAUUAUAUUAAAAAUAAAAUAGCUUGUUCAAAAAGUUUCACCACCAACUUCCAAGAAACUUAUUACAAUUGUUUGGGCUUUCUUUCACUUUCUUCCUCCCACAUUUCAUAUUUUUCAAACCCAUCAAAAAAAAUAAAGUGAACAAACCUUACUGUUUUUUAUAAAUUUCGUUUUUAUUGUCAUUUGCAUAAUGAUUAGACUAGCAAUAUUUCUUUUAGGUAUUUUUGUACAUAAUAUUGGUUCUUAUUAAGGGAUCUCAUGUUGGAAUUUAUAUCCUAAAACUCGUAGUUUGUAAUCAUAUUUUAUUUAAUAAAAUUGUUAUUGAUACUAUAAUCUUAAAGUCAAUAAACAAAUGUCUCAAAGUUAUUUUGAGUAAACUUGAACGGUAUGUAGAGACAUAAAUGUGGAUCAAAUUCGAGUAUAUAACCUAAAUAGUCUAUAGUAUAGGAAUAUGGUUAGACACCUUAUUUUAGGGACAUUAUGGAUGCGGCUCGCUUUAUAGUAAGUACAAACAGUGUGAUCUUGAAUCGUUCAUAUAGGGACAUGGAAGUGGGGGCAUCCUAUGUAAAUAGUUUACAUAAGACUGGAACCAUAGAAAUAGUUGCUUUUAGGUUAUAACAUCAUUGACUUUAAUAAAACCGAUUAUUUCAUUUAUAGAUAUUCAAUGUAACUUAAUCUUAAUCCUGAGCUAACUAUGAACUUCUGUUCAUACAAGAUUAUCCUUACAUAUGUAUAAGUGAGGGCGACUCAAUGGCGCUAGUCCAAUAAGCCUCCCAUUUCAAGGGUAAGAUCAGAUGGAUAGCUAGAGACAUAGGUCCACUCUAGGGUUAGUAGAUAGGUUGUUCCUUUAAGGACUGAAUCUAGAUCUUCAACAAAGGGCCACACCCUCUCAUUGGCCCGAGAGGGAUUCGGUUUAAAGGUUGGACCUUAAACCAAUUGUUCAAUAGUGGAUUAGUGAGACUUAAAGAGAAAAGAUUUAUUCUUGGGGGUAAAACAGUACUUUGACCCAGCCGAGAUUAUGAACAACCUAUGAAUGAUUAACUUACUUAUCAUGGUCAUAUCACAGGGACACAAAUAUAUCUAUAGUGAGGGGAGUGCAACUACGACACUUUAGUGGAAUGACCCGUUAGUUAACGAAGGUUGUUAACUUGGUCUAAAGAGUUUAUCCAGUUAAUCUUGAAUCGUUUGAGCCCAUGAUCUAUAGGUUCAUUAGGUUCCCUCGCUAACUCACAUGGAAUCAACUUAGAACAUUAUGAUGGAAUAAUUCAAAUUAGGUAAAGAGAGAGAAACCAAAAAAUAUAUAUGAUAUAGUCAUCGGUUAUAACUUAAGAUAGAGCUUCAUGUUUAAAUGUGAUUUAAAUAUGAAAAUAGAUUCAUAUUUGAAAGCUUGGAAUUAAUGAAAAAGGUCAAAGAUGUAAAAAGUAAAAAUGUUGACUUUUGACUUUGAAAAAUCAAACUUUGACUAACUUUAUAUUCAAAUGUGAUUUAAAUUUUGGAGAAAUGAAUACGGAUUCAUGUUUGAGAGGUUGAAACUAGUCAAGACGGACAAAAUGGUUAAAAAUCAAAAUGUUGACUUUGGACUUGAAAAAGUUAAACUUUGUAUAUGAUUUAUGUUUGAAUUACCAUAUUGUUCUUAGAAUAAUUUAAAUAAUAACACUUGUUGAGAUUUGACAAGCUUAUCACUUGCAUGUGAUAUGCAAGUGGCUUAUUGCAUGCAAGACACCUACUCCACUAAGAAUGUCAAGUGGUGAGAUAUGGAAGCUCUUGCAUGUAGUUUGCUUGUAAACAAGUUUAGUGCAAAGGUGAAAUGACUCUUGGAUUUGAGAUUGAAAAUUAAUUUUGUAAUUGAGAAUUAAAAAAUAAAACCAAUGAACUCUUUUCAUUUUGAGACUCUUAACAUUAAAAAAAAAAAAAGGUUAGGUUCCUCCAACGAAUCUCAUUUCUCUCUAUUUCCUCCACCAUUUGAGUCUCACAACUCGAUUCUAAGUCCGGAGAAUAGCGAGUCAAUGCUAGUGGUAGUCCUGGCUUCGAUUUCAUAAGGAGAUUACAAGAAAAAAAACGUCAAAGGAUAGGGUUUUUUUUAACCGUAUCUUUGUUAUUUUAGGGUUUUUUUAUGCAUGUUAAUCACUAAACUUGUUUAGUUGCAAUUAGAGUAAAAAUCCAAUCUUUAUUCUACUGUGCAUGUCUAUUGUUUCCAUCGUAUUGGGCUAGCGUCAUUGAGCUGUCAUCACCUAUGCAGAUAUAAGGAUAAUUUCGUGUGAACAAAAGUUCAUAUUUAGCUCAGGGUUAAGAUUAAGUUACAUUGAAUAUCUAUAAACGAAAUAGUCGAUUUUAUUAAAGUCAACGAUGUUAUAACCUAAAAGCAACUAUUUCAUGGUUCCAGUCUUAUGUAAACUUUUUACAUAGGAUGCCCUCGCUUUCAUGUCUCUACAUGAACGAUUCAGGAUCACAUCGUUUUGUACUAACUACAAAGCGGAUCACAUCCAUUGUGUUCUUAGAAUAAGGUGUCCAAUUGUAUUCGUAUACUAUAGACUAUUUAGGCUAUAUACUCGAAUUUGAUCCACGUUUAUGUCUCUACAUAAAAUUCAAGUUUACUCAAUAAUAGCCUCGGGUCCUUAGUUUAUUGGCUUUAAGAUGUAUCAAUAAUAACUUUAUUGAAUAGAAUAUGAUUUACAAAUUACGAGUUUUAUGAUAUAAAUUCCAACAAUUACAGCUUUAGUGAAACGUAGGAGACUGAAGACCCUCACAUUUCAUAUGCCUUGCGGGAAACGUACCAUCAUAUUGCAGGACGUUGUGAUCUAGUUGGGACUACCAGUGGACUAAGAUCCUAUUACGGGAUUGUUAAUGUAUAACUAGAAACAUGUGAGGAUUUAUAGGGAGUUCUACCACCACCUAACAUGAAUGGUUAAAGGUUGAGCCUUCCAUAGUUGGCCGAAUUAAUUCACAAAAUUGCCACAAGAUGUUGACGUUGUGAGUGUUCAAAGAUAUGCUCGUGCGUACAUAUUAUGCAACUCAUUUGAGGUUUUUUGUUCAUCAACAAGUCAAAUACCUUGGUAGAUUGUAUGUUUCUUCUGCUUUUAGGCGAUUUCGACUAGGUUGAUACGUACUCUUAGGGUGUUGCAUGCCUUGCAUAGUUGUAUAGAGAAUUGUGUCGAACAAGUAAUGGACAAUCCUAUGAAAUAGCUAGGUCAUUGAUGUUAUUGCAAGUAUGGGUAUAUGGUAGAUUUUCUAUUGUAGAACCACAAGUUGUAUUACAGGCUCCAGUUGCUCGAUAACUGAGUUCCAAGUAUUAUUUUAUUUUUAAUUUUUUUUAUAAUAUCUAGUAUUUAGAUAUUUGCACUUAUUGUUAUUAUUUUUUGUCACACAUUAGAUGGAGUGGUGUCCUACCUGCAUUGGAACAAUCAACAAAUAUGUUGUUAACAUACCGAAUGAAUACUGCUUAUUUUUGACCGAGUGAUGCACACUCAAGUAGUAAAGUGUUAUACGAAUGAAUACUACUUAUUUUUUGUGUCUACUUAUGUCAUUUGUUUUUUAACAGAUCAAUUAGACAUCAUACAUACAUGAUAUUAUGACAUUGGUACUUGAUUGAUGUCAUACUGGUGAAGAAGUACGAACUUACUUGGGCCCUCUAAAAUGCUUCCAUAUCGUGGAGUGGCAUUUACCAGAUUGUGUGUGUUGCAACAAUUUGGUAUUUUGCAAAUCACACCAUCAUUGUGCUUUACAGAUCCGACACUAUACCAAUUAAAUUGAUUUAAGAGAUAAACACAAUCAAGAUUGACGUAAGAUUUAUGAGGAUUAUAACACAAUGCGGCAUACACAUCAUGGUCGUUGUGCACAAGGAAAAGCAACACAUGAACCAGCUGUAUCAUAUGACUAUUUUUCUAGUACAAGUCAAUUACAAAACUAUUUAUCUCAUGCAAUGGUGCUUACUAUUAUUGUAUGAUUUAUUUUAAAAUUUUAUAACAUGCACGUUACUUAAUUAUAUUAUUUGUAGUUUUUUAGAAUAAUUUUGUUCAAGAUGUACAUAAUUACUUGGUGGAACACGACUUACAAGAUUUGAGUUCAAUGUGUGGUCAAACUUUGGAAAAAUAGAACAUAUUAUUUAGCAGACAAGAUGACUCAAUGUUGCAGACAUGGAUCGAAGAUGUAUUCGACGUAGAUGACGACGACAUGGCAAGGAUGUUGUAUACAAAGAUCAAGAUCAUGCUUAGUUCGUAAUUGCAAAUUUUAAUUCAUAUGAACUUCAAUUUUGAAUGUAGAAUUAUACCAAAUUGCAUUCUUAUUUGCACCAAAACCAUGUCAGAUUAGAAACUUCUUGUCCAAUGUAGUUUAAGUAUGGUGUUUCCUCUUGCAUUUUUUCUCUUUGAGUCCAAAGUUCAAAUAACUAUCAUUUAGACUUCAAACAAUAGGCUAAUUUUGAGAAUAAUUUUUUUAGAAAGUUGUGUACUGGUACAUGACUUCCUUUAAUCCAGUCACACCAUUUGACCUAGUCUUCAGCCAUGUAGGCUAUGACUGAAUUAAAGGAAGUCGUGUAUCGAGUACAUGAAUUCUUUCAACGCAAAAACUACCUUAUUUUUUAUAAUAGUUUCAAUCUCAACCUCAUUUCUUAUUAUCUUUUCUAGAUAUCCUAUCUUCAACAAUAGUCUAAAAAGAGCAUUAUUCUUGAAAUUAAACAAUAGUUAUUAGAUUUGAAUUUUUUUCUCUAAUCAGUUUUGGUCCCCUUUUAGAUGGACUAUUUAAAAAAUUAUUUUUAUAUAAACACUUCCAAUAGAAAAAAAAAGUGUUUAAGAUACCCUUCAAACUUAUUUAAAGGAAUUAACUAUAAUUACGCAAAACAAAACUAAAAUAACCACUACUACAAAAACAGGCUCUCUUGACGUUUUUAAACUGUCAAGAGACGGCUCUCUUGACAGUUUUAAAAACGUCGUUGAAGCCAGUGUCAAGAAAGACAAAGUUCUUGACGGUUGAUUAAACGUCAAGAAUAGUGAACGUUGACGUUUUAUAAACGUCAAAUAUACUUAUGUUCAUGACGUUUUAGAACCGUCAAGACUGGUAUUGUUUAUGACAUUUUAAAGCCGUCAAGAAUGAACUGGUUUAUGACAUUUUAAACCCGUCAAGAAUUUUAAUGUUCAUGACAUUUUAAAACUGUCAAGAAUGUAAUUGUUCUUGACAUUUGUAAACCGUAAAAAAUGCAAUUGUUCAUGACAUUUUAAAACCGUCAAGCAUUUUUUAAUUUUUUUUUUUAAAAAAAUUGUAAUUGAAUUAUGCUGUAAUUGAAAGAAAUAUAUUCUGAUUGCCUGUAAUUGUCCAGCAAUAGUUUCAUAGAUAUUUGAUAUUCAUCAAAUACAGUUUCAAAUCUCAAACAUAUAUAAAUAAAACCAUUCACCAUAUAUAUUCAAUUCCAAGACUUUACAUAUACCUAAUGAAAUAGACUUUACAUUAGAUUUCAUAUUCCAUUACAUUGCCAUGAAUCCAAAUCAACUUAGAAAGUCACAAAACAUGCUAGCUAUAACAAUAAUCAAAAGUAUACGAAUGAAUCCCCCUCCCCCUUCCUCCAUAUGAACAAUUCAAAAGAAUUAUCGGCUAAAGUUUCUAUUACAUAAAGUUUCAUAUCAUAAAGAAGCGACACAACAAAAAAAUUUUCUACUUUAGAAUCACAAAAUAUUGGUCAUAAUCAUAUGUAAGAACCCAAAAAGUCAGCUAACUCAACUCGCACCUCGUCUAGUUCUGCCUGUGAGUAUGAUCUUCGUGUAUCAAUCUAUAAACAUGCAAAAUAAAUUAAAUGAAUUAACUGACUAUACAAAUAAACCAACUAACUCACAAAACCAAUAGUUUGACAUAUAACAUACCGCAUCGGAUAUGACAAUGCUUCCCCUAAUCACAAUUUCUCUCAUAUACCUCAUCACGUAGUAUCCACACUCAGUACUCCCGACUUGUAGUGGACACUAAAUAAAAGCAACAAAUUUGAAUAAUAAAGUAAUCCUAAUUGCUAGUAGUCUACAAAAAUAUAAUGACUUUAAAAGUUGAUACUUGCCUUUACUGUUCGUCAUAAAGUUUGUUUUCUACUUUUUUUAAUGUUUCUUUUGUGACUGAAACAUGGCUAUUGCUCUGUUUCGACAUGAUAAGAUUGAACAAAUAGUUUAAAUAUUGUGUACAUGCAUAUAAGAAUCAACACUAAAUGAAAUACUAGAUUAACAAUUCCCACAUUUCAAACAAGGACAACGAAUAUAGGAGCUAGUUGUAUUAGAAAAUCCAUAUUUGAAGAAGUUUUCCACACCCAACUCAUAAUCUUUAGACAAUCUACUCUUGUGCAUCCAAGAUUUAUCCAUCAUUGUAAAUCUAAUGAGAAAUAAAGUUAUUGUCACUAUUGAUAAUUAAAGUGGAAGGACAAACUUAAAAACACCUAAUCUUCAACAAACUACAACAAAUUGAACACUGUGGAAAGGCAAAAUAAUGUCAAACUCAUACAAAGAAUGACUCAGAAAAUAAAAAAAUCAGAAAAGUACAAGUACAAGUUUCAUGCUUGGAGUAAUUAACACAACAGGCCCAAAUGUCGUUUCUAAUGUGGUAUCAUUUUCAAAGAUAAAGACUGAUCCUAUUAGCUCAGAAGAUAGGCAGGGAGGUUCCUCUCCAUAAAUUAAAGGCUCAAACUUGUACUUCAAGGAAAAAGUAAACUUAACUAAGCCAGGAUGGUUCCAUCAGGAUUUCCUCUGGUACCCAUUAAUUGAAUACUAGAGCAAUUUGCAUUAUAAAUAAACAAUUACUAAACCAAUAUUCGUUAACAUCUAAAGAAUGUACACAAGGGUAACGUCUCAGACUUCAAUUUCCUUCAACAGGUAAGAUAGAAAAACAAGUGAUAAUCAAAUUGAAAGCAAAAGAAACACAUAAGACAACAAGAUAUAAAAUGCGUGUGAAACUAGAUCUGAGAGGGUAAAGAUAAAAUUCGUACUUUCUCAAUUGAAGACUCCCUUCUUCGAUUAUCCGUAACACAGUUCGAUUACAAGUAAGUAAAAUUGAAAAGAAGAAGAAAGAAGUAGAUUAGGAAAAAUGUUAGAGCCGAAAAUUAAAAUUCAAUACUUUCUCAGUGUAAGCAAUAACAGGAGCUUCCCUUUUACACAGGAUUUGGAGACAAAUGGAGGUUUUCCGGUGAAUGUAUUCACGCGUUUUCGAACAGAGGUGAAUGUGUUACGCGUUUUUGAACAGAGAAGGUGAUUACGAGUUUCGAAUGGUGAACGGUGAACGAUGAACGAUGAACUAAACGGUUAAUGAACGAAGGGAGAACGAUGAACGGUGAAAGCUUGAGAAUGGUGAAAGGGGAGAACGACGAACGACGAAUGCAAAAGCUUGAGAUUCUGGAGAAGCUUCCCUUCGAACGCACGACAAAUUAGGUUUUAGAAAAGAGAAAAUGAACUUAAAUGGAACGACGUCGUUUUACGAUUAAAUUCUUGACGUUUUUAAAAACGUCAAUGAUUUUUUUUAUAAAUUUCUUGACAUUUUUCAAAACGUCAAGGAUUUUUUUAUAAAUUUCUUGACGUUUUUAAAACAUCGAGUAAAAUUUUAAAUUCUUGACGUUUAAGAAACGUCAAGCAUGUCGAAUUCAUACGCUUCUUGACGUUUUAAGAACGUCAAAAAAUUAAUAGAUAUUUCUUGAUGUUUUAAAAAUGUCAAGAGAAAAUUUAUUUUACUUGACGUUUAAUAAACGUCAAGAACGAUGUUUCAGAAAAUUUCUUGACGUUUUUUUAUUAAAAAUGAAAUCUUUCUUGACGUUUUUCGAAAAAAACGUCAAGAAAUGAAAACUGCAAACGUCAAGAGAGCCUGUUUUUGUAGUAGUGAACUUAUUAACUAGGGAUGUGUUAACUUUUUGUUUACCAAAAGUUUGUUUGAAAUAGUUAGGAUUUUGAAAUUAUUUUCAUUCUCUAAUAAUCAAUUCAGGCUCACACAUAAUUUAUUCAAUAUACUUCAUUGAUUAUCUCGAGUUUCUAUAUUGUUCUAUCUUUUUUAUAUUUUUUUCUUAUUUAUUUCUAAUCUCUUCCGGUUGAUGAUUUAAAAUGGAAUUUACAAUGUUAGUCGCAUUCACUAUGAUGCCAGACUGAAUUUUGAGAGUUUCAAACAUUAAAUUGAAUAAAACAAAUAAUUUUGCAAAUAAUUCUUAGUCUACUUGUUUUUUGCAAAUAGUUUCCGAAACUGCCCUCUAUUGCUGCAGUUAAUAGUCUAACCCCCCAUUAAAUUGAAGUUCUUCUGGAAGAUUUGAAAGAAAAGCUUCUUUCAAAGUUCACUAGAAAUUAGUCAUCUGUAAGAGCAUUUCAAUCUUAUAAUCUUCCAUUGUUCAUAAAUAAGAAUUAUGAGCUUUUGCGUGUACUGUCUCAUUGGUUUUUUUAAAAGUACAAACCUAUCGAGCUCAUGAGUACCAAUCCACCCCCAUGAAGGUGCCCUAUCCUGAGCACCAUUCCUGUGAACAAUUUUGAAAUCCCUCCACAUUCCCCCUUGUGCUCAUAGGUAUGCUCAUAGGUAGCCCCAUUCAAUCAUGAAAACCCGACCAAAAUUUUAAAUCAUUUUCUUUAUGUAUUCCUAUAAUGAUCGUGAUUAUAAUCACUUCCAGGUGAAUUAAAACUAUCCCUAGCCCGAUAUGAAGGAUUAAACCCGAUUUUGAUUGCAAUUCAUAGUAUUUAAGUUGUAAAAAAAAAUUAAAUUUACAAGGAUCUGUUUGGAAUUACGUAAGUUGAAUUAAAUUAAAAUACUAAAAAAUGUGGAAAAAUAAAAAGAAGGGUAUCACAUUUAGGUUGUUUACCUUUACCGUCGUAGAUCGUUAUUUAUGUUGGUUGACAUGAACUUUGUGCAUGUUUUGUUGUUGCAUUUUGUAUUACCGCACCAAGUGCACUUUUGGAUUUGCACAUGUUCUCUAGUAGAAGGAAUGCUAUUAACACGCGGUUUACCAACGAUGGUAGUUACUUUUUAUGAUAGUAUAACACAAUCCAUGUAUUUUGGUGGUCUUCUCCACUUCGAAGGAUGUUUGACAGGGAAGAUUAGUUCAACAUAUGUUAAAUAUCAAUGAUUCUACUCAAUAAUAUUGGCUACAAAGGGUCUACGGGUUAAUGUUUUGUGACCUUGGAGAAACGAUUGUGUGUGAGCAUAGAAUCUUCAAGUAGUUGAGCAUCUUACAUGUGCAUUGGUGGCUGUUUAAAUUGAUCAGAUCAUUCAAGCAAUCAGACCUCUAAUGUGCAUAAAAUUUAUGACUAACAUUUAUCAGAGCACAAAGAAUGGAUCUAACACUAGUAGAAAAGUGGUCUACGACGACAGUUAUUUAUUGUCGUAAACGAAAUUCAUGACAGUUAUUUUCAGUCAUAGAAGCGGGAGUCAUGGAAAGUCCUUCGAUGACAAUUUUUAAAAAUUGUCGCAAUAAGUUAUUUUAUGACAUGAAAUAAAUGUCGUUAAUCAGAAUUCAACGACAUCAAAUAAUUGUCAUAUUUUAUUUUAUGACAACAAAUAACUAUCAUCAUUUGUGUAUUAACGACGGUUAAAUAAUGUCGCAAAUUCAUUUAUUGUGACAUUUUUUAAUUGUCAUGAAUAUGUUAAUCGUGACAGUUUUUUUGUAUAAAAAUGUCAUUGUUUUACUAUUGACGACAUUUUUUUCCUGUCACAUAUAGGGCAAUCGUGACAAUUUAUUUUAUUAAACAACUGUCAUCGUUUUCGGAUUGACAACAAUUAAUAACUGUCACAAAUUCAUUUAUUACGUCAUUUGUUGCAAAUUUCUCAAUUUACUACAGUUUUUUCCUGUUCUCCUUGCCACUCCACCAUUACACGAACCAUUUGAAUGACAAUAAUGUAGCUGAGAAUGACAAUUUUGAAUUUAUAAUAUUGACACCCAUAUAGAAAAAAGUAGCCAACACUUUAAUAUAUAUACGAUAUAAUACAAUUUAUAAUAUUCGUACAUUUCCAAUCAAGUGUCAACAAUUUACAAGUACAGAAUCCCAACCCUUAAUCAAAAAAUAUUUUAAAUAGCAUUAGAAUACAUCUAACAAGAUUUUCUGCAGAAGCAUAAACGACCAACCGAGAAUGUUCGUCUCUGAAAAUGUUCUUUGAAAGUAAACUUAUGAAGUUGUCGACUCCAGUUGAAUCUACAAAGACAACAUGAAUAUAAGCAUCCAUCAUAGGACAAGAGAGUACAACUCUUAUAGAAACUUUCAACAUUGAGCAUUACCUAUCACUACAUGCGUCGAUAAGAGAAACAACUACAUAGCAGAGCACAAAUGUAGAAUAACAGCAUCACCGUAACAUCCACUUGGUCUACAAUAUUGAAACUUUUUAUAAAUUACAACUCUUGUAUCAUUGCUCUUUAGAAAAUUUACCUGGAUAUAAAUAAGUAAUCUACAAGGAAAUUAUUGAAUAAGUAAUCAUAAGUAAUAAUCGAGAUGAAUGAAACUUAAGAAUCCAUUAGUAGUUCACUGUCAAUAAGGUUGGAAGAAACGUUAUCCGACAAGAACUGAAAAAUUUCCAUCUUAAGGAGUCAAACACUUUCAAUCUACAAAUAUCAUAAAUAAGACAGUUUUCAUGUGUAAUCCACUUCAGUUAACGAAGCCAAGAAAUAUUAAGGUACUAGGAAAAUGAAACUAGAACAACUUGUAUCAUUUAUGGCUUAACAAAAAUAAAGGUCUCCUAGUUUCUUAUCCAAAAAAUGCUCUACCAAUGAGUACGACAUAAAAUCCAUGACAAUUUACACAAGUAGCAAUUUAGCAAUAGCAAUAAGUACAGACAUAACACCCAUGACAAUUUACACAAGUAGCAAUAGCCAACCAGUACAAGCAUACUAUCCAUGAUAAAAAAAAAAAAAAAAAAAGGUAUCUAUUACUCUUAAUCCUAUAAUAUGAACGACAUUAACUAAGAAGGGACCAUUGACAUGUACCUGAUGUUCUAAUUCCAUGGAGAUCGAAGUCCCGAAUGAGCUUCCAUAAGUUAACAUCCUACAAUACAAUACAUUUUAGUCAAAUCAUAUAGCAACUCAUUAAACAUAUAGAGAAGGACUUCCAACUGACAUUUGGAAAAGAGUUGGGUUGAUCAAUUUUUGUGGCAUGGGGAGCAAUGUUAUCUUGAGCAAAUUGUUUAACACUUUCUUUGAACUGCAAUCAAUUAAUCAAGAAUUUUGAUAUAUUGACAUUAUAAAUGAAACUACAUACAAAUCAUUGUUGUAAUAAACUAAUUUGAACCAUUUACUAUCAUUUAAAUAAAGCGAGAGAGAAAAGAGGAAGCCUUAAAAGCAAGAUUCUUAAUAUAUCCUCAUAAAAAAAAAAAAAAAACUUGUUCAAGUGUCAAAGUCGACAAAAAAAAAAAAAAAAAAACUGCAACUGACAAAAACGAAAGAACUAUGAUUAUUUGAUGAUGUUUGGUUCAAUAAGUAGGAAUGUAGCUCGUAACCUUUUCUCAUUUUCUCCAACUGCCAGAACAUUCAGGACAUUUUUUAAAGAUUCACAACACUCUAUCACUUCACAUUUCAUGUACUCAUCUGCAUAAAUGUGCUUCCAUAGGUCAGAAUCUCUGGAUCGAAAUUCAACAGCCAUAUCCAAUGCUAUUGGAAUCUGUAGCAGUAGAAAAAUUGUUAACAGUUGCUAUAAGUAUGCCUAAAAAUUAAAAGAAAACAUAAAUGGGCUAUAUUGACCUUGCUGGCUAGUAAAAAGGGAGGCAUUUGGAUUAUUUUUAGGCUGGGAUCUGAGGAAUAAGGAACUAGCAAGAGAUCCAUCUCCCUGUUUCAUUUGAAAAUUCAGUUUAGUUUUAAAAUUAUAAUUAGAAGGAUGCUUGGAAUGAAAAUUUCUAAUUUUUAGGCAAGAGUUCUAAUAAACUCUAUGGUCGUGUCUCCUAAUCCUCCGUUUCUAACUUUAUUGUUUUCCCUAAGAGAUUUGACAAGAUACUUUUAUCUGAUAUUGAAGAAAUUUCACCAAUUGUGGGCUGCAAAUAGUUCAAACAGAACUAGUAUUGGAAUAUAUAGAAUAUACAAAAUACCCUAGCCCAUAAGAAACAAAAGAAAUCCAAAACAUAGAAGAAGCAAAAGUCAUUAAAAGAAAUGGAUGAAGUGCAAACAUACACAAGACAACUAGCAGUAACUACCACAAUAUGCUUAUGAACCAACAACUGAAGUAACCUAACUAAUAACAAAGUCAACCUAUCACAAAAGCACAAGUUUUCAUUUUUCAACCAAUAGAGGCAUGCCUGCAAAUAACCAUCAUCUUUUGUAGACUUUAGAAAGAUGUCUGACAAAGCAGACAAUAACUUAGGAGAAGAGGACUUAAGUAUAGUCCGGAAAAUAUGAGACUACAUUUUUCAACUAAAAGGCUAAUUCCUUAGACAUCAUGUAAAUCAAGUCCCUUUGGAUUGCAUAAACAUGGCACCAACUCCAUUGCUGAAUGAAUAAAACAUAAACUACCUUAAUAAAGCAUAAAUUUACCCAAAUGCAAUCUCGUGAAUUAAUUGCAACAUCUUUAGAGAACAUAAAGGGGCUAUAUUGACCUUGGGAAAGACAAUUUGAAUGAAUAAAUCAUAAACUACCUUAAUAAGUUCAUCAGAUGCAACGUAUCCUAUCGCUUCUUCAAGACUCAUAUCUGCAUUUAAGUUUAGAAUUAGAUGUUAGUGUGAGUAAUUAUACUUAGGAAAAGAUAAUAAAGCUUUUCAGCCUACUCGUGCCCUGACAUUCUAGAACUGAAUUCUACAUCUUGGAUACUGGAUUCACAAUAACACUAAAAUAUAUACAAUUGGAACUCAAUGUAGAAAUAACAUACAAGUCGAGGUGGAGAUAGCUUCACGUUUUCAUCUUUGCAAGCAGAACGGAUAUUGGUAAGUUUUCUUUAGUUCUUACAAGAUUAACCUAGAAAAAAGAAAAUUGCUUACCAUGUAAAUCAAGUAGAAAUUACAACUUCGAUCCAAAGUCUAAACAUAAAGUUCUCAACUUACAUCUAGAUCUGAUUCCCUAGAAUGUUCUCCAAUAAUCAUUCCAUCAUAAGUCUGGAACAUAAAUUAUCAGGAAAACUGAAGCAGAACAUUUUCGAGGACCCAUAUAUUAUCUACAAUGAAAAGAUAGUGGAUCCUCAGUCUAAUGGAGACAACAAAAUAUACAUUUAGACCAACUCAUAGCAUAAAAGAUAAUAGGUCUAUGAAUCAAAUGAUUUCAGGGUAUCAAAAAUAGCUCCUAAACAAACGUAUAUAUAAUUGAACAUCCACGCUUCCUGCCUAUGAAAACAGGGAAACAAUUAAUUCACGAGAUGGAACAUUUUGAGCAACUUCUAUCCAAAAGGAGGAAAGAGGGGUGGAAAGUGUACACUAAAAAACCAUUAUGCACCAUAUAGAUGAAUUGACAUGACUUAGCUACAAAUACUUGUGCAAACUGCAAAAUGACAGCAACUAGCACAAUAAAAACAAAUCAAACAAUUUUCUAAAUGGUGAAUUGCCAAUUGCCAAACUAAACUUCAUUACAACAAGUCUAAUAUACUAAGUUAAAAAUAGGCUUCAACGUGUGUAACAAUCAGAUCAUAGAACACACUCGCACAAUGCAAAAGAAAAAGAAAAAAACUUUUAAAGCUUCAGACACAUAUUGUCAAACACCUUACAAGCACAAACUAAUAUCAUAUUUUCUCAUAAUCUCACCAAAAAAAAAUCUUGUUUAAGUUUCAAGAUAGAAUUGAUUGAUGAUGUUCUUUUCUAGAAGAUUUCAAGAAAUAAAUAAGAGAAUACUUCAACUUUUCUGCAUGAUUCCAAAAUCCCAUCAAUCAAGAAAUCUUGUUGUAAUCCCACAAGGAAAGCUUAUGUUCUUCCUCCGUCCACAGUACAACAAGAUAAAACCUAACGAAAAUCCUAAAUGUAUUAAGUGAAAAUCCCCACAAAUUAUCAGUCAUUUACACAACUACACCAAAUCAUAUCUUAAAAUCACAAGGUAAGAAAAAAUGGAUAUGUUGCUGUUGAUCAGUAUCAUCAUCAUCAAGUUACUGUUUGAAAUCAUUUUCUUUAAGCUUCACUCUUGAUUUUGUUUGAGAUUUAUGAGGAAAUAAAACAGGAGGCUCUUGAUCUUAUGGGUUAAAGAUUGAAUUCAUAGCUUGAUCCCAUAGUUUCAACCAUAACUUAAAGUACUCUAAAACAUGAACUUAGGAUCUUGAUCUUAUGGGUUAACGAUUGAACUCAUAGAUUAGAGUGUGAGAAUGACUUUCUUUUUUGCAUAAAAGGGAAAACAAUGGUAAUGGUGAACAACAUUUUCUCUUCGAUGCUUUGUUUUUCAUUUCCAUCUUCUUUGUACAUUCUUAGAAGAAAUUGUUAUUUAUGAUUAUUGUACAAGUGUGAGUAUGUUUAUAGAUGUUUUUUUAUGGGUAUUAAAAAUAUGCUACUUCGGUAUCACUUAGGUCUUCAUAAGAUUACUCAUUGCCUCUUAAGAGUAUGGAACUUGUCAAUUUUGCUAGGUUUCGUCUUGCUACAACAAUGGAGGAUUUCUAGAGGGUCAAAGGUGAACAUUGAAACUAUGGAAGCACCCUAUGUUUUCUUAAUACUGAAAUUUUUAGUCAUAUAUAUAUAUUUUGCUAAGUUGGACAAAGGUUUUAACAAGACAAAAGGGAGUCUUAUAAGUUAUGUACUCAUUUCAUGUUUUGGUUUUUAGGCACAGUAAAAAGGAUACUUCCUUUUGGUUUUAUUUUGGUUUGAGUUUGUUGUUAUCUUGUUGUUAGGGUAACAAUUGAGUUAUCUUUUGUAGAUUUAUUUUCUUGGAUGUGGGAUGAAAUAUAGGUGGGGACUUAUGUGUAUAUUUUCUAAAAUGUAAAAUGUAGGUUUUGGUUGUCAUUGUUUUGGUUUUUGUAGAGAAAAGUUCGUGAGUUAAGUUUUGUUUUUGUAAGUUCGAUUAAGAGUUAUGUUUGAAAGUUGCUAUAUGUUUUGGUUGUAAAGAAAGGUUCAUAAACAUACGUUUAGAAUUUAAGUUUAGAUUGUUUUCUUGGACAUGGGAUGAAACAUAAUUUUGUUUUUGUAAGUUCAUAUUAUUUAUUCAUCUUCUUUUUUCAGAUUUCUUCAGCCACUCUUCCAAUUUUUCUUUCUUCUACUAAAUUCAUAUUAUUUUUCUUUAUUUUUUGAUCAUCUCUUUCUUUCUUUCACCACUCUUCCAGAAUAUCAAGAUUGCUUAAAUAUCACUUUGAUAUGAUCUAAAUGAUCACUUAUCUAGUCAACAUGAUCAACAAGAUCGUUUAGCAUUACAUGCCAAUACAAUCGUUUAGAUUUGAAACCAUUUUUCCAUCGUUAAAAAAGAACUACACGAUCGCGUAGAUAUGAUCUAAACAAUCACUUACCAUAGUUAACAUGAUCGUUUAGGAUGAUUACUACAAUCAUUUAGAUUUGAAGUCAUUUUUCUAAAUAACUACACAAUUAUGUGGAUAUGAUCUAAACGAUCGCUUACCAUAGUCAAUAUGAUCGUAGCAGUCAUUUAGAUUUGAAGCAUUUUUUUCAUCAUUAAAAAAGCUACACGAUUGUGUUGAUACUAUCUACAUAAUUGUGUAUCAUUUUCUACACUAUCACGUAUUAUGAUCGUUGAUUGUGUAAUAUUUUUUACACGAUCAGAUAUCAAGAUUGUUUAGAAAAAGAAUUACACGUACAUGUGUGAUCGAUCAAUCGAGUGUUGGCUGAAACAUAUUUUAUAUUUUUUAUUAUGGACUUAUUGAAUUUUUUUUGUUUACAAAAUAGCAGUAGAAUGUAAAUAUUGUAGAGGUUGGUUAUAUUUUUGGAAACACAUCAAAAACUAAAUUUGAGAAAAGAAAUUCAUAUCAAUGCCGACAGAAAACGGCUACUAAAAACCGGAGAAAAGCUAUAAUGAUAAUAAAGCCACACUAAUUUAUUAACGUUUUCUCCUAAGAAAACAAAUAUACUAACGUCGUUUUCCUUACGGUUGGAAGUUAGAACCCCGUCAAGCGUAACGGAGCUACGGGAACUAGAAACGGGAUACUUGCAGCUACCGACACUCAUAUCCAAGCCUCUACCUUCGGAUCCCGAGCCUGAGCUCCGAAUUUACACUCGCAGCUUUCUCCACUGAACCCGAAUCCCCCUCCCUGGCCCUUUCUCAGUGGUGACUGAUGGCUCAUCACUGCGUCUUUACUCCCACUAUCCCCAUUCACAUUUCUUCUUCCCUUCUCUUUCUCACUCCCACAGAAGGGAAAGUUCUUCUUCACAAUCUCUCUGGUUUUUCUCCUCCAAUUCCCAAUUUUAAGUAAUUCAGUUUGUAUUUUCCAUUGUUUCUUAGCGAAACUCAUCUGGGGUUUUCAUCUCUUUAACUUCUGAAUUUCUUGUUCAACCCUCGAAUUUCCAUUGCGACCCACCCAUCUUUCGUUACUCCUUUUGAAAGAUGAUGCACGCCAAAUCCGAUUCGGAUGUGACGAGUUUAGCUCCAUCCUCGCCUAGGUCACCGAAGCGGCCACUCUACUAUGUGCAAAGCCCUUCGAGAGAUUCUCACGAUGGCGACAAAUCUUCCACCCAUGCCACUCCUGCCUUCAACAGCCCCAUGGAAAGCCCUUCUCAUCCAUCUUAUACUCGCCACUCUCGCUCCUCGUCGGCGAGUCGGUUUUCCGGUACGUUUCGAUCCUCUCUUGGCCGGAAAGGUAGCCGGAAACGCAACGAUAAAGGGUGGCCAGAGUGUAAUGUGAUUGAAGAAGAGGGGGACUAUGAUGAUCUAAAUGGAGAUAAAGGGUUAACUAGAAGAUGCCAGAUUCUGAUGAUUUUGCUUGCUUUUGUUUUUAUCUUCUUGUUGUUCUGUUUGAUCAUUUGGGGUGCUAGCCGACCUUUCAAAGCAGAGAUCAAACUCAAGGUUGUGUUUCUAACUCUAUAUAUACUCUGAAACUAUAUAAAAUUAUUAGAAUAUUGAUUUGUUUUGUUGUAGUUGAUUAGAAUAAUAUUUGCCUAUAGUUGUGAAUAUUUUAAGACUUCUCUGGCGUGUAGGAUCUUUGUGAAGAAUUGAUACUAUCUUUAACAACUUCAUAUAUAUUUCUAUUUUCAUUCUUCUUUUGUCUAACUAUGGUUUUGGCUGCUGCACCAUAACUUCUCAGUUAAGGAUUUGAUGAUUGAAGUUAUUUGGUUGUCAAUGUAUGAGAAGUGAUUUUUGUUUCAUUGUUUUUAUCCUCUUUCUCUUACAGAGCAUGACCGUUCAUAAUGUAUAUUUUGGAGAAGGAUCAGACACAACAGGAGUUCCAACCAAAUUACUGACUAUCAACUGUUCAUUAAGGAUCACUGUUCACAAUCCUGCAACUUUCUUUGGCAUUCAUGUCAGUUCCUCCCCCAUCAAUCUUAUGUACUCCCAGAUUGCAGUUGCCUCUGGUCAGGUAAAAUUCCUAACGACAAACUUCCAUAAAAUAAGGCACUAAGAAACUGAAAUGGAGACUGAUCCACAGGAAAGGGAAAAUAUAUGAGAUCUUUUCUUACUUUGCAGUUGAAGAAAUACUAUCAACCGAGACAGAGCAAUCGAAUCAAAUUGGUGAAUCUUCAAGGGAACAAGGUGCCACUAUAUGGGGCUGGAGCAACCCUUGAAGCCUUGGAUAAAAAUGGAAACAUUCCUAUGAUGUUGGUGUUUGAAGUACAUUCAAGAGGGAAUGUGGUAGGGAAACUAGUAAGAUCAAAGCAUAGAAGGCGUGUAUCGUGUUCUUUGGAGAUUGACUCUCGCAACUCGAAGCCUAUGAAGAUUAAAGCUGAUUCAUGUACAUAUGAUUGAGACAUUAGAAUCUCCAUCUUGCAUCCUUCUUUUCAUUGGAAGGGAAAGAUUCUACCUGUAGGGGAUCAAACUAUGGUUGUAAAAAUAGGCUGUUGACUUAGUUCUUUCUUCUUGACAGCAAUGGAAUAAAUAAGGAAAAAAAAAAAGAUGAGUGGAUCAGUUUAUGGACAUACUAUUUUUAUUACAACUACUUUCCAUAAAACAAUAGAGCAUGCGCAAUUAUGGUACAAUUAUUUGACAAAAUGAAAUGAUAUGUUCUUUAUGCUUCUAACAAGACAACAUUGUUUUAUAAAUUAAAGCACUUUACUGCCUAUUGAAAAGGAAAAUGGAGCUAGCAGUUUAACGAUGUUUUCUUAAAUAUACUUUUUGUGGAUAAGAUAGUUAAAUCACAAAUAAAAAUUGAAAAAAAAAUGAAUGUGUUUUUACUUUUUAUUAUCAUAAAAGAGAAUACUAAAGUUUUUUUUCAUAAAGUUUUCUUUUGGAACACAUAAACAAAAUAGUAAAUUUAACUUUUGUUUUCAUCCAAUAUCACUCUACAUUGGAAUUAACUUACCUCAACCCACUCAACCCACACUAGAAUGUUAUUUCAUUUGUCCUCCCAGUAAAAAUUGGUAAUUAGACAGAAAAAAUAAAGAGGUUAGAGACCGCUGAAUAAAUGAAAUGCUUAAGCUUAAGAUUUUUUUUUUCUUUGCGUGAGAGUUAUCCAACUUGAGUUAUGGGGAAAAUAAUGAGUUUUUUUUUCAAAAGAAAAACAAAAGAAUAAGAAAAAAUUAUUUAAAUCAUAGUCUAAUUGAUUUAAUAAUCUAUGGAUCUAUUUGACAUUAAUUAGAAUUAUAUACAUAACUUUGAAUUUCCUCGAGCCCUACGAGGAGAAAACUUAAAUUCUACUUUGGUCUCUAAAUGUAAGACUUGUACUUAAGUUAAGAAGUAAAUUGUUGAUUAAAUGUUUAAGAGAAGGCAUUUUGAUUAGUUUUCAUGGUAAGAGGUUGGUGAUUUGAAGUAGUAUGAGAGAAAACAAGGUUAUGUGGUAAGGACUUCUCGACGUUUAAGUAAUUAUAUGCGAUUGAGAUACUACGCCAAAUGAAAGACUUGGUGAGAAGAAGUAAGAAAACUUCUAAGAAAUUUUCUAAGUUUGGUUAAUGGGCCACAUGUAGAGUUUAAGUUAAAGUAGGAUUAAAUUAAACCUUAAGCUUACACGUGCACAAUACAGGUAGGAGUUGGUGAGAGUUGGUGAGCUGACAAUAGUUUAAAGAUAGAGAGUGCCAUAUGUGGAUUUCUUUGUCUUCAUAUAACAUAUAAGGUAUGGACAAUAUAGCAAAAAUGUAGCAUUAACGAAUUUUCUAGUCUGGCCGAGUCCUCGAAAGAAGUUUUUAUGGGAUCCCUAUCUACCAAAAUUUUGACUUCUGGUUCCGGCGAACGAAUAAUCAUUGAGUCCUCCUCUUUCCGGACAACACAUACAAAGAGACCCGCCAAUAGUUAAGUAAUUAGUGAACCUAUGAGAGAUUUUUCUACUUAGUUUCUUUCUCUGCUAUCUCCCAUCUAUUUUAUUUUUUUUUAUUUAGUUAUUCACUAGAGCAAUUAUGAUCUAGAAGUUGAUCCGGGGCAAGUGUUCGGAUCUAUUAUGACAUAGCCAUGAGGCGCUCAACGGACCUUUUGAAUCUUAUAAAACCUUUUUCCGGGUUUUGAAUUGACACAAAUUCAAUUUUUUUGUAGAACCUAAUGUAUUCACAUAUCUCGAUUAGAAGUUCCUAAAUGGAACUACUUUAUGUCUUACAUAGAACAUAUUUCGUAGUCUUUCAUAACAGAAAUAUUGUUAAGAGUCUUCUGUCGUGAAAACAAAAAAGUUUGUGACGCUGAAAGAGGCCUUCGCAAUAAAUCAGCUACAAUUGGAAAUGCCUUUUAUCUCAUACUACUCUUUCGAUACAUAACCUAAUGGUUUAGAAAAAAAAAAAAAGAAAAAAAUUCUCAUAUCGAAUUCAAAGUGCCAUGCUAUUAUUACUUAAUAUUUUAUAUCGCGAAGGCAUAGUUUUUUGUCUAAAAAAAAAAAACUCAUUGGCGCCGAGCGUGAGGGAAUGCUAGACGUUUGGUAAUUUCUCCUCCGACUAGAAUAAAAGAUCCCAUUGAAGCGGCUAAUCCAAUACAUAUUGUAUGGACAUCUGGUGACACAAAUUGCAUAGUAUCAAAAAGACCUACUCCGGGUAUUACCGAUCCACCGGGAGAGUUUAUAAAUAAAUACUGAUCUUUGGUACCAUCCUCUAUACUGAGAUAUACCAUAAGACCCAUAAUUUGAUUCGAGAUCUCAUUAUUAACAUCUUGGCCUAAAAAAAGUAAUCUUUGUCGAUAAAGUCGGUUGAUUAGGAUAAAAUUGUAUCCCGUAAGAAGCGUACAAGUAUUAGAAAAAUUCUAUAUUUGUGUGAAUCGUUAUUGGUUUGAUACCAAUAAUAGCAGUCGUUUUAGUAUGCUAAGGAUCCAUAUGUAUCCACAAUUGAAAAUUCGUUAAUGCUACAUUUUUGCUAUAUUGCCCGUACCAUAUAUGGUAUAUGAAGACAAAGAAAUACACAUAUGGCACUCUCUUAGAUUCUGAUAGACGAUAUUAAUUCAAUGACGUAUCUAUUCGAUUUAGAAAUGAAUCCAGAAAAUAUUCUUAUUUCAUUUUAAAUUCAAAUUUGCAGUCUAAAUAUUUUUUGUGCAUGCAGAAAUAUACCAGACUUUUGUAUACCUAUCUAAAUACAAUUUUCAAAAAUUGAAUUGCUAAAUUUUAUAAAAAAAAAAAAAAGAAAUUCUUAAUCAAAGUAAGAUUAUUGUGUAUAUCAAAUUAAAAUGAGUAACAUUAUUAUUACUGAUCACUAAUAAUUUAUAAAAAAAAUAAAAAAAGGAGGCUAAGGAGAUUUCAUUUUAUGGUAAAAAAUUCAUUCAGCUCAGUUAUUUCGCAAGAAGAAAAAAAAGAAAAUGGAGGAUCCGUUGAAUUUCAAGUAGUCAGUUUCACCAAUAAGAUACGAAGACUUACUUCACAUUUGGAAUUGCACAAAAAAGACUAUUUAUCUCAAAGAGGUCUACGUAAAAUUCUCGGAAAACGCCAACGAUUACUUUCUUAUUUAUGAAUAUUACUUGCAUGAAUGAUUUGGCCAAUCAUGAAUUGGUUAUGAAACCAUGUAAAUGAGAAUUUUACUAAAAAUUCUCAAGAGAUACUAAAAAAAUUCAUUAAUCUCUAUAUGAAUGUUCAUUUGGUAAGAGUUGAUCAACAUAAUAUUCCACUUUCUUAGUUAGAAUCUUGCCUGGUGAAGUAACUGUGUUUUAGAUGUAUACAUAGGUAAAGCCGUGUGCAAUGAAAAAUGCAAGCACGGUUUGGGGAGGGAUUUUUUUUACUUAUUUUUUUUUUAAGUAAAUUAUCGACUCCAUCCGACUAGUUCCGGGUUCGAGUCCCGGGCAACCCAUAUUAAUGAUGAUAGUGAACUAAUUUAUCAUAUCAAAAUAAUCUAUCAAGUCUAAUUCGAUUUUUUAAUGAAUGAAAAGAAUUAAAUAAAAAAAAGAAAGAUUAAUCUAGAUAACUAAUAAAAGCAUAGAUAUAUAUUGGAAAAUUGCCAAAAAUAGGUAAAAAAUGGGGUAGAAAAUGAGUUUUAGGAUUGAUUUUAAAAAAGUUGAGAUUUAUGACAAAUUUGGAGUGAAAUGUCCAGAAUACCCUUAUUUAAUUUUACUUCACAUUUGUCUCUUCUCUUCCAACCUCUCUUCAACGUAUAGUACGUAAAGGAGAAAAAAAAACAAAAAAAACCCAUUUGCAGUUCUUCUCCUCUCUAAAAAAUUUGUCAACUUUCUGCUUUACUCCGGUGUCGUUCAUCCUCUACUCCGGUGAACAUCUCACGCACUGUGGUUUGUUUUAAUUUUUUUUUAAUUCGAAUCGUGUUGUGUUAUAUGUAUAUAUAUUUGCAUCUUAUAUGUAUAAAUCAAAUAUAAUUUUUAAUUGUUUCAAGUUGAUUUAGGGUUGUUUUAGAGUUGUUUCAAAGGAUGUUAGCAAGUUAUUAAUUUUUUUUUUUAUCUCGCAAACAUCUCGCAGACAUCUCGUAGGUUCUUAAAUUCAAAUGUUUAAUCUCAAAUGAAUUGAUUUAGGGUGACUUUUAACUAUUGUUUUAUGUAUCUCGCAAUAUCGUAAACAUUUCGUAGCUGUCAAACUUUAAAUGUCCAAGACUGAAUUAGUUAUAUACUUAUUUAGGAUGUGACUAUGCACGUUUUAUUUAGUGUUUAGCUACUAUUUUUUAAUUUCGUAAAAUAAGUCAAUAAACUUUUUUUAUGUGAUAUGUCAAAUUCUAACUUCAAAUCAGUUUUUGCAGCAAUUAAAAAGUAUAAGGUGGUUUAAGGAUGUCACAUGUUCGGAUGUUAGUGUGUUACGAUGGUACAUGGGAUGAUGAGCGAAGAAAAUACGAAGAAGGCAUGUUAAAAGGCAUCGUUGUCAGUAAAGAAAUAACACAUAAAGAUUUACAGGCAUAAUUAUAUGACCUUGCAGAAGUUGACCCUACAAAGUUCGACAUAAUGAUAAGAUGCAUAUAUGAAAUAAAAGUGGAACACGAAGCUCCUCCAUUUGAGUUAAGCAAUGACCGUGAUUUGAAGUUUUAUCUUCUUAGUGAAAAUCCACUAGAGGUCCCUUUAUGCGUCUCAUUUGAGCCUAAAAGUAAUCAAAGCAAAAAAAUGUUAAACAAAGAUUACAAUUUAGUAUCUGAGAGCAACCAAGCUCAUAACUUAAACCCUCAUCCUCCAAUUGCAAUGAAUACAUUAAAUGAGAAUGUAGUUCAUGUUUGUGAAGUUGAAGUUGGUUUGUGUGAUAACAUGAUAGGGACCACUUCGGCUAUAUGGGAAUCAUAUGAGUCAUAUGAUUCGAAAGAUAAUACUUUUCCAUGGGAGCCAGUUGAGAUGAAUAAUGAAUCAUUUGACAUCCCACAACAUAGAGAUGCUCCUACAAAAGAUUGCAAAGGAAAAUCUAAAGUUCAUUACAGCUCUUCUAGCCGAAAGUUGAAGACAGAAAGAAGUGAUUGGUCUAAAGAAAGCUCUACAAGUGAGGAGUUUGAUGUACGACAAAUAUUUUUUUCCAAAAGAGAUUUGCCAAUGAGAUUAAGUGUCUUGGCGAUGAAAUUUUUUUUUCAGUUUGUAGUAAAAAAGUCUACAAAAAAGGUUCUUUUUAUUAGAUGCAUUGACAACAAGUGUGGUUGGAGACUGCGAGUGAUGAGAUUGAAGGAUUCAAAUAUAUUCAAGAUUAAAAAGUAUGUCAAAGUUCAUUCGUGUUCUCUUGAGUUUUUGAAUCGUGAUCAUAGGUAAGCAAAAUCUUGGGUUGUUGGAGAAUUAAUAAAGUCAAAAUUCAAUGGAGUCGGUCGUCUAUACAAAUCAUGUGAUAUCAUUGAAGACAUGAGGCAAGACUAUGGCAUAAAUAUGAGUUAUGAAAAAGCAUGGCGUGCUAGAGAAAAUGCGUAUGAACGAGUGUGAGGGUGUCCUGAAGAGUCAUAUAAUCUAUUGCUUAGAUAUGGUGAAGCUCUCAAACUUGCAAAUCUAGGUACAAUAUUUCACAUGGAACUUGAAGAUGAUCGUUUCUUUAAAUAUCUUUUUAUAGCUGUUGGUCCAUGUGUUCGAGGAUUCUUAAACUACAUUAGACCGAUUAUAGUUAUGGAUGGAACAUUCCUUAAGAACAAAUAUCGAGGUCAGUUGAUAGUUGUUGUUUGCUUGGAUGGUAACAAUCAAAUUUAUCCUCUUGCCUUUGGAGUGGUGGACAGAGAAACAGAUGCUUCAAUACAGUGGUUCUUAGAGAAAUUGAAAGGUGCAAUAGGGGAGGUGCCUAAUCUAGGCUUCGUGACAGAUCGAAAAAUAUGUUUUUCUAAGGGUAUUUCAUCGGUUUUUCCCUCCGCAUUCCAUGGACUUUGUGUCCAACAUUUGACUCAAAAUUUGAAUGAUAAAUAUAAGAAUGACAUUGUAGCUACUUUGUUUUACAAUGCAUCUAGAACAUAUCGUGAAUCAACGUUCUCAGAAGCGUGGAGAAGUAUUCUUGCAUUUCCUAAUGGUUCAGGAAAAUAUUUAAACGAUGUUGGAAUAACACGAUGGUCUCGUUUUCACUGUCCAGGAAGACGAUAUAAUAUGAUGACAACAAAUAUAGCAGAGUCCAUGAAUUCUAUACUGAAAGAACCUAGAGAUUUGCCUAUUGCUUCAUUCCUUGAACAUGUUCGAGCUUUGCUACAACGUUGGUUUUGGGAGCGUCGAGAAGAAGGCAUUAAAGUGACGUCUAUAUUGACUAAAUGGGCAGAGUUAGUUUACCAAAGAAACAAGAACGAGCUUUGAUAAUGAAGGUCAACCCAAUUGAUUGUUACCAAUUCCAUGUUAAAGAUUUAGAUAAAAAGGAGGUCGUAAAUCUUCAUACUCAAGAGUGCAUUUGUAAGGAGUUUCAAGCUGAGCAACUACCAUGCGCACAUGCCAUUGCUGUUGCACGGGAUCGCAAUAUAAAUGUUUAUAGCUUAUGUGCUAACUAUUACACUAAUGUAUGUUUGAUGGCAGCAUAUUCGGAGGCCGUCUACCCAGUUGGGAAUCAGUCGGAAUGGAAGACAAGUGAAGAAUAUGUACAUAUGACUAUCUUACCUCCGAAAGUAGUCAAAAGAGUUGGUCGACUGAAGAAAAAGAGGAUUCCAAGUGUCGGUGAAGCACCGAAAUUGCAUAAAUGUGUUCGAUGUAAAGAAAUAGGCCACAAUAGAUCAACAUGUACCAAUCCAAUUUCAUACAUCGAGAAGUCGAGCAUACAAGAUUAGUCCUCGUCUUGGUAUGUAGUAUUACUUUUAUACUUGCUUGGUUUGUGCUUGAGUUGUUUGCAUGAUCACAAUGUAAAAAAGAUUCCUUGUUUUAAUGUAGGUGGAAGAUGAUUAUAAAAAUGUAUCCUGAGUUGUUUGCAAGAUCACUAAAGUCAUCUCACUGACAAAUCUAAUUUGAAGAUUUUCCUUCUGCAACUUCAAGACUUUCCUUCUCUUUUUAUUUAUCCUACUGUGAACAUUUUAUAGAAUAUUUACUUAUUGUAUUUUUUUUCACAAUGUUUGUAUUACUUUGCGUGUAACAACCAUUUUAUAUGGUAUUUGGUUUUAUCUUAGUGGAAUUGCAUGUCCUUUCAACUUACUCUGGUUUUGUAAGUUUCCCUUUCUCUUUGCUAUCUAAUUGACAUUCUCUCCUUCAUCUUCAUCUUCAGUUUUCAUUUAUUUUGUUAUAUUAAAACAAUAUUUUGAUUGUUAUAGAAACUGGGGUUUAUUUUGUUUUUCUUUCCUUUUUCCCCCCCUUAAAAAUAGAAGCUUUAAUCAUAGUUUAUGAAAUGCAUCAACAAAUGGAGAAGAUAUGUAUAACUUGAGUAAUGACUAAUAACUAGUGACUAGUGGGAACAUAGAGUAACCAAAUUGUUGACUAAAGUCUGGCUAGCUUGUGGUGCAAAUUGUGACCUUGCUGUUGUUGGACAUUAGGGGAUCUGUUGCAGAAGGUUUUCCUGUCACUCCUUGAGUGACGAGGGCUGGAACUUGAGGAAACUGAGAUUUCUCAUUCUGUUGGGAUAAGCCAACUCCACGUUGUGUAACGAAUUUGUUUGAGAGACCAUAAUUAUAUGAACCUAAAUGCUGUAUUUUCUAAAGGAUUUCUUCCAAUGGAGGUGGAGGUCCAGACAGCUUUACUACAAAAAUUAACAUAAAAUAUCAUGCUAUUGCCAGUAUUUGAAAAAGGAAUGUGAUGAAAGCAGAGGCAUGGCCCCCUGUGCCUAUAAUAAAAUGAGAUGAAAGCAUUAUUUCAAUUAAGUCUCCAAAGAACGAAGCAGAGCCAUGGCCCCCUGUGCCAUGUAUUUGAAAAAUGAAUGUGGGAAACUGAAGGUCAAAAGUUAAAAAGCAUAUAUAAGGUUCUCCUUCGUUCAACUUUAGCUUUUUGGUAGUGGUGGUAAUUUCCAAGUCUAUUUCCAAGCAACUUUUAUUCAACAGUUCUGCAGAUUAAGCUCAAAUAAAUAUACUCUUAUAGCCUAGCUGAUUCUGAUGUUUUCAUGUCACAUCCCCUUUUUGGAGAGUUUUCUUUUCUUUUUCUUUUUCUUUUUUUUCCCUAUGACAUCAAGACAGUCUAACAUAAUUUCAAAAUCAACAUGGAAAAAAGCAAACAUGGUUGUGUUUCCUUCUGAACAUGUAAAAGGAAAAAAAAUCAGCAAAAAACUUUCAUAAUAUAAAAUGGAAAAAAAGACUAUUGUUUUUGUCUCUAAAAAAGAUGAUCAUGAAUAAAAAAAAUGUAAAGUGCAAGGAACCAUGGCAAAAUGAUCCAAAAAAGAUCAGCAAUGUGCCUACUUCCUACCACUUAAUCACACAACAAGCUGACAAAAUGAUUCUUCAGCCAAAGCCAAAAAAGUUGGUUUGAUACCAGAUUUUUAAUUAUAUCUCUCUCACUUCAACACCAAAAUUAAUUAUGGUUGGUUUCAUUUCUUUCUCUAACCAAACCCAAAUGAUGUUGAUCCAUAGCAGUAGCCCCUAAAAAUGCAAGAUAACCACAUCUCAAAUGAUGCUUAUGGGAUUGUACAUACUGCACACUUGAAUUUUUUUCCAAAGAAUAAAAUAAAAAUUUCAAAACCAUAAAAUAACAAUGGUAUUCAUUCCAUUAUAUAAAUGUAUUUAUGUACAUAGUUCGCAACAUAUACGAUAUACAAUUCCUUCAAAAUUUGCAACUAAAAGUCAAUACAUAGGAUUGUUGAUCCAUAAUUGAAAUGCCAAUUGUUUUCUAAAAUAUGACAUGUUUUCUUGACAUAAUGUAGCUACAUCUAAACCAGAAGCUUCGUAUUCGAAAUACUUAAUGGUAAAUACACCACAAUCAUUAUUUUUGCGUUGUAGUGGAAUGGAGUCAACAAUGACAAGUGGCCAAGGUUCCUUGUGUGUUGAUGAUCCAUUCUCCUAGCAAAGAAUCCAGUAGUAUCUAGCAAAUUUGGCACCAUCUCUCGAAUCGACAUUAAUAUUCUUCUCAUAUCUUCGGCACUCGUAAGCGACGGAAGUGAAUCCCAUACCUUGACUUGACAACUUACCAAGUCCAAGCAUAAUAGAAUCCAAUGAUUGCCAUGAAUAUUGAAUGGAGAGUAAAUGUAAUCAACAUUUGUCCAAGGAUCUUGAAAGUCUUGUUUUGAUCCGACAACAUAGUCAACCAAUCGAUACUCCUCCUUCUAGUGAAAUGGCCGAUUCUCUUUAUACAUUCUUGGUAUUCAUGCCACUUCACAACUAAUAGUCUCUGCAAAGAAAAAAAAAUACACAUGUAUAUGUAUUUAUGUCAGACCGAAAUAUAAUAAGACAAUAAGACAAAUAUCAAAAGCAAAUUCAUAACAUAAAGUAUGGUUGCGAAUACAAACCAUGAAGAGUGUGUCUACAGUUGUGAAGUUUUGAGUAGAAGGUAUCAUGGCUAUUCUAAACUUGAAGCGAAUGAGAAGAAAGAGUGCAUCAAAAUGCUAAUAAAAACAAAAGAAAAUAUUUAAUACUUUUUCGGUUUUGAGAUCAAACCAACUUCCUAAAAGCUAUUAUUUUUAGUUAACAAAGAAAUAAGAUUGAAGGUAGAAGUAGUAUUGAUAGGUUUGAUUUUAAAAAACAAACAUGGUUUUCCUAAGUACUCUAGACCUGUAAAGAAGAAAUAAUAAGAAAAGUCCUUACCUCAUCCGCCAACCACCGACGACACAUGAACAAGUCUUUGAAAAAUUCCUUCGAUUUUUUUCUGUGAGAAGUUUCACGCACCUCAUCUUUCGUACGCUUGUCUGUAAUCCAAGCUCUAAGUCGAUCUAAAUUGGCGUCAGGUAUUUUGUGCAUAGGAUCAUAAACAGAUGGUUGAGACUGAGAGGUGGUGGUGGUUGAUUUCGUCGACCGUUUAAUUAAAGUUGUGAAGGGGGUUCACAAGUAAACACUUGCACGCUUGCUAUGUGCAGGCCGAACGUGUGGUUGUUGAGUGGAUAAGGGUUCUAUUUCCAUGAUGUCUAAAUCAAAAUGGGUAAGACUUUUUUCUCCAGUUUCCUCCUUGAAAUCGUCAACGACGUCUAUUGGCUCAUCCAAACCAAUAUGAACCUUCUUCUCUAACACGUCGAUUGUGUCAUCCUCCUUGCGGUCUCUUUUAACACCCUAUAGAAGGUCAAAUUGCAUUAGUAAGGAUAAUGAUAUAAACUAAGCAUCAAGAUUAGCUAUAUCAAAAUAAAGCAUUAGUAAAGAUGAUUUUUACCCCAUUACACAACUUUGAUUCCUAACCUUUUUUUGAAGUUCAACGUGUUUCACCCCAUUACUUGUGUCAUCCUCCUUUGGCAUCCUCAACCAAGAAGGGGUAACGGGUGUGUCAACAUCUUGGGUCUGGGCAUCAUGACCUUCAAAUCCUGUGCAGUCUCCUUCUUCACCCUUUGGAAAUGUCAAAAUGUAUUGGUAAGGAUAACUUUGAAAAUGUUAAUCAAACUUUACUUCCUAACCUUUCUUUGAAGUUCAAGGUGUUUCAAUAUAGUCGACAUAAUUGAUUUUAGGCUUCCACGUUCAUUCUCGAGAACCGCUACUCGGUAUUUGAGUUUCCGAACAACUUCUUUCAUCGUAGACUUCCACUUCUUUUUCUUACUCUUUUUACUCUUUUUGCAGUCAUCAUCAUCAUUACUACUUCUCUUGGUCGUUUUGAACCACCAUUAUUCUCAGAAACGAUGUUAGAUGGAUGGGGUUUGUCAAAAAGUUCUUCUGAAGACAUUCUUAGAUGCUCCUCUUCAGACGUCAUCUCAAUUACCGCAUUAAUUAUGAACUACAAAGCGGAAAAAUAAAUGUAGUUAGGCAAAACAAAAAGGAACAAAGUCAUGCAUACGGUAAGUUAGUUACUAUUGGUUGCUACUUACCAUGGACGAGUCAAACACCUGGCUCUGUAGGACAUGAGACUUUGGCGAUAGUUCGCACACCCACCUUAGCAUUCGUGGUAUGACAUUGUUGCUUACUUUAUGUACACCACAUUCAGUGAUGGUUGAUAUAAAUUCAUAUUCCCAAACCUAUUCCAUGUUCGACAAAACAAGUUUAGCAAGUGUCCCAAGAUAUAUGUAUAUAUAAAUAUGUGCAUAAGUUUGAAGUAGGAAGUAACAUAUCUGUAAUGCAUGCGGAAAUCCCACGACAAUAUAUUUUGUCUUAGUUGAUUUAUUCUUUCCCUUGGCAUGUUGCAUGUCCAAGGCUCGUUUUAAGAAAGAAAUUGUGCGUCCAAAAACCAACCGUCCACAAUCAUAAUUGUUAAAUGUGGUCCAAUCAUCUGCAAUCCUAAAUAAAGUUCGGUCCACUUUGGUCUGCCUAUCUUUUCCUAACAAUGACAACUCUAUAAAGUACACUAAAGCUAAUUUAACUAGGUCAUCAUCAUCGUCAUCCCCCUCGUAUUCCACAAAUGUGUCCUUUAAGUCACUUAUAUAAAUAAACUUUUUUCUUCAAAGAACUUUUCCAACAACCUACUAUUCCCAACCAAUUAAAUAGGCUCUGUUGGAGAACUCCAUAGACCUGUCAUGAUAUUAAACUCUCUCCUACCAAAAGUGCACACAACUCCCCCUAUCAUGAAACUGAUAUGAUCAUUCCUUUCAUCUUCCACCUCCCUUAACAAAAAGUAUUGGAUGAACGACCCAUUAAAGACUAUAUUAAGAUCCAAAAAGUGGCCAAACUUUCUAUUUCUAAAUAAGGUUAAUUGAUCCAGUUUCAAUUUAGCCUUUGUAUUAUGCGUACUAUUUUCUAAAUGAGAUAAACUGCUUACUAAAGCUUGAAAAUGAUGAGAAUGAUCAAUCUUGUACAUGAGACUGUCAGUUGAUGUCAAAGUCAUACUGAAGCCUGCACAAAAAACAAACAAAUCAAAUAUAAUUGCAUAAGAGACUUACUAAACAUGGAUGCAUUGAAAUUUGGAUAAGUGCGAGAUAGGUGCGAGAUAAAAAAAUUAAAGGCUAAUAAACUUGCUAACCCUAAACCCUUAAAGCCCAAUAAACUAGCUAAAUAUGCAUUCUAAACAAUUUAGAAAGGAUAGCAAUCUCAUUUUGAAACUCCUAGUGAAAUUUUGGUAGGUGCGAGAUAUAUGCAAGAUAGGUGCGAGAUAAAAUAUUAUGGCUCAAUAAACAUACAUAGGACCAUUAUAGACGGUUUAGGAAGGGUAGCAAUCUCAUUUUGAAACUUCUACUCAAAUUUUGGUACAUGCGAGAUAGAUGCGAGAAAAAAAAGUAAAGACCAAUAAACAUAUAUUGUAACACCUUUACUAAAAUGAGAUUGCUAGUGAGGGGUUGACAAGUUCAUAAGAGAGGGGUUGACAAGUCAUAAGAGGCUUACCAUAGCAAUAAACAUGUGAAAGGACAUGCUAAAUAAACAUAUGAUAGGGGGUUGACAAGUUCAUAAGAGGCUUACUAAAUCAAAUUGCUUGCACUCCUAAACAUAUAUUGUAACACCUUUACUAAAAUGAUUAAUAAAAGGAGGAAAGCUUACAAUUCUUAUGUUUAGGAACAAAACUAAUUGAAUCAUUUGUCUUCAAAUUCUCUCUAACAAAUGAAUCCUAAUUAAAUUGGUUUGGCAUAGGACGAAUUAAUAUGAGGAGAUGCUUGGUUAUACGAGGCAACAAAGAUUGUAUUUUAUUGGAACUACAUCACUAAAAACAUCAACAAAGUAGAGAACAACAAUGCAACUUUUGAUUAUAAUAAUGUGAUUAACUCUAAAAAUGAUAAUGUCUUUUAACAUUGUUCUACUGGUAGCUUUGCUGAGUUUAGAUGGGAUACCAAAUAUGCUGGAAUUCAUGUUCUAAACUCCAAGGUAUGUAUAUAUAUAUAUAUUACAGUACAUUGCAAAGGAAAUGGAAAUGGUUCUUCGUCCAAUAUGUUGCAUGCAUAUAUAUAAUAGAUUAUUAACCCAAUUAUCUAUUAUUACAAUACAUUGCAAAGGAAAUGGUUAUUCGUCCAAUAUGUUUAUUAAUUAUAUGGUUCUUCUUCCUAAAAAUAGAAUUCAUGUUCCCACGGCUCUCUAUGUAUGUGUGCCUGUAGGACAUAUGCAUUUCUUCUCUACAAAUUUAAUGGUAUAUCUAAGAUGCCUGACAAAAAACUCAGAUUUUAUUACUCACUUGACUUCAAAGAGGAUGGAUAUCGACACUGCCAACGGAGAGGAGUGGAGAAGAAAUGGAGAGGUCCGGUGAAAACAAAGUUGAAAUCGAAAAGGAGUGGGGAAGCGUUCACCGGAGUUGAAGUUGAAACUAAAACAGAGAGCCGUGAAGAAGAAAUGGAGAGGUUCGGUGAAAACGAAGUUGAAAUUGGAAAAGAGUGGAGAAGCUUUCACCGGAGUUGAAGUCGAAACAAGAAAAAUAGAGUCGUGGAGAAGAAAUGGAUGGAAGUGGAGAAGAAAUUGAUGGAAAAGAUGUUCACCAGAGGCACCGAAGUUGAAGGAAGUGUAGAAGCAGGAGAGUUCAAAAGCGGGAGAGUUGAAGUUCACGUUUUUUUUUAAUGUUGUUCUGUUUUUAGGUUGAAGAAAAGGAAAAAGGAAAGAGGAAAUGGGGAAAUUAAAUAAGGACAUUUUGGUCAAUUCACUCCAAAUUUGUCCUAAAUCUCAACUUUUUUAAAAUCAAUCAUAAAACUCCUUUUCUACUCCAUUUUUGGCCUAUUUUUGACAAUUUUUCAUAUAUAUUUAUGGAUGUUGAUAUUGGUUGACAUGGGUAUAUAAGUCAUGUUAUACUGUUGAAUAACAAGCCCUUCAUUUUCUAUUUCUAGAGAAUUCAUGUGCUUGGGAGUCCCUGAUGAUUAAUUAUUAAAUAAACCAAGAUUUUACCAUGACUGCAAUUUUAGAGAGACGCGAAAGCGAAAGCCUAUGGGGUCGUUUCUGUAACUGGAUAACCAACACUGAAAAUCGUCUUUACAUUGGAUGAUUUGGUGUUUUGAGGAUCCCUACCUUAUUGACCGCUACUUCUGUAUUUAUUAUUGCCAAUUCUAAUGUAUCUCUGUAUCGUUUACCCC
rnacentral:lncRNA from 1 species